rnacentral:lncRNA from 1 species
UGAAAAUGAAUUGAAGAUGAUUGUCGAUGGGAAAUUUCAGAGAAACCUUUUAAACAAGCUAAAAGUUCUCGGUCUGUGCUUUGAUAAGAAGUGUGAUGAAUAUCCGGAGAAUGGGUUUCUACAAGAGUUGCCAAAUGUAAUGAAGCUUGUGGUGUGUGGCAGUUCCUUCAAAGUGAUUUUCUGCUAUCAAAGACCGAAUAAUAGUGAAAUGCUUUUACAAUUAAAAGAAUUACGUUUGGAGUCCCUUCAAGAGUUGGUUUCCAUUGGCUUAGAAAACUCAUGGACUGAACCCUUUGUCAGAAAUCUAGAAACCUUUGAAGUCAUUGCGUGUUCCAAUUUAAAAAACUUGGUAACAUGCAGAGUGUCUUUUUCAAAUCUGAUAUGUUUAAAAGUGGAAAAUUGCGAUAACUUGUCAUAUUUGUUCACAUCUUCGACAGCCAAAAGUUUGGCUGAACUUCAAAGAAUGGAAAUAGAAAAGUGUGAAUCAAUUGAAGAAAUAGUGUCUAAUGAAGGGGAGGAAUCAGAUGACGAUGAAAUAAUAUUUCCGAAGCUCAAUUGUCUGAGUCUUAUAGAUAUGAAAAAUCUCCGAAGGUUUUACAAAGGGAGUUUAAGUUUUCCAUUGUUGGAGGAAUUGUCAAUAGGACGACUUGGGUAAAAAUAUAUAUAUAUAACCUUAGGUACGACUUGGGUAAAAAUUCAUCAAAAUAAUAUUCAUAAUAGAAUUAUACUUUUCAUAUAUUUUUAACUACUAAGAGUUGCCUACUGCAAAACUAAAUCACAAAAAAAAAAAAAAAGAUAGAUGGAUUUUGAUUAUUACAAUUUUUUCUAUAACUUCUGAUUCAAACUGGGUCCAUAAUUUGAACUCAAAAUUAUAAUAUUUAUUUACAAAUUUAAUUAAUAUUAUAACGAAAUUUAUGUGAAAAAAAUUAAAAGUACUAUACUAAAAUAUUUCAAAAUAAACAAAAUAUAAAUAAUAAAGAGUUCGUGAUAUAUAUUAUUUGUACUUAAAAAUAAUAAAUAUGAAGAAGAAAAAAAAAGAACAUUGUUUAAAAUAAUUAUAAAUUUUAUUAUUCAUAACAACAAUUUUUAUUUAUUUAUUUACACGCCUCAAAUAUACCGUAACGGUUCAACAAAAAUAUUUAACUUUAUGAUAACUAAAUAAAAUUAUAAAUCUCAAUUCUUAACUUGGUUUUGCAAGUCGUUAGGAGAAGUAAUGUGAAUUACAAAACGAGAUUCAGUAGAAAAUUUCUUUUAAAUAUAGUAAAGUGGAUUUCUUUUCGUAAUAAAAAAUAAUGAUAAAAAUAGUGAGUAUUUCAUAUUUGUAGAGUAAUAAUUUAAAGGAUAUCAUUGACUCUUGUAAAUAAUUAGUUUCAUAUUUUUAUUUAUUGUUUUGCACGUGCAGAGUUCAGAGCUUGAGGAACUUGAUCUAGAAAGUAGGCCAGGACUACAAGAGAUAUGGAAUGGCUCACUACAUAUCCCCAACCUCUGUUUCACUGAGUUGACCAAAUUGACUGUGAAUGACUGUCGAUUUUUGUCAGAUGCAGUGCUGCCCUUCCAUUUACUUCCUUUAUUACCUAGAUUGAAAACAUUGGAAGUUGGAAACUGUGAUUCUGUCAAAACCAUAUUUGAUUUCAAAUGUACAACAAAAGACACAUCAAUUACUUUUCCUCUCAAGAAAUUGGUUUUAUCCAAGUUGCCAAAUCUGGAGGAUGUUUGGAAUGAAGAUCCUCAUAGAAUUUUAUGCAUGCAACAUCUAGAAGAAAUACAUGUCAAGGAAUGUAAAGGCCUUAAAAGUGUGUUUCCCGCAUCAGCAGCCAAAAGUCUUGUGGAACUUGAAGAUCUAAUAGUGGAAGACUGUGAGGGAUUGAUGGCAAUUGUUGCAGAUGAAUCUAAGGAGGGGGAUGAAUUAGAUGAGAAUACGAUAAUGUUUCCUCGGCUCAGUUAUUUGAAGGUAGAAAGUUGCAAUAGUCUGCCAUAUUUGUUCACAUCUUCGACAGCGAAAAGUUUGGCUAAACUAAAAACGAUGAAGAUAAAAGAAUGUAAAGCAAUUGAAGAGGUAGUGUCGAAGGAGGGGAAAGAAUCUGACGAGGACGAAGAAAUAAUAUUUAAGCAGCUCGAGGAUUUGUAUCUUGAAAAGUUAGAUAAGCUACGGUGCUUUUAUUCUGGCAAUUUAACUUUUAGUUUUCCCUCCUUGGAGGAAGUAUAUGUCAUCAAGUGCAACUCUAUGAAAACUUUCAGUGCAGUAAACAAAAUAAAUCAUCCCACAAAAUGGUAUUGUUCAGAAUAUGAGAGACCCCAGAAAGAAACCGAUCUCAAUUCUGCUGUGCUCAAAACUACUGCAAAGGUGGUACCUACACUUUUACGUCUAAAUGUUUCUUUAUAGAGAAUGAUAGAUGAUAUUGUCCAGGAAUUAUAGGUUCCUGUAUAACAAUAUUUUCAGACAUUAUUUUUAGUGUAAUGUGUUUUUUAGUUGCAUCGUGCUUAAAAUUAACUUGCACAUAUUCUUUUGUUUUAAAUAGGCUCCAGAUGCUUCUGGUGCCAUCAUUUCAGUUCUCCAAUAGCACAGAUAGUGAAUAUGGUACAUCAAAUAUUAUCUAAUGCUACUAAAUUGUUACUUUUUUUAUGGUGAGUUAUGAGUUAUACUAUCAUUUUCUCUAUGCAUAUGCAGGUGGUGAUCAAUAAGAAGCAGUUUUUCACAGCAUUACAUGAUGAUUAUGACUGAGUAUGUAAGCAAUUUUUUUUAGUUUAAUUUAAUAUUAUAUUGAUUUCUAUUUAAAUGGAUGUUUUAGUUGAGACUUAUGAUAGAAUGAUAUUCUCUAUAUAUAAUGCUACUUUUACUUCCUUUGUAAUUAAAUUCAUAUUCUUUUCUUAAUAACUUUUAUGAAAGUAUAGUAAUUGUUCUUGUACAUUGUAUAGGUUGAAUCUGAGUUGCCGACUACAAUAUUGCAGUAACUAAGAGGAGAUGGAAGGCAUAAUUAAAGAGUGCAUGAAGAUGAAUCUAUCUCUAUUUUACUAUUUUUGUGUGAUUUUUUUUCAAAAUAAAAAAAAAAAUGUGUUUGUUCUAGCUCGUUGAAGAUGAAAUACAUUAUAUUAUUUAUAUUAUGUAAUGUGGGAUUAAGAAUGAUGAACAGUCAUGAACUGUCACUAAAUAUUGACUGUAAGUGCUUAUGCCGAAAAAAAAAAAGUGUGCUUGUUUUCAUAUGUUGUUAAUUUUAUUUAUAUCUCAGGUUUGAUCAUAAUACUUUAUUGGAGCUGAGCAACACUUAGCCUGCUUUUACUUCGUCAUUGCUUUCUAUCUGUAGCUAAGAACUUAGAAAAUGAAAUGAAGAUAUUACUCUGUGCUUUCAUAUUGAGUUGUAUUUCUGGAAUUUAUGGAACACCUCUUGUGGUGAAAUGUGGAGAACCUUGUGGUGUGUUAUGGUUUCUUGAAGGGACACCUCUUACAGCUGAAAGAAUUACACUUGAAGUCCUUUCGGAAAGGGGUUUUCAUUGGGUGAGAGAACUCUUGAACUGAGUCCUUUGUUAGAAAUCUUUGAAAUCAACUGAAAGGAAUGGAAAUAAAAAGGUGAAAAUGAAUUAAGAGAUAGUCUCGGGGAGGAAGUGAGCAUGAAAAGUUAAUAUUCGUGCAGCUGCAGGUUUUGUAUCAUUGGCUAAGCUGUUUUUAUUGUAUCAAUUUUACUUUAUGUUUUCCUUCGAGGAAGUGUUCCGAAGAUAAUAAAAAUAAUAUUCGAAAGUUAAAUUUACAUAAUUUUUUUAUAUAAAAAAUAUGCAAAGUAAUGAAAUGUACCAAAUAAAAGAAACAAAUUGCUCACACUGUCUUUUACAAGAAAAGAUUUUAGACUUCAUUUCUUCAUCAACCAUUAUGUAGAAAUUUAUUUAUUUUUAUUGUUUCGUUUGUGAGAAUUUUUAAAAGAAAAGUUUGUUUAAAAUAUUUUAUAUGGUAAAAUAUUAAAAAUGCUAAUAUUUUUCUAUAUAAAAUAUUUAAAAUAAUAAAGUUAAGAGUGAAACAAUAAAAUCAUAUCUUAUAUUAUAUAAGAAAGAAAACAUAGUAAAUAUUUUAAGAAAAAUAAGAAUAAAUAUAAAAACGCUUCUAGGACCGUUAAUCAAACAUAAUUUAAAAUUUCAUGUGAUAGAAAAUUAAAUUAAAAUUAAAAUUAAGUAAAUAUGUAAUUUGCAUCCUUGUCCGUUAAUUUAGUCUCAAUCAAUCAAGCUGGGGUUGAAUUUCAAAAUAACAUCUACUGAGUUCUAUUCCUAAACUAAAAAAAGGAUUUCGUCUCUUAAAACUAAUAAAAAAUGAAAGUUUAUGAUGGUUUUAAAAGUUAUAGAAUUCAAUAAUAAUCACAAAAUAAAAAAAAAUUAAAAAAUAGUUAGAGAUCUUUUUAUAAAAUGCUUAAAUUGAGGAAGCAAGUAAUAUUUUCUUACUGAAAAAGUUGACAGUGCAAAGAAUUUCCAAUUUUACGAAAAUUAAAUUGGAUUUUAAAUCAAAGACAAAUUUUAAAUGAAUUGAAGAUGAUUGUGGAUGGAGAAUUUCAGGGUAACUACUUUCCCAAGUUAAAAGUUCUUAUUCUGUGCUAAAUGUAUUUCUAGAAUUUCUACAACUGGUGCCAAAUGUAUAGAAGCUUGUAGUGUACCAUGGUUCCUUUUUGAAGGGGAUCUUCUGCUGUCAAACUUCUAAUAAUGUUGAUGACAGUGGGCACAUCUUGCAGCUGAAAAACUCAUUGAAUUUGUCAUAUCUAUGACAUAUAAUUAAGCAUGCUGCAAAAUUAUUAUAAUUUAUUUAAAUAUUUUAGAAAUAAUAUAUAUAUAUAUAUAUAUAUAUGAGUUUGUUUUUCAGUUGAAUCUAUGUUAUAGGAUGAUAUAGAAAAUGUUGGAAUGAGAGAGAUAAAAGAGGAAGGAUUGAGAAGAAUGAGGGAGGUAAGUAAGAGUUUGGGUUUCUUUUUUCUUUUUUUAGUUGUGAGAAUGAAAAUUAUUUAAAUACCUUGACUUUAAAACUUAGAAUUUUUUCUACUAUUCAUAAUACAUUGUUAAAACGUACCAAUUGAAAAACAGGCGUACCCGGGUUAACAAAUCUCAUAUAUAUAUAUAUAUAUAUAUAUAUAUAUAUAUAUAUAUAUAUAUAUAUAUAUAUAUAUAUUUAUAUAUAUAUAUAUAUAUAUAUUUAUAAUACAAUAUAAUAUAAUGUGUGUGUACCUACGACUUUUUAAACAAUUCUUAAAAAUAAUAGUCAUAAUUUGAUUGUUCUUCCUUUUUUUUUAACUACUAUAUAGGAGUAGCCAACAAGUGUAGUGUAGGUGACACCAAAGAUAUAUCAAUGUAAUUUUAAUCAUUACAAAUUUCUCUAUCUAAUUAAAAUCUACACACUAUUUCUACAAUUUAAAUUUCCAAUUGUAUUGAUUUACAAGUUUAAUUAAAAAUUAUGAUGAAUUUUUUUGAAUAAUGUUGAAUAAAAAAAUAAAAGUAACAAAGGUUUGUGAUGAAGAUAUCUGACAUGGGAGUGAAAUGUUAAAUGUGAUAGGUACUGCUUUCAUGGUAUUCACAAUCAACUGAAUUCUAUUGAUAGCUGGAGAUAGAAUUGUUUUAUUUUUACCAAAAACUCAAUUUUUAUAUAAAAACUAUUCAUGAAGAUCAAAGGAAAAAACAAAAAUGUUUAAAAUAAUAAUAAAUUACAAAUUUUUUGUUCCGAUAACUAAACAAAAUUAUAAAUCUCAAAUCUUAACUUGUUAAGAAGCUCUUGAAGUGAUGUAAUCUAAAAUAGAAAAGGGGAAUCGGUAGAGAAGUUAUUUUAUAGAUAUAGUCAACUGAGUUUUCUUAAUUAAAAAUAAUUCUUAAUAAAAUUAGUAAAUAUUUCAUAUUUCUUAAUUAAAAAUAAUUCUUAAUUAGUGAAUGUUUCAAGGUGACCACAUUGACUGUGUUCAUGUGCAGGUUUUUUUCUACGAAUAAAAAAUAAUAUACAUUUUCUUUCGGGAGAGAAUCUCUAACUAGGAUAUUAUUUUUCUUCCUUGUAAAUAUAAUUCAAUUAAUUAAGAAAGUUCAAUAACACAGGCAUAAAAAAAAAACAAAGGGUAGUUAUUCAUUCUUUGAAUUAUUAUUUUUGUUUUUAGUCUUAUUAUGCAUAAAAUUAACUUCUAUAUAUAUUCCACUAGUGUAGAAAAGAAAUAUGAUAUUGAUUGUUUUUAUAAUCAGUAACGAUUUCGCUACUAAUGCAUAUUAAUAUAAGAUAAAAAAAAAAACUUUUAGUUUUGAUUAUGAAUUAAAACAAAAUGGUUCACAAUUUACUUUGGCAAUAAAAAAAUAAUAUACAUUUUGUUUCGGGAGAGAAUAUGUAAGUCUGAUUUUAUAAUUUUAAAAUUAUAAAAUCAACUCUGAAUUAAAUCAAUUUUAAAAUAAAAAUAUAUUUGGCAUUGGUUGUAGUGAACUAAUAUGCUUUACUUUAAAAUUAAUUUAAAAAUUAGCAUAUAAAAUUUGUUGUAAAAAACUGACAAAAUAGUAUUUUAUGAGACGGUCACUGUCCUUAAGGACUUUCCGCAGUGUGUUGUGCAAGUCCUCAAUAUACAACCAGAACUUCUCAGUUGAGGCUCAGAACUAGCAACGAUUUCUUUAAAGAGUAUAAAAACAAACCCAGAAUAUUUUUAGAAGAGAAAAAGAAUACAAGAAAAUAAGUUUUUAGUGUGUCUUGAAAUGGAGAAAAAAUUUUCUAUUUAUAAAACUAGGGAGGAAUCAAUUAAAUAAAAGAAAUUAAAAAUCAUAAAGAUUUUUAAGGUUGCAGCAAUUAAAAUAAUUUAACAUUAAUGUUUGCCAAUUAAAAAAUAUAAAGGUUGUAAGUUAAGAAAGUUAACGUUGGCAAAUAUUAACGUUGCAAAGCAACGUUUUCAUAUUUUGCAAUAUAUUAUAACAAAAUUUUAGAGUCUACUACACAAUGCAAAUUGAACACACUAAAUAAUUAGCAAUUUAGCAUUAACUUUUACUUGUUAGGAUCUACCUAUGAUCAAAAUGUAUAUUUUCCUACAUAAUCAAGCAAUAUUUUCCUAACUAACACUCUGAUUUAGAAAUUCGCAAUAUCCCUCCAUAAUCAAGGAAACAUACUUUUCGUUGAAUGUUAAUUCUAAAAUAAAUUACAAACCUCAUUUGAGUCCCUUCUUUUUAGAAAAAUCUAAAACCGAUAUAAUAAAAUCAAUUAUAACUAAAAAAUAAAAUUGAUUUAUCUGGACAGUUUUGGAUUUGUUUCUAUACUUUUUACGUGGCUAGGACUUUUUAUUUUAUUUUUGUCUGUGAUUCACUUGUCUAUUACAUGUAGAACAAGUAAUUCUCGUGUAUUAUAUCAGUAAAAAUGUCUAAAUAAUUAUCAAUUUUAACAAUAUUUUAUUGUAUAUAUAAUUAGCCAUAAUCAAAUGAUAAUAUGAAAAAUUUACAUGGUAAGUUUUACCAAUUUUUAACUCACUUUUUCUUUCUUACUCAUAAAGAAGCGGAAUAUGACAAGCGCAACCCAAUUAUUUAUCUUCUCAGAAAUUAAAUUUUUUUAUUUUUCAAUAUAAUUUAUUGAUACAUUAAAUAAUUUUUUAUAAUUUUUAUCGUGCAUAAUAUUCACAAUGUUAUUUUUUUUAGGAUUAAUUUUUUAUAAUAUUUUUAUUGUGCAUAAUAUUCACAUUGUCUGCCACAUUUUACAUAUUGUGUAAGUGGACAUAAAUAUAGACAACUGAAAGUUGUUUACAUUCAUUACAAGACAAUGCUUCAUUGGUGACCCUAAUAACAAAUCAACGGUAAAAGAGUGUCUGUGUCGUGUAGGCCGAAAGCCCAUCCUUCAACCCUCUGGAUACGUUUUGUAUCGCUUGAAAGAUCGACUUUAGUAUGGCAUCUAUUUGAUCAAUGCUUAUAUAAUUUUGUAUUAAUUAAUAAUUAAAGCUAGCCUUGGUAUUAGUUAAUGCUGUAUAUUUAUUUUAAAAAAUUUAUAUUAGAGAUAGUGUUAGUUUAACUGAUAUUAAUUUUAUUUUCUUUUAGAAAAAUUCAUAAUAAAAAAAAUUAUUUUGUAGUAUUGACGUAGCUCAUGAUAUUAUUGUUUUUAUUAAGUUACAUCCAUAUAGAAUAGGUUUGGCUCACUUUUUCAUUAAUAUUUUUAUUGUUUAUUUAUUUUCUCUAUUUAGAACGGAUUAGAAAGAUGCUUAAUUUUGUAAUAUAGGCUUGAUCAACAUGAUGUUUAAUAUUAUUAUUUUUUAUUUGUGUUUGGUUAGAGGGAUCUUGUUAUAAACUCUUUCAUUAAAUUUUUAUUUAUUUAUUUAUUUAUUCUACUUAAAAUCGAUUAGACCAACACUUAUAUUUGUAGUGUAGACUUAAUCUACAUAAUGUUUGAUAUUAUUAAUUCUUAUUAAAUUGUGUCUAUUUAAAGUGGUGACAACUCUUUAAUUAAUAUUUUUAGUUUUUAUUUAUUUUUUGUAUUCAGCGUUUAUAUUAAUAAAAAGUUAUUUUAUAGCGUGAUUUAACUUAUGUUCAAUAUUAUUACUUUUCAUUAAUUUGUAUUCAAUUAAAGUGAGCUAACACACUCUUUCAUUAAUAUUUUUUUUUUUUUAUUUCUUUUACUUAUUUCGGUACCAACAUUUAUAAUAAUAAAAAUUCAUUUUGUAGCACCGAUUUUGACCAGAGCUGUUAAAAUUGAUUAAUUUGCGGGCCAAUCCGAUCCAUCAUGGGUUCGAGUCGGGUUGGGUUUGAAAAAGUUAUAUUUUUUUUUUGUGUGUCAAUUUACUCAUUUAAACUAGGCUUAUUCGGGUUGAACUCGUGGUGGACCGAAUUGACUCACCUACCUAAUUUUAUUUUAUUAAAAUUUAAUUUUAAUUUUAUAAAAAAGUAUUUAUUAUUAUUUUUUGCUUGAAAAAUUAAUUUAAGUUCUCUAUUUUUAAAAUUAAUUAAACACCCCAUAUUGUAUAUAUUCAUUUUGGGAGUGUAAUUUGUUUAGAUUUGAAUUACAAAAAGUUUGUAAUUUUUUUUAUUUAAAAAAAUUGUACUUAAGUGAGUCAAUGAGCCAACCUAUUUAUCCACCAACCUGUGGUAGGUCAAGGCGAGUUCGAAUUUUUCUAACUCGUUAAUAAAUGAGUUGGGUUGGAUUGACUCACUAAGUGAUCAAGUCGGACUUGGUGACCUGCUAUGAUAACACUAGUUUUGACUCAUACAAUAUCUAAUAUUUUUUUUUUAUUUGAUUAAUUUGCACUCAUUUAGAGUGGAUUUGAUCCACUUAAUUCUUUAUAUAUUUAAGUUUGUAUUGAGUUAGAGUUGGUUUGAGGGAGUUAGAGGUGAUAUUUAAUGAUAAUUAAUAUCCAAUACUGUUGUACUGAGUGUUGAAUUUGAUGAAGUAUUACAACUUUAACAUAAGUUUAAAAUCGGUUGGUAUUCAUAAUAUUACAAAUAUAAAAUUUUCUUGAAGUAGCCACAUUUUGCAUAAUGCCUAAAAACAUUAACUUGUAAGUUUCCUAGACCUACGCAGUGAAAUGAGAAGAGUAUUAAGUUAAAAUUACUAUGCAAUAGUGACGGAAGCUAACAUUGCAUUUCACGGGGGACAAAAAAAAAAUAGAGAAAAUACAUACUCGUUGAAUAUUAGACGAUAUAAAUUAAAAUUGUCGUCUAUAACUAUAUAGACAAUGAUUUCUGUUUUUUUUUUCGAACUUUGGAUGACCGAGUAUAUAGAGAAAUCAUCUCCUAUAGAGCAAUAGAUGAUGAUUUUAAGUUAACCGCUUUCUAAUCUUUCUCAAUAAUUUAAAGAUUAUGACUCCUUCGUAAUAAAUAACAUUUUUAAGAAGAUUACCGUCUGUUUUCAUAUAUAUAUAUAUAUAUAUAUAUAUAUAUAUAUAUAUAUAUAUAUAUAGAGAGAGAGAGAGAGAGAGAGAGAGAGAGAGAGAGAUAUAGAUAUAUAUGAGUAAAAUGUAAUAAUUUUGUAUUUAUUUUAAUUAUUGAUAUAUAUUUUAUGGAACACUACCUUUUACCAUAUUAUCAUGUUAUAAUGAAAUGUCUGUUGUUGUUGGUUUUCUUUUUUCAUGUUAAUUAGUGUUUGAAGGAGUGGGUUGGUUAAUGUAUGAUGCAAUAACAAGGAUUUUAGAAUAAAUUAGACGUUUAAUGAUUGAUUACUUUGUUGAGUGGGUGGAAUGUGCACCAAUAUUUUAAAACGACUUGGGAAGUGUUGUAAUGAGUCAUAAAAUAAAGUGAACAGAAGAUCCUGAUAGAUAUCUAUCUAAUCUUUAUGGACUACAUGUUUUUAUAUAAUCCAAAAGAUAUUCUCUCCGCGUUACCUUUCACAUGUAAUAAAAUAUAAACAAUGACAGUAAUGAUUACAAAUUUAAAGCAUUAUUUGUUGGCUUUUAGAGACUAUAGCAUGUGAACACUAAAAGUGUUGUGUAAUACGUGAUAUUACCGGCCUUUGCCAAAUACCUUUUCUUUUCUUUUGAUAUAUUUUAAAGUGAAGGGACUGAUUGGAGGAAGAAGGAUAUUGAAGUAUUUAUUUUAUUUUCGGAUCAUGAUAUUUUGAUAACUUUUUUAAUAAUAUUUUGAUAACAAGGUAUGUGUCAUCACUUUAUUGGUCUAUUUGAAUUUAUGUUUAAAAAAAUAUUUGAAAUGGACCAAUCACAAGUUGUUACGUAUGUGUUGUUAAAAAACUGUCAAAAAAAGUGUUGUUAAAAGAACUUUUUCCUUUAUUUUCUUCUGUUUUGACUGUUCUUUCAAGCUUUGUUAAGAGUCUCUCGCUGCUUUAGUUGUCGUCAUGGUGUGGUAAAGUAAACUCUCAUGAAAACAUGAUGCUCUCUAUUUGAACUUCAGGUUUUCUAUGUCUUAUUAUACUAAAAAAAAUUGAAAUUAUUGACGGACAUAAUCCAUCGAAAACAAUCAAAUUAUGUCUGUAAUUUAUAUUUUCUGACAAUUUACCGACAAUCAAAGAUUUGUCGGUAAUUUACAAUCGGUAACCAUUAUCGACGAAUAUUGAUUGUCAGUAAUUACUGACGAACAUAUUCUUUGAUAAUUACCAACAAACGAGCCUUUCGGUAAUUAUCGACGAUCGUCGGUAUGUCUAUCGGUAAGGUCGUGAGAAAGUCCCAUGGAAUUUGUAUUGUUUGACUACCCCACAUUCACAUAAUUAGACUUGCACAAAACAAUAAUAUGUAAUCCAUAUCCAGACAAUCAGAACUAUAAAGACUACAUUAAACCCUACAUAUGAGAAACAUCUUUGGUACAAAUUUUUCAUAUAUUGAUUCAGUAUAAGCAUAUAAACCUAUGUCUUGUUUAGUAUCAAUUUGAAUAUCCUUAACAUUGGACUCUCCACUACACCCACUCAAUUUGGACUGAUUUAUUCCAUUGAUUUCGACUAUUCACUCCACAACUACCUUCUUGACUUCAAGAUCCUUUUUAGCCAAGUCAACAACAUCCUUAUGAAGAGAACACCAUUAACCAUUUUUAUAGAACAUCAGACCUUGAGCUAUCUACUAAAGUUUAGAGCAAGAAGAAGAAAGAGGAGAAUGAGGAUUAAGAAUUUUAGAACCCUGUGUGUUUGUGUUUACAUUUUUAUUCUUUAGUUUAAUGCAGUUUCAAUUUUAGGCUAGUUUAGUAUCAUUUAAAAGUUGUUUACAUAGUUACCUAGCAUUUUCAAUUACUAUGAGUAGUUUUCAAUUUAGGCAUUUUUAGCCUAUUCUAGUUGCUCAUUUUAGUUUCUAGGUAGUCAUAUUUUGAGUUUUAUGUAGUUUUUGUAGUUUGAGUUGUUUCUUAGCUAGAAUUUACCAUUUUAAACUUGUUGGCAUAGUUUAUUUACAGUUUCUUAGGAUAGUUUAGUACAAUUUUCAAUUUUGACCUCUUAAGAAGAGUUUUUGAGGUUUUGUUAAUAGAUUUUGUCUCUAUUUUUGACUCAAUUUUCCAGAUUUAUACAUUUCCAAUUUUGCUAGCUAAGCUUUUAAAUAGAUAGGGUAUCUAGUUGAAAAGUUUUUCCUUAGCACUUAUUGGUCUUGUUUGACCCUUUUAUUCUGAAUUAUAGUUCAUUGAAAACCUUUGGCCUAUAAAACCUUGUCUAGACCUUGUCAUAGAGCUGUGGGGUGAAUUAGGUCAUGCAAUGGACCACUGUUGAGUUCAAGUGUGGGGAUGUCAUUGACAAGAGAGUUGACCAAUGGUUGGUUUGCAAUUGAGCUUCAAAUGUUAUAGCAAUUGUGGGAGAAGCUAGAGAGAGAUUAAAAUACACUUGUGCUGAACUUAAAAGAGAUUAGAAAAGACUAAAAGCCUCUAGCUUUCAUUUGCAGUUACUUAAUUUUGUUUAGAUACAUUUUUGUAGUCAAGUCUUAUUUGCGUAGUUUUAAUUCUUGUGUUUAGUAAUACAAGAUGGUACAUAUGUUGAGGUUUUAGAGGUACAUUUGUCAUAGGAGAAGCUUUCAAGAUGAGUUUACCAUGAUAAAAAAGUUUCAAAAGUUACCAUAAUGGACUUUCACAUAGGAAUUGAUUUUGGAGGCUUAAGUGGAGUGUCAUGGUAUAGUUGGACUUGUUACUUCCUAUAACAGGUCAAGGAGCUUAAAGAGGCACAAGGGAUAACAAGGAGCUUAAGUGGAGUGUCAUGAUCUAGUUGGACUAGUUGGAUUUGAUUUUGCUUUGUGUGCUUGAGUGAUUUUAGGUUACAUGAUGUAUCUGAUGGCAGUGAUGACAUCAUCUACUAAUGGAUGCUAGGAGGACUCAGAUAACAACAUUUACUGAUGAAUGUUGUUAUGAUGAAGAUGACGAAUGAAAACAUCUAUUGAUGGAUGUUGCCAUGAUAAGGAUGAAGAAUAAUAGCAUCUACUAAAGGAUGAUAUGUGAUUAAGCAUCUAUUGAUGGAUUCUAUGUGAUUAGACAUCUAUUGAUGGAUGUCAUUGACAACAUUUACUGAUGGAUGCUGAUGAAGAUGAGAAAGAUUAACAUCUACUAAUGGGUGCUAAUGAGAAAGAUUCGCAUCUACUGAUGGAUGCUAGAAGAUUCAGAGAUAGCAUCUACUGGCGAAUGCUAUAAUAUCAGGAUUUUUUUUAUUUUUAUGCUUGUUUGAAUUUCGUUUAUUUUGUUUUUAAUAAGCUAUGUACUUGGUUGAAAGAAUAACUCUACAAUAGUUUAUGAACUAUUUUGUGAUGAGUAAUAUUGUCUUUUGUUGCUCUAUGGUUUUAAAAUGCAUGGUUGAGUUAAUGAUUGAAUUAGCUAUUAAGCACAAAUAGUGGUUGCUCAUAAUUGUUUAAAACAGAUGCAUGGUUUCAAUUGUGAUUGAUAUGCUUGGCAAGAUAUAUAUUAAAUUGUGGAACUUGAGUUAACCUGUGAGAGGUUGGGCUCCAGAGUUUUAUUGUUGAAUGCUAUUGCUUUGGAAUCAUAGUUGAUUAUGCCUAAGUUUUUCUGUUGAACUAUUUGCUUGGAUGUGUCAUAUGAUCAAGGCCAUUUGUUCUUCUGCCAUAUAAGCCAAUGCAAUUUUUGAACCCAACAAAAGAACAAUGUUUGUUCUAUCCUUUGAACCUUAAGCCUAAAUUUGUGAAAAAACCCUUUUUGAAAUCUUUACCUUGAGUUGAGUUGAGUAGAUUUGUAUGGUAUGGAGAAAGGUUCAAGUUUGGGGUUGUUGAUGAAAUUUGAAGAAGAAUUGUGAAAAUAACAAUAAAAAGAGCAUUGAGCUAAGUGUUGAACAAAAUUGAAAAAGAAAAGAAAUGAAGAAAAAAAAGGAAAAGCUCAAUGAAUGAAAAGUUGGGAGUAAGAUGAGAAUGGUUUCUCAAAUAUAAAGGAGAAAGAGAGAUUAUGGUUAAUGUGAAAGGAUUUUUUUUACUCUCUUAACUCAAGGAAUUUUGUUGUCCAGAAAAACCAAUUUUCAGCCCAACCACGUUACAAGCCUUAGAAAGUCCUUAUGAUGAUAACUUGCUUGGGAAUGUGUUUUAAUGUGUUUAAAUGAAUGGAAAAUUUGAUCUAUGUGACAUUGUGAUAAUAGAGUGAAAGAGACACUGACACCUCACUAUACACCUUUGAGUUUGAGUGAAACACUUUUGAGUGCUUAAGUGAAAUACUUUUGAGUGCUUGAGUGAAAUACUAUCUUUGGUGAGGAAUGGUUCCAUGUAUUACAAGUUAACAUUCUGCUUGGUUGUUGAUCACUCAUCUUUUUGCAUAUGUUGUGUAUUCAUUGUUAUGUAGGCACCAUAAUUGAAGCUUAAUUGGCUAAGACAUCAUUAUUUCUUGACUUAUCUUUCUAUGAUGAGCAUACAUGAGUGAUUUACUUGUCUUAGAGAAAAAUGCUUUCUAAUGUACUAGACCAUUGUAGUAUAUAUAUUUUAUGUAAGCCAAGUUACAUUUUGCUUGAGCGCAAGCAAAGUUUCAAGUUUGGGGUUGUGAUAACGGUUGAAUAUACUAUUAUCAGUGAUUCAAUUUUGAUACUAAAUGCACCCUUCUUGACUUAGAAACUUGCUUUAACUCAUGUUUUUGCUUUAAUUUUUUGAAUAAGAGAAUUGAGGUUAUACUUAAUGAUUUUAUUACUAAAUUCCCUUAACUUUGUAGGUUAAUAGAGUGAUUUGGAAGAGGAGUCAAAGUAUGAAGGAGUCGAAACUCAAGGAGCGAGCAUAACUACAGAAAAAGAGAAAAAAAUAUGCAGUGCUGAAAAAGUUGUCCAAGCUGAGCACCCCUUUUAGGGGGGUUGAGUGCCAGAAGUUGCUGUCCAAAGCUUGGGCGCUCUUUUAGGAGCGCUAAGCACCAGAAUUUGCACCACAGCACGCCUGGGUGCCCUGAGCGCCAGUACUCGCUAUUUCACGCCUGGGCACUAAGCAUCGACGACGUGGGCUUGGACUUGUUUUCUGUUAUUUUUAUGAUCUAUUUAAAACCCAAAUGUCCUAAGGUUUGUAUCUUUUGAUGGUUUGAGCACAAAAACACGUUUUUCACCCCUUUAGGGACAAAUUUGGGGAUGUGACAACUCUCCUCUUCUCUUUCUAGGAUUUUUCUAUUUCUUCCAUUCCAUUGUACACCUAUUUUCUUCAUGAUGAUGGAGAACUAAUCUCAUUUGUUAUUGGGAAAGAUGUAACCUCUAACUCUCUUGUAUUUGAAUUGAUUCUUGUUAUUAAUAUAUGCUUCUUUCAUUAAUUGUUAGGGCAAUUCUUCUUCGCUCAAUACUUGCUUUGUUUAACUCAUUCAUUAGCAUGAUGUAUGAUUUGCAUGAGUAUCGAAAGGUAUCUUACAAUUCAGGUUUUUGAGAAUUAUUCCCAGAAGCAGUAUUGCUCAAGAAUGGGGGUAUGAGUUCUGGUUGUAUUAAGCUACUAAUCGUAAUGCAUAAUUAAUUGUUAGGGAUGCAAGGAAUUGAGACCUACUAAUUAAGGAUAGGUUUUCUUUGCCGAAGAAUUGGGUUUUAAGUACUUUAGAUAGUGACAUUGACAUUAAUGAAGAAGAUGAAUUCGUACAUGCACGAAAGUAAUUAAGUGAAAUCUAAACUCCAACAACCUAUUCAUUCCAUAUUAUCAACUUCAUCCAUUCAUUCUAGUGUUUAGUUUCAAUUAUUCAAAUUGCAUUCAUGUUUAUUUUUCUGCACUUUACAUUCAAAACUCCCAAAAUAUUGCUUUCAAUCUUAAUUAGUUAAGCAAAAGCACAACUGUUUAGUGCCAUGAGUUUCUUGGGAAACGAUACUUGGUCUUACAAUUUUAUAUUACUUGAUACGAUUUGUUAUACUUGCCAAUUCAUUGACAAGUUUUUGACUCCGUUAUCAAGAAUUAAAAAUUUUGUUUAACAAUGAGAAAGUUAUUUUUGGAUGUAAAUUACUUUUGAAUGAAGGACAUAAAUAAAUAAGUUGUUUAAAAAAAUAUACACAUAUGUUGUGGUGGUGCUUUUAGAUUUUAAGAAUUUAAAGUAAUGUAGGUUAUGCAAUCUAGCUCAUGGUUGGCCCCCACAUAUUACUAAAUAUGCGAAACAAGCAAGCAAAUUAAAAUACUCCGCUCAUAUGCAUUCUGAUUGGCCCGUGUGGCCAAUCCGAAUUAUCUCUAUCAUUGAAGAAAGAAAUGGCUUUUGCUGCAUAGUAACACAAGGUUUGAAGCAAUUUUUUUUUCUUCAAUACAUCUACAAGAUCAUAAAUCUUAAAAUCUCCUUAGUGGAAGAAAUCAUUCCGCUUUUGCACCGACCUACCAAUGACAGUUAAAUAUGUUAACAUAAUUAUAAUUACAUGGGUGGGUGGUUAUUAUCAUGUUGCAUACUUUUGAUGAAUCUCACCAUUUCCUGUAUGAUCACAUAAAAAAAUGUUUCAUUUCGUCGGAAUGUCAGAUUGUUAAAACUUUUUUUUUUCAGUGGGAAAUUAUUACAUUUGUUCACAACUGUGAUGAAUUUAAAUUACUCAUUGGGAAUUGAGAAAGUUGAAGAAACUGUUAUAGAUUUGUCAAUAACUUAUUUUAAUUAUAUUUCUCUCAUAUCGAGUCUCUUUAUAUAAAGAUUUUUAAUUAUUGAUAUAUCUUUCACAGUAAUGGGAUACUGUUUUGUGUUUUGUAUUAUGUAUGAUGUUAAUGAGAUACUCUCGUAAUAUACUCUUAGAAUACCCACAUACAUAGAGGCAAACUUAGCCCCUCACACUCCUUGUUCUCUAUUUUUCUCCUUCACGCUACACACUUCGUAGCUCUCUCUUACAACUAUGUGGUUUUCACUACUUCUUCACAGUAUGUGUUUUCCUUUAAGAUUUCUUAGUUUAUUUUACAAUUUAUUGGUAUCUGAAGGGCUGGGUAGUUGAAUGGGAGAUGUACUAACAACCAUCAUAGAAUAAAUUAGACGUUUAAUAAUUGAUUAGUUUAUUAAGUAGGUGGAACGUUGCCUCGUGUAAGAAUAUUUAGAAGGACUAACUAGUCUUGUAAAAAAUAAUAAAAUAAUCUGAAUAAUGUUUAAGUAAGACAACAUGUUUUAUUAUAACCAAAUACUCAUUCAUUCAAAACUCUGAGCUGCAUUAUUAUUUGGUAUAUAUUUUGAAGUGAAGGAAGUGAAUUGAGGAGAAAGAAUAGUGAAGUAUUGUCAAUCAUCCAUUCUCAGUGCUCUCUUUCAAGCUUUCUUCCGAGUCUCUGCCUGCUUUCUUUAGUUUCCCUCAUAGUCUGCUCAGGUAAACAAACACUCAUCCAAACUUCACACUUUCUACUUCAAGUUCAGCUUUAUCACUCUGUUGCUAUUUCUUGUUCUAAGAGAAGCACAUUAGACACCAACUAUGUUUCGUUUAUCUAUAAUAGGAAACGUUUUCGUUUGAAAUUUUACGCUCGGUCAACUUUCCUCAUAUUUCGACAUACAGUUUACAAAUUCAUUAAUUCUACAAGUUAAUAAAAAAAAAAAAUUGAAUUCCUUUUAGGUUUUGAUUUAGGUUUGUAUAGUUUUUUGCUUCUUAUCACUUUUACAAAAUUUUAAAUAAAUCUUCCAGGGAUUAUAAAAUAUGUAUUUUGUUUUUAGUUUUUGCAACAUAUUUUGUUUACACUGUAUGUUUUUAAAAUAACAAAAAUAAAAAAACAAAAUUAACCUCCCUUUCAAAAUUAUAGUGUGAGGUCUCUAACAUAUCCUCCAUGUGAAAAUUGAGAUUAAAAUUUUAUCGUGAAAGGGGAGCAAGUUCCUUCAUUAUUUUUACUUAUAGAGAAGGGAACAUGACAAGCGCAUCAUCUUGGUUAAGCAUGUGAAUAUAAUUGAAAUAAUUAUGUUUUUCAUCCUUUUUUUCAUCUUAUCUCAAAUAAUUGUAAUCUAAUUUUUUUACUUCAUAAGCAAAUAUUAUAUACUUAAUUUCUUCUUUUUAGUAUCAGACUUAUAAUGGUAAUUUUUGAAGGCUACAAAUCUUUUUAAACAAGUUGAAUAUGAUGACCCUAAAAGAUAUUAGCAUAAAAAUGAGAACCCUAUUAGAUUAAUUAUUAACAUAAGCAUUUGCUAUAAAUAGAUCAAGUGCAUAGCUCAACGAAAACAUUAUUUUCCCCUCAAUUCAGUACAACACAGGUGAAACCUCUCAAUGAUCACACGCACCGCCGAAGCGUUUUCAAAGAAAAGGGCUUGAAAUAUAUCAUUUAACUCAUUCGAAGAAGCUGGUGUGGAUCAGUUUCUCGUAUACUCUCAGAAACUCUCUUGCAGUGUUUCUCGGUGUUACGAUUUGGAAUAGUGACAAGCACAAGGAAAUCACAACUUAAGAUCAUCUAAUUCGAAUAACAGAGGUGCGUUUUGUAGCUUAUAUAAAUAUUGAUCUUAAAAAGUCUAGUAUACUUUGUGUAGAGACUUUAAGUUUAUGGAUAUUUUUAACUUUACUUUAGUCAAUUAAUCUUCCUUUUUGUCUUUUGUUAUUGUCUUUCACGAUAUAGAUGAGUAUUAUGUCUACAUAAUAUUCUCCUACAUUUAAGUAUGUUGAGUUAAUGUUAUAAUAAUGAACAUAAAUUAUUUACUUCUAUUUACUUCUAUUAUUGUAUUAUUUGAAGGAUAGUUAUGACUUAUUCAGUCAUCACUUAUAUGGGUCUAGAUGGACCCUAGUAGCCAAUUUACUUCAUGAGUUAAUUGUUUAAUCUAGAUUCUAUUAAGUUAUAUAUAGAGUAAUAUGUUAUUAGUUUUUUUAGCCCCAUUGAUAGUCAGACGGAACUACUUAUGGCCAGGUCUUGGUGGUUAUAUAAGUCUGUUUGUAUUUGGGUAGAGACAGUCAAUCGUUGUUUUUACAACUCUGACUUGUGGUGAGGUAGAAAUAGUAACUUACAAGGUCAAUUUAUGACCGAGUAAAACCAGACAGACAGGUCAACUUGUAGCCGAGUAGAAGCAUUCAAACAGACUGACUUGUUGCUUAUAAAGGCAAUAAGCAAGAUUGAUGUGUGGUCGAGUAGAGGCAUUCAGAAAGACCGACUUGUGGAAGGGUAGAGAUAUUCAGAGAAACUAACUUAUGCUUAGGUAGAAGCAUUCAGACCGGGUAGUUAACAUUAGCCUGGGUAGGUGACACAUAGUUUUGGUAGAUGACACAUUGCUCUCGGUAGAGGGUGUGUAGUCCUUAUAGGCAGCACUUAGAUCUCGAUAGACAGCACCUCUCGGAAGACGACGAAUAGUCUUGGUAGGAAACACUUAGUUUUAGUUGUCGGCACUUGGUUUUAGUAGGCGACAAGUAAGCGAUACUUGACUUUAGUAGUCCACACCAGGUAGGUGGUAGGGAACUGUAUGGAAGGUUUAACCAGGACUGUCUAGGUAGGCAAUAGGGACUUAAGCCAUGAUAUUUUUUAUCAUUAUAGACUGAGAUGUUCCAAGCCGUGAUAUUUCUCUUUUCUUUUCUUUUUCUUUUUUUUUUUUGGAAUGAAUGAUUCACAAUGGGCUUUUUCAUUUCCAAACAAGUGUGUGUAUGCAUUUAUAAGAAUCGUUCAAAAAUCAAAUUCAUAGAAACAACAACUUCCUCACUUUCUCUUAAAACAUUUUCAUCACACUCAAAUAUUCAAUGCUCUAGGUCAAAAUCAAACAGGAUAAUGAAUGAAUCAUUUUACAACCACAACCAUAAAUCUUAACACUUAAAUUUGCAAUGAUUUCCUCAAGAUAUACAAGUUAUCUUGUAAUGGAUUCAAAUCUCUAAAUGCCAAAAGAAAAAUAAAGGCAUAAAAUCAAGGAUAACCAAAAAAAUUAAUUUAAACACUACCUGAAAAUGUUCUAAAAUAAGUUAAAGUGUGAAUAUAAAACCUAAAACAUAUUAAAAGAAACUAUAACAACAAAAACAACAAGAAAGAAACCCUCAAACAAAUGGCUAGGGUCUCCAUGCCGUGUUAGGGCUCUCCUAUCCUCCCUAAUAUUCUUCAGCAUCCACUCCUUCUAUGCCAUCAUCAUCACGAAAGACAUUGAAGCUUCCCUCCCCCCACUAAGAGUCAGGCCUGUACUUAGGCCAAUGAACAUGUGCCUCAAACUAUGUGCCCAUCUUAAGAGAAUCCUCGAGGAAAUCAAGGACACUAAGAGAUAGAUAAUACAUACAGUCCAUGAGGGAAACCUAGCAUUGCCAGAUCACAUGGUAGCCUCAAAUGCAUCAAGGGAUUCACGUGUAAUCUUGGUCAUGAUGUUUUUGAGGCUCCAGUCCUCCUUGUGUGAACAUCCCCCUGCAUACACUUAGACACAACUAGGCUAAAAUCACAAAUUAGCCCAAGUGAAAGUGAAAAUCUAUUUACAAAAAAAGAGUUAGUUCUAUAUGCAAAAUCAACUCUACAUAUGUUAGAAACCUCACAAAAGUCUAGUAUUGACACGAGUCCCUAGUAACGGUGCCAAAAACUCGUUGGAUUGUUUGACAUGUGCAUCGAAUCGUCUCAAGUAAUAAACCAUGGUAAGACCAGGUAUCGUUUUCUCAAGAGACUCGUAUUACUAGAGAAUGGUGCGACUAACAACUCAUAUAGACUCAAUAGAACUACAUUCAUUUACAAGCAUGUGCAGAAAGAUAAAUUUACACAUAAUUACAUGGUUGGACUUUGGUAUUGAAGGCACAUAGAUAUGGCAUAGACUAUAAAUAAUAUGAAAUGACAUUUUUAAGGUUAGUUUUCUCCUAUUUCACUCUUGUGCUUACCAAAUUUCAUCUAACAAGCAAACCUGCAUUAAAGAGCUAGGAUCUUAAGACAUCAUGUGAAUCAUCUUCCAUCCUUAGAAUCAAUGACCACAAAGACUUUUGUUUUAGUUCUAGGUUUCAUCUUACGUCUCCAUAAUCCAUGAAACCCCAAAAUAAAGUGAUGAACAUUCCUAUUACAUGCAAGCUUUAAGAUUGGAAACAAGAAUAAUAGAAUUUGAUAGAAAAGGAAUAUAUAAAUACGAAUCAAUAACGCAUUACACAAGAAUUCAUUGGCUUUAUCGAUGGCCUAUCGACGGUUAAAAAGCCCUCGGUAAUUUGCUUGUCGCUAAAUUUUGUCCUUCGGUAAUUACCGAGGGCCAUAAGCCUUGAUAAUUACCGAGGGCUAUAAGCCGUCGGUAAUUACCGAGGGUCAUAAGCCUUCGGUAAUUACCGAGGGUCAAAAGCCUUCGAUAAUUUCUGAAGGGCGGAAGCCCUCGAAAAUUUCCGAAGGGCGGAAGCCUUCGGUAAAGCCUUCGGUAACAGUACGAAAAAAAAAAGUCAUAUUUGUUUUUGUUAUCCAACCACAAAUACCUGCAUAACAAAGUUCACAACAACACAGAUAGACCUGCAUACAACUUUCAAACCACAGACAGAGCUGCCUUUUGUGCAUCUGAAAACCAUCCAAUAUUAUCAUUGAUGAAAAAAGAUAAUGUACUAAAAUGAUCUGUAAAGUUCAAUAUGAAAUGUGAAACAUAAAACAAUAUCAUCUAUUUCUAAGCAAAGAUAAUGUACUAAAAUCAUGAUGUACUAAAAUUCAAAUGUACUAAAAUUCAAAUGGACUAACAUUAGUACUUUCUAACACCUAUGAUCAAUAACAAAAUAAAACUAAAAUACUACAUAGUCUUCAGAAUCAUCUUCAUCGUCCUGUUGAUCCUCUAUAGAUGGCUGGACUGGUGUGGGCUGGACUGAUGUGGGCUGGAUUGAUGUGGGCUGCUGAGGGACGGCGGGUGACAGGAAGGGUCGUGACUGGGUUGGAGGGACGGUCGAAGGAGUGUCUGAAGUUUGAGGCAGCGCUCUCAUGACCAGGGACUUGAAGUUUGUAAAUUCUUCUUUCAAUGCACAGUUUUCCUGGUCACGUUGCUCUAGUAGCUGUGUCAAGCGCUGGAUGGCCUCAUCAGCAGAAGGGGUGGAAGAAGAAGAAGAAGAAACAUCAACCUCCAAAGUGGCUUGUAGUGGCAUCUCAUGUUUUCUUGAGUUCCUUCCAAUCCUCAAACAUUUAUCACAACUUUUCGCAUGACCUUAAGCAUCCUUUAAAAUUAUCUCAUGCCACAAGGAUGUCAUUAUCAUCAUAUUCCUUUUUAAAGUGAGCAAAAAACCAAGCAUUUUGCAACCCAUCUNAGUUAAUUAUUUUUUGCCUCUAUGUAAACUUAUUACGAAACCCUUCCACUUUAAUAAACAACAAUGUUGUUGUUGCCACACAUUACAUACACUCCUUAUUCCUCUUUCUACCAUAUANAUUCUAAAUCAUGUUAGAAUACAACUACAAUUUUUAGAAGUUCCUUCUACUUUGACUACUCAUAAAAGUUCGCAACCCUUAAGUUCAAAAUACUUUUUUAAAGUCCUUUGAGAUGGAUUAGUUUAUGCACAUGCAAGAGAUUGUCAAUAAUGCUCUCUAUCGCCAUGUUGAACAACAAUAAGUAAACCAUAGUCUUGAUGAANAGUCUCCCAAUGAAGCCACUAAACAAUAAGCAAAAUUUCCUUGUGAGAGUAGCUUUGAUGUGGUAUCAAGGUCGAUCUCUCUCUAAGCUUAAGGUAAUUUGGCCUCAAGGUCGAGCUCUCUUUAAGCUUAAAGUAGUUAGGCCACAAAGUUAAGCUCUCUCUUAGCUUAAGGUAAUUUGGUCUCAGGGUCGAGCUCCUUGAUGGCUAUUGGGACCGAUCUAUUUGGAAAUGAUGAUCAUAUAGGUCGAGCUCCUUGAUGGCCAUUUAAGCUGAGCUCCUUGAUGACNAUUGAGGCCAAACUCUUUAGGCGAUGGCACCAUGGUGACUGAGUUCCAUGAUGGCUACAAAGGUCGAGCUCUUCAAGUAAGUUGGUUAUCUGACCGAGCUUUUUGAUGGCUAUAAGGCUGAGCUCUUUACCGUGAAGGUUGUUGGCUGAGCACCUUAAUGGCUACUUUGGACGAGCUUUUUAGACAAGUUGACCAUUUGACCAAGCUACUUUGAUGACCAUUAGGGUNGAGCUCUCUGGACAAGUUUUGGCCAAGCUCUAUGAUGGCUACAAAGCCAAGCUCUUUAUCAUGAAGACUGUCUAGUCGAGCUUCUUGAUGGCUAAUAUGGCCGAACUCUUCAAAUAGGUUAGCGGCGGCCAAGCUCUUUGAUGGCCAUUGGGGCUAAGCUCUCAAGACAGGUUGACCAUUCGACCAANCUCCUUGAUGGCUAUAUUUGGCCAAGCUUCCUUGAUGGCUAAUCUAGUCGAGCUCUUUAGAUCGGUUGGUCAUUCAGGCAUGCUCCUUGAUAAUUGUUGAGGUUGAGCUCUUUAGACGACGACCUUGUUCUUGAGGCUUUGUAAUUGAAUACCUGAUUUUUUAGCAGACCGAGUUCUUGUCACAAUUGUUGUAGUCAUUUUGUGGUUGGCCNUGAAACCCCUACCCUUGAUGUUCUUUUUAUUGGACUUGUAUUUUCUAUUGUUGGCCAUGCUUCCUUGUCGGGUUAUAUUAUUUGUUGGUUGUGUACUAUGUUACGUGAGGUUGAGCUCUAUUGUGUGCUAAUUAUGCUUUGAGGUCAGAUUGUGUUCUUUGGUGAUUGGGCUCUACUGCCGAGGUGUGUUCUCUAGUGGGUGGGCUUCAUUGUUGAAGUAUGAUUUAUGGUGGUCAGGCUCUACUAGUGGAUUUUGUUCUCUAGUUUGGAAGGAGCUCNAUUGGAAAAAGCUCAAACUAUAUAAGCUCAACUAGAAAAAGCUCGAACUAUAGGAGGUCGACCUAAGAAAGACCACCUAGACGAGGUUGGNGAGGAGAGCUCGGUUAAAGAAGCUCAGCUUGUUUAGCUUGGUUGAAAGAGCUCGCCCUAGAGGAGGUCGACCUUAGCGGGAUGGCUNGAAGGAGGUUAGCNAGGGGAANUCGACUUGUAAACGUCAACUGAAGGAGCUUGGCCUGAUGGAGGUCGGCUUGGCAUGAUAGAGGUCGGUAUGUAUGUGCAUACAGUACAAUAGCUUUGAAACUUUCACAAUUACGUAACCCUUUUACUGUCCAUGAGGGACUACCAUGUGAUAAUUCCAUAUUUCUCUGAAGAAUAAGUUUUUUGUGAGGUUUGGUUGCUUGAUGUGGUUCAAAGUGCGAAUUUGCGUUUCAUGGUUCAUUGUGUUUUUGGGUUUGCUAGCCUAGCANAAUGGUGGUUCUUCCUGGUUUGCUUCUUAUUUGUUGGAGAUAGGGUUUUGCGACUUGGGAUUUUGUGUUGUCUCACAGUGGACGAGGAUGGAACUUUAGUGGAUUCUGAUGACUCGUGAUUUAAACUAGUUUUUCUAUAGGUGAGGUUUGAAGCUGACAUGAUUUAGGGAUUUAAUGGGAGGGNNUUUUGGUUUUCACAUGGUGAAGCGCGACUUGGGAGAUAGUUCCGCAGAUGGUGGUUGAUGGAGGCAGAUCUGUGGGUUGUGGUCGUGAUAAACAAUGGUUGAUAGUAAUGAAAUUUUUUAAUUUGGGGUUGUUCGAAAGAACAAUGGUGAAGCGUGACUUGGCUGAUAGUUGUGCAGAUNACGUAGUUGCGUGAAUAGGUAGUGUGAUGAAGGAGGUGCACAUUGAUUUUUGUGUUGUGGUUGAUGAUGGACAUUACCGACGCAAUUCUAACAUGGUUAAAGAUGAAGUGGAUCAUGUUGUUCAUGAUGCNGUGGUGCUAUGGCCACCAGAGGUUGAAGGAUCAAAGGUUGAAUGAUAUGGAGCANAGGGUAGAUAAUGUAGAACAGGAAAUCAAGGGGUGGCCAUGGUUGAUGGUGGUGGGAUUGCACUCUCCAUGGAAGGACCUUGUGUGUGUUUUGUGAGGAAUAAGGGGAUGAUGCAUUCACGCUUCCAAUGUCACCAUUAUCAUCAAGCGGAAGGGCGAUGCUUUAGUUAGGAACUAUGUUUAAUUAUUAACACUUGUGCAUUUGUUUUAGUGAUGGAUAUGGUUGAGCCUGACAAGAUGGUUCCUCCUUAUUNAGGUUGGUCAGAGCUCCUCAAUCUUUAUGGUGUUGUAUGAGCAUUUUUUUAUGACAUAUAGUCGUUGUGUGUGGUGAUCAUGAGAAUGUGAGGUUNGGGAUAUGCUUUACUUGAGCUCUAUGGUAGAUGUCAAUGUUUUUACUUAGAUCUUGAGCGUAAACUCUGCAGAUAAGUGACAAGAUCCUAAUGAUCAUUUGAUCGUCCCUUUCGUUUAGAUAUGGUUUCCUCAUUUAUGAGAGGAGAAGAUGUUGUGGACAUAUAUUCUUAUUAUAAUAAUACUUAUCUAGGAGAAUAAUAACAAUCUAAUAAAUAAAAACAGAAAGAUAAAUAAUAANCAAUACGUCAAACUACUUAGAUUUAAUUAUAAUAUAAAAAUAUUAUAAAAACUUUGAGGUGCUUCAUAUUAAAGUGUCAUAUUGGAAUAUAUAUAUAUAUAUAUAUAUAUAUAUAUAUAUAUAUAUAUAUAUAUAUAUAUAUAUAUAUAUAUAUAUAUAUAUAUAUAUAUAUAUAUCAUGGAUGGAAAAUAAUUUAACACUUAUUCUUCAUAUCCAAAAAUAAAUUAUUAAUUAUUAAUUUUUUUCAAAUUCUAAUUAACUUUUUCAUUUAUUAAUUAUUAGCUUUAACUAUGUAAACUGAUUUGUCUUUUAACUACGUAGAAAGAAGUUUUUUUUUUUUUUAAGAGAAAGUGUUAGUUUUGAUAUCUUGGUGUAAAGUUUGGUGUAAAACAUGAAUNUUCGUAUUGUUCAUUAGAGUAACAACUUACUAGUCUCUUGCAUUUUCAAAGACGAAUUUAACCAUUUACUCUUGAAUGAUAGCAAUAUGUGCUAUGCAAUACAAAUUUUCUUGUAAGGUUGCAAUUAUAAAACAGAGGGUCCAAUGUAGUUUUUAAAGCAAAUACUAACAAUUGUCUUAGCUGGUAUUUAGCUUUCCUUUAUAGAGAAUAUAUAUAUAUAUAUAUAUAUAUAUAUAUAUAUAUAUAUAUAUAUAUAUAUAUAUAUAUAUAUAUAUAUAUAUAUAUAUUCACAUGCUUUUUUGUUUAUGUAAACUGUGCUUGCUUGGUUGAAUAUAUGCGAAUGUAUUUGUGAAUUUUAAUUAAUAAAAUAUCCUUUAUUUUUCUUUAUUCGUCACUAAACUAAUCUAUUUUCACUAUAUGUUUUGUUGGCAAAGAGUUGUAGUCGAGAAGGGUACAAGAAAAAAAGGUUGGAAGUAUGGAAAUUGUGUCGAAAAUAUUUGAUCCAGCAAUUGAGUUUGUGCGGGAUCAUGGUAUUAGGCAGGUGACUUACAUUUUUUGUUACACGAAAAAUUUUAAGGAACUACAGAAGAAAGUUAAGCGUCUAAGAGAAAUAAAAGAGAGGUUAGUUCGUCAACACGAUGAAGCUAAAAGAAAGGGUGACAUAGUUGAAGGUACGGUUGAAGAAUGGUUUGUGGAAGUGGGUGAAUUUGAGAGUAGUGUUGAAAACUACAGCAAAAAUGCAGGUCACAAGAAGACAAGGGGUCUCUAUUAUUUGUUUCCUUACUAUAGGCACAAACUGGGCAGACAAGCAAAGAAGAUGGAAAUAGAGGCUUUGAGGCUAANAGAUGAGUCCCCCAAGAUUGACGAAGUUUCCCAUGCAGAGAAAGUAACAUCUUUUGACCUCACUUCAUCUAAUUCUGGCUACAUUGAAUUUAAUAGUAGAAAAUCCAUUAUGGAAGACAUAAUGAAAAAACUUAAAGAUCCCAAUAUGAAAAUUAUUGGACUCCAUGGAUCACAAGGGAUGGGUAAGAGCACUUUAAUAAAAAAAAUUGCUAAUAAAGCUAAAUAUGAGGGGUUAUUUGAUAGGGUGGCUGAAAUAGAUGUAACUAUCAAUCUCAAUCCACUUAAUAUUCAGGAAGACAUUGCAUAUGUGCUAGGAUUGCAACUAACAGGGGAAAGUGAAAAUGUAAGAGCUGAUUAUCUAAGGAGAUGGUUAAAGAUAGAAAAUGUGAGCAUCCUUAUAAUCUUGGAUAACCUUCAUGAAAGAUUAGACUUGAAUAGGUUAGGGAUUCCGAUUGAUGAUGAUUAUGACUUAAGAAAGAAGAAUGAGUUAAGCAUAAGGUCAAGUAAAAAAGAUAAAGACGACAACACACAGGGUACCGACGAAAAAGUGCUAAAAAAAGCAAAUUUUCUUGCUGAUUAUAAGGGAUGCAAAGUUUUGCUUUCUUCACGUUAUAAGAAAGUAUUUCCUAAUGAGGUUGAUGUUGAGUCCAAUUUUUGUUUAAAGGAAUUAGAUGGCAAUGAUUCAUUGAAGCUAUUUGAGAAGGUGACUGGAGGAGGUAAUAAAAUGUCUAUGCCUAAAGAAGAAAUCCAAAACUAUUGUGCAGGGUUGCCCAUGAGAAUAGUUACAUUUGCAAUGGCAUUUAAAAACUGGAGUGAGUCAGAAAGUGAACCUACACUGGAAAAAUUUAAAAAGCAAGGUCUGGUUAAAUGGAAGGAGUCUUCGGAGAUUCCUAAUAAAAUAAAAUAUGACCUUCCAGAAAAUAAGGAACACAAGUUCAUUUUCUUGCUUUGUGCUCAAAUGGGCCACCUACCCCUGGUUAACGACUUGGUGAAAUAUUGCUUUGGAUUAGGUAUACUUGAAGGGGUCUCUUCCCUUAGUGCAGCUCGGAAAAAAAUAAAUGAAGUGAUGCAAGAGUUGAAAAACUUGAGUUUGGUGUCAUACGAAAAUCCUAAUAUUCAUUUCAGUAUGCCUCAUAUGGUUCGAGAUGAUGCUAUAAGUAAUGCCCUCAUGGAUGACAAUGUUUUUGCUAUCAGAGAUGGAAAACUAGAUUAUUGGCCCAAUCUUGAAAAAUGCAUUUUUAUUUCUAUAUGCAAUAGUGACAUUACAUAUCGGUUUCCUCAAGUCAUAAAUUGUCCACAACUUAAAUUCUUGCAAAUAGAAACUAACAAUCCAUCUUUAAAAAUACCUGAGAGGUUUUUUAGCAACAUGAGAAACUUGUUAGUUUUAAUAUUGAGAGGUUUUCAUCUAUCAUGCUUACCUUAUUCAAUUGAAGACCUAUUGAACCUCAGAAUGCUUUGUUUGGAGCGGUGCACUUUGNNUUGCAAUUUAUCGGUAUUGAGAAAGUUCAAAGACCUAAGUAUUCUCAGUUUUUCUGGAUCUCAACUUAAAAAUUUGCCNGUUGAGUUACAAUACUCGGAUANGUUGCNAUUGCUAGACAUCANUGAUUGUUUUGAAUUGGAGAUUAUUCCACCUAAUCUUAUAUCUAAUUUGACAUGNUUGGAAGAGCUAUAUAUNGGAAAAAGCUUGAUGAAAAUGUUNGUGGAAAGAGAGGAAAGCAAAGGUCAAAAUGCAUUUCUUUCUGAGCUAANAAAUUUACAUGAGUUGAAAGUGGUGGACUUAAGCAUCCCGUGUGUUUCAAUUUUACCCAAUCACUUAUUCUUUGACAGGUUAAAAUAUUACAAGAUUGAAAUUGGGGACUUCGAAAUGUUUUCUAUUGGAGAAUUUAAAAUGCCCAAUAAGUAUGAAGAACUCAAAGUAUUUGCAUUGCAACUGAAGGACGACACUGAUAUCCACUCCCAUAAAGGCAUAAAAUUGUUAUUUAAAACAGCACAAAGUUUGUUGUUGGGAAAGGUAGGUGUUCAAAAUGUUGUUAACGAGUUGAAUAUAGACGGAUUUCAGGAUUUGAAACACUUAUCCAUCAUAAAUAACAAUGACAUCAAAUAUAUCAACUCAACAUGUUUGUCUAAUAGUGUGAACAUUUUUCCCAAUUUGGAAUCUCUAUGCCUCUACAAUAUGAUGAACUUAAAGAUGAUAUGUGGCAGUUCAAUUACACUUGAAUCAUUUGCCAAAUUAAAAACCAUCAAGGUUAAGAUGUGUUAUCAAUUGGAAAAUCUCUUCUCCUUCUAUGCAAUUAAAAUCUCUACUAGCACAAGAUCAAGUGAGAUUAAUGAAUGUAAUUCUUACAAGAAGAAAGUUUUGGCUAGUUUAGAAAUGAUUGAGGUUUGUGAAUGUGAAUCUUUGAAGGAGAUCCUUCAAAUACCGAUGGAUUGUGAUAAGGUUAAGUUUCUCAGAUUACACACUUUGACACUCCAAUCAUUGCCAUCACUCACUUCUUUUAAUACCAAAGUCAAGAGAUCUUGUUGGCCACAUUCGAUAGAUGCUCAAACUACAAAUAGGGAUCACACAGAAAUUUCUACUGAACAAGAUGGCCAUAGUGACAAUGCGCCUCCUCUUUUUGGUGAACUGGUAUGACAUUACAUAUUUUUCAUAUUUAUUUAAAUAAUUAGCUCAUUUGUUGUAAAAAUAUUAAUUGUGUAUGCGUUUCCAGGUUGAAGUUCCAAACUUACAGAACUUGAAUUUAUCCUCACUCAACAUCCCUAAGAUAUGGAGCGACCAACACUUGUCAAGUUUCUACUUUCAAAACUUGAUAAGGUUAGUUGUGAAAGAUUGUGAUAAAUUGACACAUCUAUGUUCAUUAUCUAUGGCUAGCAGUUUGAAGAGGUUGAAAAGCCUCGUCNUAAGUGGAUGUCGUAUUAUGGAAAAUAUUUUUGAGAUUGAAGGAAUUAGUGCAAACAAGGUAUGUAUUGGUAUAAAUACUUUUUUGUUUAUCUUUUAUUUAUCUGUAAUAAUUGUUUGUUUUCAUUAAACUGAAGGUUUGUGUCUUUCCUAAGCUGGAGGAAAUCCACCUUAGCAACAUGAAGAGGUUAACAAAUAUUUGGCAAACUGAAGUCAGUGUUGAUUCCUUUUGUAGUCUCAUUUCCGUAAGCAUCGAAGAAUGUAAUGAAUUGGACAAGAUUUUUCCAAGUCACAUGGAGGGAUGGUUUGAAAGUUUGAUUAACUUAAAAGUUUCUAAUUGUAAGUCCGUGAAAGAGAUUUUUGAAGUUACUGAUUAUGAAGAAAUAGAUGAAUAUGGUGGGAUAGACACAAAUUUGCAGGUUAUUCUUCUUGAAGACCUCCCGAAAUUGAAGGAAUUGUGGAGCAAAGAUCCACACGGAAUUCUCAAUUUUAAAAACCUUCGGACUAUAGAUGUAAGUAAUUGUGAAGAACUGAGGAAUUUGUUUCCAGCUUCUAUGGCAAAAGAUGUAUCAAAGCUUGAACGUAUGUCAAUAUUGCAUUGUGAGAGGAUGGUGGAAAUUGUUUCAAGUAAAGAUGCAUCAGAAGCUAACAAUGAUCCAUUAGAGUUUCCUGAACUAAGCUAUGUGAGAUUAUAUGAGCUUCAAAACAUCAGGCAAUUCUACAAGGGGAGACAUCCAAUAAAGUGUCCAAAGUUGAAGGAAUUAAGCAUAGGGAAGUGUAUGAAGCUUAAAACAUUUUCACAAGAAACAAGUGAUGAAAAGUUUGUUUUCUCAGCUGAAGUGGUAAGCAUUAUUCCAACUUUAUCAGAGUAAAGUUUAAUCAAAUUAUAUGCCUUAUAAAGAAUAAAAGAAAUAUAAUUAAAAAUAUGUAAAAGAAUUGGAAAAAUGAGAACCAAAAUAAAAUUAACGAUUGUGUAAAGUUGAGAAAAAUAAAAGUAAAUUAAAUCAAAAAUUGAGUUUUAGGAUUAUUUAGUUUUAAAAAGAAAUAAAGGAUUGCAAUUUUAUUUUUAUUGUUAAAUUUUAUUCAUAUUAUUAUUUUCAGUUUUAGUGCUAUUAUUGUAAUAAUAAAAAGUUUGUAGUUUGUAUAAAAAUGAUAAGUAAUUUUUAGUGAAGGCUUUAUGGUCAAAUCUAUAUAUUUACACAAGUGUUUUGUAUAGAAUAUUAUAUAUAUAUAUAUAUAUAUAUAUAUAUAUAUAUAUAUAUAUAUUAUUAGUUUUUAAUUAAUAUUAGUUGAAAUUCUGAAUGAUAAUAAAAAUUGUUUUAAGUAAAUAGCAUAGCUUCAAAGGAAACUAUAACAUUAUUAAAAACGAGGUUUAACUAAUAGUGUUUUAUUUUCCACAUACAGGAUCAAUGUUUGGGAUUUCUAAUCUCACAUUUUUCUUUAAAAAUCUUACAUUAAUACAUCCAUGACAUUAAUAUGAAGUUCUUUAAAGCAUGAUGUUCCUAUUUUAGCUCAUUAUUUACGUUUUUUAAAUUGACAAACAACCAAAGAAGAACAAAAACCAUACAUAAUAAUCAUAAACAGUUACAAAGCAAACAAAAAUGCCUAAAAUCAAAGAAAUUUGAAUGUAGGCAUUUAAUUCAUUCUUCUUACUAUUUAUUUUUAAUGUUUAGGUAUUUCCGAAGUUGGAGUAUAUGGAAAUUGACUUCCUGGAAGCCCAGAAUUUGUUAUCCAAGUACGAAAUGCACAAUUUAAAAGAGCUUAUUAUCUUGAGAGCAAUCGAGUGCCCAGAUCUUUUCUACCCCUUUCUCUACAAAAUGCCAAAUCUAGAAAAGUUAAAAUUGACUUUCGGAUAUUAUUCAUCGUAUUACAGAUUGCAAAGUAGAAACAUUGGGCAGCAUGACAGAUUGGGAGUCGUAUUACAGUUGAAGCAAUUGAUUAUUCGUUCCUCAGAUAUAAAUGAUAUAGGAUUUGACCGGGACCAAGUUCUACAGAGAUUGGAGCUUUUGAGCUUGAAAGAAUGCAACGAAUUGAAGACUUUAGCUCCUUCUUCUGUAUCGUUGAGUUACUUGACAUGUUUGAAAGUAAAAAAUUGUGAGGGAUUAAGGAAUUUAAUGGCAUCCUCCACGGCCAAAAGCAUGGUUCGACUUAAGACUAUGAAGGUAAUCAACUGUGAUAAGGUAAAGGAAAUAGUAAGCCAUGAGGAAAAUGAAGAAGACAAAGUGAUGAAAAUUGUAUUCAGCAAAUUGAUAUCUAUAGAACUUGUGGGGUUAAACAAACUCGUAAGCUUUUGCAGUUACAAGGACUGUGAAUUUGAAUUUCCAUCACUGGAAAUAUUGAUCGUAAGAGAGUGCCCAAAGAUGGAAAAAUUCAGUGAAAAAAGAGCAAUAGCACCAAAGUUGAAAGAUGUAUUUGGUGUGGAAGGAGAUGAAAAAGCCAAAUGGCAGUGGAGAGGUGACUUGAAUGCUACCAUACAGAAGGUUUUCAAUGAUAAGGUAAUUACUUUUUCCUUUAUUUAAUACUAUUUCUCCUAAUUUUAUGAAUUUUUCUUUUAAAGUGCAAAAGAAUAAAAAAUCAUGAUUGGAAUUUACAAAUACAUGUUUCUGCCAUAGAAGCUUUAAAUAGCAAGAAUGUUGAGUUUUGUUUUGGAUUACUUUUUUAAGUCCUUUUAUCUAUUUAUUUAAUUAGAUUUGGUUCUUUUAUUUUUAAAGAAUUUAAUAUAAUAUAAUAUUAAUUUUCUGAAAAAGCAUUCAAUGUUGUAAAUUUCCAUUUAAACAAAAAUACACCCUGAACAACUAACAACGAACGUGUAUUUUCACAGAUACUAAGUGAUUUUCACACAUGACAGCUACAAAUUUUCAUUAUAAUUAAUUAAUAGAUUUUAUAUAUUGAAAUUUAUGUUUUUAAAAUAAAAUUAACACAAUAUGACACGGUAAUUUGUUAGUUAUUUUAAAUUUAUAAUAAUUAAAAAUAAUUGUAAUAUAACACUUUUAAUAACUUUACUUAUAUAUAUAUAUAUAUAUAUAUAUAUUUAUUUAUUUAUUUAUCACUAUGAGUAUUUUAAAUUAAUAAACUUAUUUUCGGAUAUAUAAGUAUUUUAAUAAAUUUAUAGUAUUACAUUAUACUUGUCUAUAAAAAAGAAAUAGUAUUACUAUUUAUUUUAUUUUAUAUCAAUAGUUUUGUUAGAGUAAUGACUAUAUUAAAUUUAAUAAAUAUCAAAAAAAUAUUUACAUAGUAAUUUGAUAAUUUUAAUUUAUACACCAUUUUUACUGUUAUUAGUACUUAUAAAUAUAUUAUAAAUGAAAAAAUAUAUAUUUAGUUAUUUUAAAGUUAUAAUUUUAAAAUUAAAAAAUACUGAAUUAUUGAAGUGAGAAUUAUAGUAAAAGCUUGUAAAUUUGUUUUUUGUUUAACUUUUUGGGGGAUAAAAAAAGUAUGAUUAUAGUAAAAGGUAGAGAAGUAAUUUAAUAAUUUGUCUGAUUUACAGGUCAGUUUCGCAUAUACUGAAGAACUGUGGUGGCUUGAUUAUAAUAUUAUAAAGCAACUAUGGAAUAACACUCAUUGGGGGCAGCAAAAUAACUUUGGGUAUUUGAAAAGGUUGAGCUUAUCGGGAUGUGAUACUCUAACGCGUAUAAUUCCAUAUCAUUUGCUUUCUUGCUUUCACAAUUUGGAAGAGUUAUAUGUAUUCAGUUGCAGUAAUGCAGAGGUGAUAUUUAAUAUGAAUGGUGAGAACAGGGUGAUGACAAAAUCUUCCGGAAUAUUCCGUCUGAAAAUAUUGUCUUUAAGUUUCCUACCAGCACUGGAGCAGGUAUGGGACAAGGAUCCGGAGGGAGUCAUAGGCCUUCAACUGCUAAGGGAAAUGCGUGUUGAAGAUUGUAAGAGUCUUAAAAGUUUGUUUCCAGCAUCGGUAGCCAAACAUCUUACGAGACUUGAUGUACUUAUAGUAACAGACUGUGAGGAAUUGGUAGAAAUCUUUGAGAAGGAUGAAAAGGAUGAGAAAGGAGAAGGAGCAACACAUGAGUCUGUGUUUCCUCGUCUCACCACAUUGACGCUGAAGCAAUUGCCACUCCUCAAAUACUCUAUACAAUGCUCCAAACAACAGGUAAUUCUCAAAACUUUGCCUUUAUGUGACAUUCAAAAGUUAUUUAAAUAACAGAGUCAGUACAUAUAUAAACAUAUAUAAGAACGACAAACAAAUACGCCCAUAGUUUUAUGCCUGCUGCACUCGGAAAAUUCACUCCCCAAAUUUGGAAAAGGUAUUCAACGGGGAAAUUUUCACUCAUGACAAUAUACCAUGAACUUGCUUUUCAAGUUUUGGCAUAAUCCAAGAUGCAAGAAGCAAGGAUCAUAACUUUUUUGAGCUGCUUGGGGAAUUUGCGAACUCAAUUUUAUGCUCUCUUACUCUUCUUCUUUCUCUCUCCACAAUCCUCUAAAAAUUAACAUUCUCUUAACAUUAAAGACUCUUUUCCAUUUGAAUUAAGUGAGACAAGAUGAACAGACAAAUUUUAGAUAUAAAAGUGGGAGUUCAACCCAACAAUAAUAACAUUUUUUAUUUAGCAUUGUGCUACAUCACCCAUUUUAAACCUCUUUAGUUUCUCUUUUAAUUCUUAUCAUCACACCUUGAAAUGAAAUUAUUCCUUCAAUUUCUUUCCAUAAUACGGUUACUAUUAAUUAAUCAAGAAAUUUCCUUUUUAUUCUGUACAAUCUGUUAGUAUCUAUAAUCCCAAUUUUGUAGGUCCCCGUUUUUAUUUUAUUUUAUUAUUAUGAUUUCUUAGUUUAUUUUUCUAUUUUCAUGUUGUAAUAAUUAUUAUGGUAAUCAUGAAAAGAUAUUCCCAAAAGUUAACAUUUCAAACAAAUUCCGAUGUGCGACAAAAACAAAUUUCUAAAUCUAACUUCUUUUGCAGGAGAGUAUAUCAAAUUUGCGUUUUAAAGAAAUACAAGAGUUAUGUCUUGGCUCACGGCCCAUCCCAAACUCCUGCUUCGGUCUCUUAGAUUCUUUGAUUGUGGAUGGGUGCAAGUUUUCAUCAGAUGUACUUCUACCAUUCACUUUACUUUCUUUCUUAGCUAAAUUGGAGUCGUUGGAAGUUAGAAAGUGUGAUUCUGUCAAAGUUAUUUUUGAUGUCAAAUGUACAACACAAGACAUGAUCACUUUUCCUCUAAAGAAAUUGACUUUAUCCCAGCUACCAGAUCUGAAGAAUGUUUGGAAUGAAGAUCCUCAUGGAAUUCUAAGCAUGCACCAUCUACAAGAACUACAUGUUAAGGAAUGUAAAGGCCUUAAAAGUAUGUUUCCAGCCUCAGGGGCCAAAGAAGUACUACUACCAUUCAAUUUACUUCCUUUCUUACCUAACUUGGUAACGUUGGAAGUUCGAAACUGCGAUGGUGUCAAAGCCAUUUUUGAUGUCAAAUGUACAACACAAGGCAGAGAUAUGACAUCUCAGCCUUUUUCUUUGAAGAAUUUGACUUUAUCGAAGCUGCCAAAGCUGAAAACUAUUUGGAAUAAUCCUCAUGGAAUUCUGAACAUGCGGCAUCUACGACAAGUACAUGUUGAGGAAUGUAAAUGCCUUAAAAGCGUGUUUCCGGCAUCAGUAGCCGAAGAUCUUUUGGAACUCGAAAGUCUAGUGGUAUUACACUGUGAGAGAUUGAUGACUAUUGUGGUAGAAGACAAUACAAAUGGAAGUCAAGAGUUUACGGUACCCUGUCCCUGUGUGAGAUCAGUGAAACUACGGGGCUUGCCCAAGUUCAAGUAUUUUUACUACUACUCUCUCACGUCUCACACUUACAAGUGUCUAGAAUCAAAUACCGAGAAUCAAGUCGAUACUGAGAAGGUACGUCCUACUAUUUUACCACUUCCUAUUGAUGCACAAUAUGUUAUCAGUUUCUUUAAUAGUUUACCGUUGUUCAAUAUGAAUAGUACAAAAUACUCUUUAAAAAUAUGUAACUUUCAAGUAUAAAUCUUCUAUCUUCUUUCCCUGUUAACCCCACUUUUGUUUUACAAAAGAACAUGUAUUUGUAUAGGAUAACCAUUGUAACAGAGUCUAUUUAUUUAUUGGGAAGUUUCAAUAAUUGAGUAGUUAAGUUCUUAAAAAGUAAAAAUGGAUAUUUAAAAUUAAAUUUGAAGGCAACUGCACAAGUAUCUCUCUUUCCUAAAAUUACAAAAGCUAAUUCGAAAACAUAGGUAAAAAAAGGAGUAGUGAUUAAUAUAUUAUAUUAUUAUAAUUUAUGAAAAAAAAAUAAUAUACGUAUUAGAUUAGUUAAAAUUAGUAUAUUAUAUUUUAAUAGAAAAUUAAACCGUAAUAUUUUAUUAAAACCAGUUAAAUAAUAAGGUUCAAAAAACAUGUAUAUGUAUAAAUAAGUAAAAGAAUACAAAUUAUGAUAGCAACAAAAUAAGAUGUGAGAUCAAUUCCAUAGAUUAUUAGAGACAAUAUUGUACUUUAUCAUCAUUAAAACAAAAUAAUGGUGCUUCAACCUUAUAAACAAUCUUCUACUAUCAUAGGUAAUAUGUCACUGAUUACCUAUCAAGCAUCUUUCAACAUAAUUUCCCUAACUUGCUUUUUCUUGUGUGUGUGUGUUUUUGUUAUUACAGAGUCUGAUACUUGCCAAAUAUGAAAUGGAGAAGAUUUCCGGUGAAGAAUUUCACAGAAAGCUCUUAAACAACUUAAAAGUUCUUACUCUCUCUUUUGGAUGGGAUGUACUUCAAUAUAAAAUUCUAGAACAGGUUCCCAAUAUUGAGAAGCUUGUGGUGUGUUAUGGUUCUUUCAAAGAGAUGUUUUGUCUUGAAAGUCCUAAUAAUGUGAAUUAUAGUGGACUUCUAUUACAACUGAAAACAUUACGAUUGGAGUCCCUUGAAGAGUUGGUUUCCAUUGGGUUAGAAAAAUCUUGGACUGAAUCCUUUGUCAAAAAUCUAGAAACUUUUGAAGUCAUUAGUUGCUCAAAAUUGAAAAACGUGGUAGAAAGCAAAGUGUUUCUCUCCAAUUUGACAUAUUUGAAACUUGAAAGUUGUAAUAGCUUGCAAUAUUUGUUCACAUCCUCAACGGCCAAAACUUUGGGUCACCUUAAAGCAAUGGAGAUAGAUAGUUGUUACUCAAUUGAAGAGAUAGUGUUUAAGGAGGACGGGGAGAAAUCAGAUGAGGAGGAGAUAAUAUUUCCGAAACUCAUUCGUUUGAAUCUUUACUAUUUACGGAAACUCCAAUUGUUCUAUAGAGGGAGAUUAUGUUUCCCAUCAUUAGAGGAAUUGUUAGUACCAGGUUGCACCGAAAUGGAAACUUUCUGUAUUGGUACGAUAACAGCAUGCAAGUUGUCUCAAGUUAAACUUGGACGAUAUUCACAAGCUAUUCCUAUAGAAGAUGAUCUCAACCAGACUAUGCGGAAGGAAUUUCUAAAAGAGGUAUAUGUUUAAAUUUAAUAUUCUUAAUUCAACAUGGUUAUGAUUCUUUUCGUUACAAUACCCAACCUCAGUAUGAAUUGAAUUUAUACUCUGCCUUCCAAGAUAAGUAUGUUAAAUUAUUUUUAUUUUACUUUUUAACUAAAUAGUAUACAACCAAACUAUUCUUUCAUUACUACUUAUAUAAAAAAAUUAAAUAUAAGAAAAAUAUAAAAAUAUUUUCUUCAUAAACUAAAAUUAACUAACAUUAGUUGAAAAAGUAUAAUAAUUUCUUUUCUCCCCUGCUAAUAUUAAAUACGAUUCUUAAGAUAAAUAUUUUAAAAAAAUAAUAAUUUUAUCGUAAAAUUUUUUGACUGAAUAAUAAUAUAACUUUUACUUUUCUACUAGAUAAACUAUUGUUAACUCUUUUUCUAUACAUGCCUUGGUUGCACUUUAUCAAAACACAUUUUUCGAAAUUUUUAUGACUUAAAAUUCAAAUUAAUCAUCUACCAACACAUAGACGAAUCGUAACUUGACCUAUAAUAACUUUUAAAGUUUAUUAAAAUAAACUAUAUUUAUCAUCAAGUGGUGGGAAGCUGACUAUAGUUAUUCGAAAUACUAUUCUAAUGAUUUAUCAUCUUUAAUAAAAUAUACUUUCAUUUUAAAAUUUUAAAAUAUUUAAUCAAUCAUAUUGAAUCAAACUAUUUAUUACUUUAAUAGAUGAAGAGUAAAAUUAUAAAUAUUUAAACCACGAUACUUAUUUGUUAAUACAUUUUAAAAACUAUCAUUUCGUUAUGUAUAGUAUAGACAUAUAUCCAUGGCAUAUGUUGAAGCAUGCAAGAGGGUUUAGGACAUCUUGGCUGGAAAACUUUAGACAUAAUUGGAUAAUUCUUUUAAAAUAAUCAGAAAUUAUAAAUUUUUAAAUUCAUAAAAGUAACUUUUAUUUAUCUCUUAGGUCUCGAAGUCAAGUAUUGUAAAUUAGAAGACGUGAUUCGCUAGAAAGUUUGUAAUAAAAUAAUGGAUUUCACGUUUUUUCUAUUAUUUAUUCUUUUGCACUUGCAGACACUAGGGGAAACAAGGAUUGAUCUCAAAAAAAAAUCCAAGACUACUCAAGAUAUGGAACAACUCAAUGCAGAUCCCUCGUUUCAGUAAUCUGAUCAGAUUGACUGUGACUGACUGCGAGUUUUUAUCAGAUGCAGUGCUACCCUUCUAUUUCCUUUCUUCAUUACCCAAAUUGGAAACAUUGCAAGUUCGAAACUGUGGUUCUGUUAAAACCAUAUUUGAUGUCAACCCUACAACAGAAGAAGACAGAUUAAUUGUUUUUUCUCUGAAGAAAUUGGUUUUAUCGGAGCUGCCAAGGCUGGAAACUAUUUGGAAUAAAGAUCCUCGUGGAAUUCUAAGCAUGCGCCACUUAGAACAAGUGUUAGUUUAUAGCUGUAAACGCCUUAAAAGCGUGUUUCCGGCAUCAGUAGCCAAAGAUUUAGAGACACUUGAAACCUUUGAAGUCAUUAGAUGUAAGAGUUUAAAAAACUUGGUAGCGUGCACAGUGUCUUUCUCCAAUCUGACAUGUUUGAAAGUAAAAGGUUGUGAUGCCUUAUCAUAUUUGUUGACAUCCUCAGCAGCCAAGCGCUUGAGUCAACUCAAAAGAAUGGAGAUAAAGGAUUGUGAUUCAAUUGAAGAGAUAGUGUGUAAGGAAGAUGGGAAGGAAUCAGAUGAGGAUGAGAUAAUAUUUCCGCAGCUCACUUGUUUGGAUCUUUAUCUGCUACUGAAUCUCAAAAGGUUCUACAGAGGAAGUUUAGGUUUCCCAUGCUUGGAGGAACUGUCAGUAACAGAAUGCGAUCAAAUGAUAACUUUAUGUCAUGGAAGUAUAGAAGCAGCCAAGUUGUCUCAUGUUAAACUUGAUCAGGACUCAGAUGCUAUUCCAUUGGAAACUGAUCUCAACUCUACUAUGAGGAAGAAAUAUCUUACAAAGGUACGUGUUUAAUUUUAGGACACGUGUCAUCAUUUUAUUGGUCUAUUUGAAUUUAUGUUUAAAAAAUAUUUAAAACAAACCAAUCACAAGCUACCACGUAUGCAUUGUCAAAAAGUUGUUAAAAAAGUGUUGUUAAAAAAAGUUUUUCCUUAAUUUUAUUGUUUUUCAUUGAAUAUUUAUGAUACAUAUCUAAGUAUAUGAUGGAAAUUGUGUAUUGUAUUGGCUAGCAAGGAACUUUUUAAUCUUGGUACCUUAAUAUUCAUAUUUUAAGGCUCAAACUUAUUAGUAAGGAAGACAUAAAUAAAAUAACAUAUGUUUUCAAGUUAAAAAUUUUGCGGAAAAGUUUUAUUAAAUCAUUUUUAAUUAUAGGAAACUUAUUUAUUUAUCUCAAGUUAUUUUAAACACACUUGUUUUUUCUUUAAAUUUAAAGUAAGCAAGAUAUAUUGUACCUUACAAAUUUCCAUUUUUUUUAUAAAAUGCAACAAAAAUACAUUCAAAAAGCAAAUAAUUUAUAUGUUAACAAAAUUUAAAUUCUCUAUCAUUAAAUUAUAAUCAUUUUCAUAAUAAAUUACUUUAAAAAUCUUAUUUGACAAAAAUUAUGAUAAACUGAUGGUUUGAAACAUUGUUCCAAUAACCAUACAAAUUAAAUUAAAUUUAACUUAAUUAACGUACUCAUAGUAAAUCGUAAAUUUAUUAAUUAAAAUAACUUAUAAAUAUAAAGAAAUAGAACAGAAUCAAAUAUUUUUUAUAUGCCAUUUUAACAUUAAUUUAGUAUCUUUACUGAUAAUAUAUGUUUUUAAUUAAUUUUAAAUUUUUAUAACUUUUAUUUAUUAAUAAAUUGUUAUCAUUAUAUUUAUUUUAUUUUUCAUUGCUAUAUAUUUAUCAUAAAGAAUAUUUAUUAUUAAUCUUCUACUAUGUUUUAUUAUAUUUAUACAAAUUUACGAUAAUGUAAAAAUAACACAUUUUUAAACAGAUAUAUGAUAAUUAAAGUAAAUUAAAAAUAGAUAUAAAAUUAAUCAUCUGUAAUGCAUAAAUAAAUAAAAAUGAUAAAAAUUAAAUAAAUCUACUAUAAUCAAUAUUAUUGGAUUUUAAGUAUAACCUACAAAUUAUAAAAUGAAAAUUAUGAAGAAUAUAAAAAUAUAAUAAUAGUAAUAAUAAUAAUAAUAAUAAUAAUAAUAAUAAUAAUAAUAAUAGAAAAAAUAAUUUGUUAUCAUUGUCAUUAUCUUAUUUAGAAAUAUAUUAGAAACGUUAAUUUUUUGUUACUGUAAAAAAAAUAAAAAUAAUAAAUACUUUAUAUAAAAAUAAAAAGAAAACUUAAUAAUUGUUUUAAAAGAUAAAUAGAUAUAAAUAUAAAAGGUUAAAAACUAAAAUAAAAAAUGUCACUUCUAAUAACAUUUAAAAGUUCUACAAUUAAGUUGCUAAAUUUGUUUUUCUGGAUAUUAGUAAUAGAUUUAGAAAACAUUAGAAAAUAGUUUAAAAGUAAAAUCAAAGUAAAAUUAAGUGAAGAUGUAAUUUGCAUCCUUAUAUUUGAAUUUACUCUCAUUCAUCAAGCUUUUACUAUUAUGAAAGUUGAAUUUUUAAAUUAAUAUUUUUUUAUAUAUUCCUAAACUUCAUAAAAACAAAUUAGAAAAAUUAACAAAAUAAUAAUUUGAAAAGCUAUAGAACUCAAUCAAAUCAAUGACAAAGUUAAUUAAAAAAUAGUUAGAGAUUUUGUUUAUAAUUAACUUCUAUAUUUAAAUUGCCAAAGGAAAUUAUAUUUUUUUUAAUCAAAGGAUGAGCGUAGAAACUAUUUUCAUUUUUAUGAGAAUUAAAUAGAACUUUAAAUGUACCUAAUAUUUUAGCAAUUCCCAAUGUCCCGAAAUAGAAUUGUGGAGGUAAAAUGUAGUAUGAAAAGAAAAAGUAUUAAAAUUGAUGCAUGUAUUUGUGAGUAAUUAGUUAUAAGUAAUGUUGGUUAUUUGUAUAGGAAAACUGUAAAGUCUGAAUUCUUGGUAAUUCUUAUACAAGAUUAAUUUAAUUUUUUUUUUUUUUUUCAUUUACAUGUGCUGAUUUCGAAAGAUUGUAUCAUCGGAAUCGAAAGAGAGUCUUGAAUUUAAAGAUAGGGCAGACCUACAAGAGAUAUGGUGUCUCUCACUGCAGAUACCCCACUUUUCUUUCACUUACUUGAAAACCUUGAUUGUGAAUAAAUGCAAAAUUUCAUCAGAUGAUGCAGUGCUACCUUUCACUUUACUUUCUUUGUUACCCAAAUUGGAAACAUUGGAAGUUCAAAACUGUGAUUCUGUCAAAACCAUAUUUGAUGUUAAAUGUACAACACAAACCUCAACCACUUUUCCUCUCAAGAAUUUAGUUUUACGGAAGCUGCCAAAUCUGGAAACAGUUUGUAAUGAAGUUACAGAGGCUAAUCCAGCUCUUUCAUCAGAAGGAACAAAUUCUAAUCUUACAUUCUCCUGUUUGACGUCAUUGACACUCUUGGAUUUGCCCAACUUCAAUGCAGCACCAACAUUUCAGGUUUGCGCUUCUUCUUUUUUCAAUAACAUAUACAUUCUCACACAUAUGCUUUUAUCAAAUAUAUAUAAUGCCUUAAAAAGUGCGUAAAUCUUGAUAAAUAAUCUCCUACCGACCUUCGAAAUAUUUUUCAUUAUUUUCUUCCUAUAGGAACCACUAUUCAUCUCUUUUAUCAAACUUUUCAUCUGAAAAUUAAUUUUAAAUCAAAAUGGUUGCUGCCUUAUGAGCAGCUACCUGGUCUCCCUAGUAAAUCCUUUUUUGUCUUUUAAAUGGUCUUGUUCACAUCUUUUAUUUUUAUUUAAUCUUGAAAUGUCAGUUUUUCACUAAUUAUCGGGAUUAUUUUGGUAUAAAAGUUCACCAUUUCAAUUUUAUACAGAGAGUUGAAUCUAUGACUUUGCUAACUGCUUUCACUUCGUUAUUGGUUCCUCUUUGUAGCUAAUUACACCGAACUUAGAAAAUCUGAAAGUGGGUGAAAAUGAAUUGAAGAUGGUUGUCGAUGGGAAAAUUCAGAGAAACCUUUUACACAAGUUAAAAGUCCUGGCUCUGUGCUUUGAUAAAAAGUUUGCUGAAUUUUCAGAGUAUGGAUUUCUACAACAGUUGCCAAAUGUGAUUAAGCUUGUGGUGUGUGACAGUUCCUUCAAAGUGAUUUUCUGCGAUGAAAGACCUAAUAAUAGUGAAAUUCUUUUACAAUUGAAAGAAUUACGCUUGGAGUCCCUUCAAGAGUUGGUUUCCAUUGGCUUAGAAAACUCAUGGACUGAACCCUUUGUCAGAAAUCUAGAAACCUUUGAAAUCAUUGAGUGUUCGAAUUUAAAAAACAUAGUAACAUGCAGAGUGUCUUUCUCGAAUCUGAUAUGUUUAAAAGUUGAAAAUUGCAAUAGCUUGUCAUAUUUGUUCACAUCUUCAACAGCAAAAAGUUUGGAUAAACUUCGAAGAAUGGAGAUAGAAAAGUGUGAAUCAAUGGAAGAAAUAAUAGCAAAGGAGGGGGAGGAAUCUGAUGAGAACGUAGAAAUAAAAUUUGAGCAGCUCCAAGAUUUGUCUCUUAAAAAAUUAGAUGAGCUAAGGUGCUUUUACGAGGGCAAUUUUACUUUAUACUUUCCAUCCUUGAAGGAAGUCCACGUCAUCCAGUGCAGCUCCAUGAAAAUUUUCAGUGCAUUCUACAAAAUAGAUAAUCCAACAAGGUGGCAUUAUUCAGAAUAUGAGAGACCCCGAAAGGAAACUGAUCUUAAUUCUGCUCUGCUCAGAAAUUCUGAAGAAGAGGUAUACAUGCUUUUACGUCUUAAUUUGGUAAAUAGAAUUAGGAGUAUAGGGCCCUGCGUAACAUUCUUCUUAAUUUCUCUUUAUCAACUGCUAUGAUUUAUCAUUUUCAUUAUAAAUACUGUACAUUUUCUUUGGGGAGAAUUUAUAAGAAAACCAUAAACAAAGCUAGUUAUUGGCGCUUUGAAUUGAGAACAUUGUUUUUAGCGUAAUGUGUUUUUGAGUUGCAUCAUGCUUAAAAGUAAGUUGUAUAUGGUCUUAUGCUUUAAAUAGGCUCCAGAUGCUUCUACUACAUCAAAUCCGUCAGAUACGGAAGAUAGUGGAUAUCGUACAAAUACUUCAGAUACGGAAGAUAGCGAAUAUGGUACAAAUACUUCAGAUACGGAAGAUAGCGGACCUGUCGUACAUCAAAUAUUAACUACUGCCAUUGCAAUUGUUAAUCUUUUUUAGGGUGAGUUUUACUGUCAUCUUCUCUAUGCCCAUGCAGGUGAUGAUUAAUGAGAAAGCACUUUUUCACAGCAUAACAUCAUGAUUACGUCUUAAUACCUAAGUAAUUUUGUAUUAGUGUCAUUUUAAGUUUUAUUCAUAUCUUUUUAAGUGAAUAUUUCUUUGUCAUAUUUUAGUUAUGAGACUAGUGAAUCGCUUGAAAUCGCUUUAAUGAAAGUAUAGUAAUUGUUUUUAUAAUUCGUCUAGGUUGAGUCUAUGUGGCAGACUCCAUUAUUGAAGUAAUUAAGAGGAGAUUGAAGGCAUAAAGAAUGGAUGAAGAGGAAUCUGUCUCGAUUUUAUUAUGUGUGAUUGUGUUUUAAAGAAAAUGAAAAAGAAAAGAAAAGUGUUAUUCUACCUAGUUGAACGUGUUUCUAUUUUAUUAGGUAUGACUGUGUUUUUUUUUAUAAAAAAAAAAAAUUCUGUGUUGUUCUACCCAAUUGAAGAUAAAAUACAUUAUUAUUUGUACUAUGUAAUGUGUGAGAUUAAAAGUGUGACAGUCAUGAAUAUUGAUUAAAGGUGAAGUGAGGAACUGUCACUAAAUAUUGAUUGUAAUUUCAUAUGUGAUUAUGCUGGUUAAAAAAAGCAAAGGUAUGCUAGUAUUCAUUUGCUAUUAAUUUUAUCUUCAUGUGAUCAUAAUUAAUGAUUUUAUCUAGUACUCAACUUUUAUCAUGCUUCACUUUUGAGUCCUCCGUUGUCACAUAGGUAAUGUAUAUGCAUAUUUGUUUACAAAAGAAAGUUUGAGGGUAGGAAGAUUUUGAAGAAAAUGUUUCAUACAACUUUUUAUCGGAAAGGGUUAUUUCGCUUAUGGAAGACAUGAAGUAAAGGGAUUAUAUAAACUACUUAAAAGAGUAAUUCCAAUAUAAAUAUUUUUGUACAUCAUUCUAAAUAAGAUUUUCUAGAAUUCUAUUUGGGUCUUUAUAAUAUUAGACUUUUAUCUUAUAAGCCUAAAACACAAAAUUAAUUUACAUUUCAACAAAUUUAUCAUCUUCAAGUACCCUAAAUCCUUAAUAUAUACACAUUUAUAAGAACAUUUUUACAACCUAAGAACAAAAUAUAAACACAACACAAAUACAAGCAAACAUAAGUUUGUACACACAUAAACACAAGCACACUCUAAAAUGCAAUAUAGUCAACCCUAGACUCAAAGAAACAAUAAUGUUCAAUAGGGAAUUCAAGCAAGUCAUUCAAAAAAAGUGUUAUCUGACAUCCAUCAAAAUUGUAUACGGCAGUCCCUUGGAAUCCAAUUAAAUACAAAAUCAUAACUAAUCAGCACUAAAUAACGAUUUUAGCAAGAUGUUAUAAUUGAUUUAGAAGCAGAACAUAUCAACUCUCAAGAUAUGCCAAAUAAUAUAUUAACAGAUAUUAGGCAAUAUUGUGUUAGUUAUAAUUCAGAUAUUAUUAUAAUUUGUGCAGAUUUGUGCUAUUGCUAUUCCUUUAAUAGAUGAAGAAUUAUAGGAUCCUUGUAUGUAUAUAUAUGAUACUCUACCCUUUGAAAUAAUACAUCAAAAUUAUUCUUUAAACCUUUUAAAAUAGUAUCAGAGUCAAACACUGAUAUCCUCUACAAUAUUGGAAUCAAUACUUCUUUUUUUCCAUUGAAUAUUUCUGAUGGCUUCUUCCUAUAAAAAUCAAUCGGAGAAACAUGAUUUGUGACCAAGUCAGGUAUAUCUGACUCUGCCCUUAAUUUUUCUGUUGUUACUAAGGGUAGUAAUUGGAUAAUUGAUUUAGGUGCUACUGAUCAUAUGACUUGUGAUCAUCAUAUAUUUACUAAUUUUUCCUCUAUUUGUUUCAAACCUGUUAUUAUUAAUGCCGAUGAGGUCUCAUCUCCUAUUGAAGGUAUAAGUAUUGUAUCUCUCUCACCCUCCUUAUCAAUUCCUUAUGUUUAAUUUGUUCCUACAUUAAACUGUAGUCUUAUCUCUGUCAGCAAGUUAACCAAAUCACUUUCUGGUAUUGCCUUGUUUUAGCCAACCCAUUGUCUUUUACAAAACAUUCAUUCCAAGGAGAAGAUUACUAGUGGUAGAGAGAGUGAAUAUUUGUAUUAUCUUGAAAAUGUCUCACAACAAAACCAUAAAAGAGGGUUGGCUUGUCUUGCGAAUGAUCACAUACAAGAUAAAAACAUAAAGGAAAUUUGGUUAUGGCAUAGACGGUUGGGACAUCCCUCUUUUGGUUAUUUAAAAAAAUUAUUUCCAUCACUAUUUCUUAAAUGCAAUAUUUCUGAUUUUUUUUUUGUGAAACUUGUGUUAUAGCAAAAAAUCAUCGUGUUGUGUUUCCUUUAAGCAAUAACAAAAUUGAUCUUCCUUUUUCAUUAAUUCACAAAGAUGUUUGGAGCCCUGCCCCACAAUCUACACAUAAUGGAAAAAAAUGGUUUAUCAGUUUUGUUGAUCAUUGUACUCGAGUAACCUGGGUAUAUUUGUUUACACAUAAAAGUGAUGUGGUUCGUUCCUUCUAUCAUUUGGUUGUCACACAAUUUAACACAUCUAUUAAGGUUAUUCGAUCAGAAAAUGGAAGAGAAUAUUUUAAGACUGAAUUAAUAGAGUUCAUGAACUCUAAAGACAUCUUGCAUCAAACUACAUAUGUCGUUAUUCACCAUAACAAAAUGUAGUGACUAAGAGGAAAAAUAUACAUAUAUUAGAGGUGACAAGAUCACUUUUGAUAGAUGGUAAUGUCCCAUCUCAUUUAUGGGGUGAGGUUGUGAGCUAUGUUGUUUAUUUUAUUAAUCGAACCCCUUCUAGUGUGCUUAACUUUUGAAGGCCUUUUGAUGUGUUGUCUGAUCAUUGUAUCCUUCCUCCCAUAGUUUAUUUAUCACCUCAUCUUUUUGGAUGUGUUAUAUAUGUUCACUUACACCCACAUCAACAUACAAAGCUUGAAGAACGAGCGAUCAAAUGUGUUUUAUUUGGGAAUGGAUUAACUCAAAAAGGUUAUCGUGCUUACCAUCCACCAUCAAAGAAAUUUUAUAUUUCUAUGGAUGCGACAUUUAAUGAGCAUGACAAUGAAAGUGAAGUGCAUAAUCAUGAUGUUAAAAUGCUUGAUUGUGAAGAUAAAUUAUUGUGUGAAGAUCAUUCUGCAGGAAGUGAGCCAAUCCUAAAUAUGGACACUUCUUUUCUUUGUCUUUUAAUCAUAACCAAUUGGCUUAAUCUUCUCCAAAGGUUCAACAUGACUCUUCAUAGGUACCUUCUGACCCUAUCUAUGAUAAUACUAAUUUAGAUGAAAUUGCUCAUUGAAUUGAUUCUUGACUGCGUGAGACCACUAGCACACCAAACAUUGAGUCUACUACUAUUAUAUAUUCUUCCACCUCGUUCUAACCGUGGUCAACCUCCAACUAUAUAUGAGGCAGACCUCCAAGCCAAAGUUAAACAUCUCGUUAGUAAAUAUGUGUCAUGAAAAACUGGAAAGAAAUAAGAGAGAUAUAGAACAAUUUCAAUUAGAACAAAAAUCAAAUGAAGUCUUCGAUGCAAGUUCAAGACAGAAUUCAUCACGCAGAAUGCACAACACACUGCAGUCGAAAUGAUUGGAAAGACCACGAGAAAAUCCAUAAAUGACCUCUAUCAGUGUAACUAUGACAAUUAAGCUUCAUCGGAGUUUAUCCAUAGCUCAUGAUAGUUUGCAUCAUUUAGAGAUCAAAAUCAACAAGGCACAUAACGGAGCAAUGAAAUUCCUUCAAAUAAUACACAUGAAACAAUCUAAUUUCUCUCCAAUUUUCAUGCUUACAUAUCACUUGAAUUUACAACUAUCAUCGAAAGGUACACAUUCAAGAAAUCAACAUGUUGUAAAAUCCAAAUCAACCCAUUACAAAGAUGCAACUACAAUAAAAACUAGUUACAAUUGAUUACCUUCUUUCCUAGCCUGACAAGCCUCAAGGCCAACUCUGUAGUAGUAUUUGCAGCAACAAUGACAUCUGCUGCCCUUCCUGUGAUAGGACCUUCCUGAAGUACAUGGAUGUGAGCUUCAGCAGAAAUAAAACCAUUUAUAUGACAAGCCAUAUCACAACACUAACCAAUCCAGCCAUCAACUUCCAAACAAUAACAAAAACCACAUACUAAAUUUUCCAAACACACAUCACAAAUUCAUCUUCUAAAAAUCUGACAUUUUCAAUAUAUCACCUUCCAACACUGCCUCAUCACUGUCUAGUGGAGAGAAAUGACAGACUAUAUUGUUUACUGAUAUACAUAUGGAAAAAGCAACUCUGAUGGCAACCCCUAAAUGGACUUCCCAUCCAAAGAAGCAUCGACUACACUAAAACUAUGAAAGGGAAGUUGAUUGAGAACUUAAUCUUUUCUUUCUAAAGUCUUAGCAUGUUUCUCUCUAACUAAAUACAUCUUACUUUGUUUUGUAGGUUAUUAAUAAGGCUUGGCAAACACUUAGAAGAAUUGCCAAGCAAAGGAGACAAGAGGAGACUUGUUCACGACCAACACUUCAUUUAGCAACAUGUUUCCUACAUGGAUACACCAGCUGCCAACACCUUUUCCACGUGCAAUAUACCUUGCAGCACCUUGCAGCACCUUUUCCAUGUUUACCACGUGGACAACAACUUCUUGAAGCUUAUGAUCCAUAUCUUCCACGUGCAAAAUUUCAAACUUCCAUUGUACACUUCUUUUCCAGCACAUUUGUAAUAAGUUCAUGGCUUGCAUUACACAACUCAUAGGCUCUCUUCAUCUAUAAAAGAGAAGCCAAAUCCUUUGUAAAUUCAACUUGAAUUGAAGUAAAGAAAUGCUGCCAAAUUUCAGCUUUUACUCUUAAGUUCACCUUUGUGCAUUGUUAUCUUGCACUUCCUCUAGCUCCUUUCCCUUUAGGAGAGCUCUCUGAGUUAGAAUUCACCAUUACACCAUAGCCAAUCUUUCACGGACCUUCAUCAAACACCUUGAGCACACUUCAUCCAUCAUCACUGUCUCAUUCAUCCGCUACAACUUCUGAUUACGUGAAGCUUCUCCAAGCAUGAAUCCAGUGGAGGCUUCCAUCAAGUGGUAUCCAGAGCCAACCGUUUCUCAUCCACGCAUCAAGAGCUAAGUGAUCUUCCUUCAUUCUAUCAAUUUCGCGUUGUUCUGUUCUAUGUGUUCUGUUUUCUCUGAAUUUUUCUUUUUCGUUUUCGUUUUGUGUUGAGUGGAUUGUGUUUCGUCCACUGUUCCAUAGCUUUUCUCCUUCAUUUUAAUCGGUGCAAUUCAUUCAUUUUGGUUCGAUUCCAGCUUUCUUUUAUGUUCCGUAUUGUUACUGUCAUGUGCAAAUGUGUUUGCAGUUUUAAUUCUGUCACAGUUUUUGCUUCUCUUCAGCGUUGAUUUUCGUUUUCUUUCGUUUUCAUUGAAUCUUGUGCGUUUGCUAAGCUAUAUGUUGAUCUAUAAAGCAAAGAUAGCAUGUCAGCUUUGAUCAUUUGAACUUCAAGGCACUGCACACUGUUUCACACUCAACACUCUACAGAAAAUGAAUUUUUCAGGUUUACUUUGGUGAAAUUUGUUUCAAUCCAGAUUUAUUGAUUUUAAUGCUUGAGACAAGUUUAAUUGAUGAUUUUCUACAUGUUUCAAGUAUUAACAAUCUGUAUUACACACUGAAUUCCAAAAAGAGUAGUUGAGUUGCUCAAAAUCUGGUUUCAAACACUGUGACUGUUUUUUUUAAUCAAAGCUUGCACCGUGCUUACCAUCCUUGCUGUGUUAUAGGUCAUUUAACAUCUGGUAGCUCAUAUUUUCCAGCUAGAUCUAGUUGCCUAGGGCCUUUCUUAACAGUUUCUUGAUCUAUCCAGCUUUGAAUCUGUUAUAUUCUUCAUUCCUGCUGUUGUUUUGUCCAUUUUUGAUGCAUAACUAGCAACUCAACAUGUGAUUUCGAGCUUGUGUCUGGUUCUGUGCAUUGUAUCUUUUUGAACAUGUUUAAUUGCACAUUUAAAACUUGUUUGCACUGUCCAAUUACUCUUUUCACAGCCAAGGUACCAUUUCACAUCUUGAACCAUCACUUUUGCUUGAAAUAUGCAAGUGUAUACCUCAUUUUGAGAUCCUUACUGUUUUGGAUCAGUCUCAUUGCUUUUGGAGUAAAUUUUGGUGAAUUAAAGUUGGUUUAUUACUGUUCAUAUGGUAAAUUUUGAACCAAAGUCAUAUUAACCUGCUGCAUCACCAAAUUUUACUCAUUUUGAAGUAGUGCACUUGUCAUUGUCUACUGCAAUCACCUUCUUUGCUAUUUAGGUGUUUGUAUACAUCUAUUAUGAUGAUAUAAAGUUGCUUGAAGUGUCAUUGAACCAUUUACCUCCCUGCCAUUCAAAUUCACCACUACUGUUUCUCAUUUUUCAGCCAAACUUCAAUGUUGUCACCAUAUCAGAUUUUUGGUUUUGAAAAAUUGGAUUGGCAAAAGCUGAGAUUUACUUUCUAAAUCAUUUCCAAUGUUCAACCACAUCUAAAACCAUACAGAAAAAGCAAUUAUAUCCCUGCAAUCCAGUUUGAAAAGCACAAAUCAGAGAAACACAUAAAUCUGCUGUUCAUUGAGGAAUUUUGUCAAACAGUUUUACAUUUUCAUCAAACAGUUACAACACACUCAAUUUCUUUGCAGUUUUUGAAGUUUUCUUGCUUUUAAAAUAUGUUCCUAGUGCCCUUCUUAAGCUCCUUGUGCGUCCCUGCUAUUAUUUCAAGCUUAAUAUCAUUUGCAUUCCACUUGCUUGACCUCUAAAGUGUGCUCAAAACCCAUUCUGCAUAUAUAACAGUUUGGUGCAGUGGUUGUUUCAUGUUCUCUUUACUUGUUGUUUCAGCUGGUUUAUGGUGUUAUUAUGGUGCAUUUUAACCCACCAGAUUGCUCCUCCAACGGGGUAGCCUAUUAAGGAGUGGAAGGCUUGCUAACAAGGCAACAAUUGUGGACAUUGGGAGUAGUUGUGUUGUUGUUCCAGCUAUACUUGCAGCAAUAAAACCGUGUCAUUCCAAGCAUAUUCAGCAAGUCUUUACAGCCACACUUGGCUUUAGUCCUUGAUUGCUACAUUUCAUUUUAUCUCUCAUAUUGUAUCACGAAACCUUUGAGUAUUACAUUUCAUUCUUUUUGAAACUGAAAGUAACUUGGGAAAAUGCUUUUCAAGCAAUUCCAAAUCUACUAAGCAACAUUGUAAUAGUUAGUUCCCACCUCUUAGAGUGAAAGUGUGUCAAGGGGCUCCAAGUGUCACUUGCACUUUCACAUAGGCCCGUUUGUCAUUGUCUUUCAUUUCCAUUCUUUUACUUUUCCUUGCUCGACUAAACUUUUAUGUUUUAAGUCUCCGUGAUACUUAGGAGUGCGUUUCAUAUAGAUAAACCUUUGUUUGGUUUAUAGGUGCAUCUCAUAGUGCAUUCAAAAAGCUUUUGAAAGACUUCUCUAGUGAAACUUGGGUAAGAAACGUCAGAAGAAACUUUGGCUAGGAAGGACAAGGUUUCUAAGCUUGUCCAUUGUGACUCACCUCUCCUUCCUGGGAGCUAUUCGGUUUCUUCACCUCUAGAAUCUCUUUAGAAGUCCUUCACCAAAAACAAACAAAUCUUCUUUUCAAAAGUUUUGAUUCAUAAUUGUGAAAGGCUUUCAAAUCCUUGUGAAAAAACUUUCUCUACUUCACAAGCAUGAGUCACUCGAGUGUUCAAGGUAACAUCAAUCAAGUUCAAGAGAACAUAGAGUUGCGAGAAGAACUCAAUAGAACCAAGUCUGAGUUGAAUGAGCUAAGGCAAAUGGUCGCCAAUCUUACUCACAAUCAGAGAGGGCACACACGAGGGGAUCACUCUCAUAGGCAAAACCAUGAUCAUGAUGAUCAUUCCCAACAUAGUGAUCACCAUAGUUACCAACCUUAUGAUCACUAUUAACACCCUCCUAGGCGUCAUCACAACCAUAGAGAACAUCAUGUAGAACCUAAGCUUGACCUUCCUCCUUUCUAUGGUAGAGAUAAUGUUGAAGAAUACUUUGAGUGNGAGAUGAAGGUUGAACAAAUUUUUGAAUGCUACAACAUAGAUGAUAGGAGGAGAGUGACCCUAGCCACCUUAACCUUUCAAGGUGCAGCCCUUUAUUGGUGGACAUCCAUCAUGAGAGACCAAAGGAUGCAUGGCGACUACACAAUCCAAUAUUGGAAUGAGUUGAAAGAAGUCUUACACAGGCGACAUGUCCCGGCCUACUAUGCUAGAGAAGUCAUGGACAAGCUCCAUCGACUUCAACAAAGAAACAUGAGUGUUGAAGAAUAUAGGCAAAAAUUAGAGUUACUCAUGUUGAGAGUGGGGAUAAAAGAAGAGAGAUUCACCAUAGCUAGAUUUCAGAGUGGAUUAAACUAUGAGAUUAGAGAUAAGGUAGAACUUUUACCUUACUUAGAUCUCAAUGAUUUNNNNNNNNNNNNNNNNNNNNNNNNNNNNNNNNNNNNNNNNNNNNNNNNNNNNNNNNNNNNNNNNNNNNNNNNNNNNNNNNNNNNNNNNNNNNNNNNNNNNNNNNNNNNNNNNNNNNNNNNNNNNNNNNNNNNNNNNNNNNNNNNNNNNNNNNNNNNNNNNNNNNNNNNNNNNNNNNNNNNNNNNNNNNNNNNNNNNNNNNNNNNNNNNNNNNNNNNNNNNNNNNNNNNNNNNNNNNNNNNNNNNNNNNNNNNNNNNNNNNNNNNNNNNNNNNNNNNNNNNNNNNNNNNNNNNNNNNNNNNNNNNNNNNNNNNNNNNNNNNNNNNNNNNNNNNNNNNNNNNNNNNNNNNNNNNNNNNNNNNNNNNNNNNNNNNNNNNNNNNNNNNNNNNNNNNNNNNNNNNNNNNNNNNNNNNNNNNNNNNNNNNNNNNNNNNNNNNNNNNNNNNNNNNNNNNNNNNNNNNNNNNNNNNNNNNNNNNNNNNNNNNNNNNNNNNNNNNNNNNNNNNNNNNNNNNNNNNNNNNNNNNNUUAAUUGUGGAUAGUGGUUCUUCUAGCAAUUGUUGUAGUUCUAGAGUGGUGCACAAAUUAGCCUUACCUACUAUUCCUCAUCCUAAGCCUUAUAAGCUUCAGUGGAUAACAGAGGAUGAAGAAAUAGUAGUGAACAGACAAGUAACCAUACCAAUGUCCAUUGGCAAAUAUGAAGAAAAUAUUUUAUGUGAUGUUGUUCCAAUGGAUGCUGGGCAUGUAUUACUUGGUAGGCCAUGGCAAUAUGAUCAUAACUCCACUCAUGAUGGCUAUACCAACAAAAUAACUUUCCUCCAUAAAGGCAAUAAAAUAACAUUGAUUCCUCUUACACCUGAACAAGUAAAAGAGGAUGAGAUAAAAAUCAAAGAAAAAAUUGAAAAAGAAAGAAAACAAGAAAAUAUGUUGGAAAAGCAACAUUCUCAAGAAAAGAAGAAGGAGACAAAGGUAUGCAUGAUAUUAACUCCUUCCUUAGCAGGUAAAUACCUUGACUUUUCUUCUUUUCAAAAACAUCACUUUGAUUCUCCAUUUCAUCAUGGGGAAUGUUCCAAACAAAGUGAAAACAAAAAGGCCAAGACUUCUUCUAAUCACAUUUUUGUCACAAGGCCUUCAUUUCAUUUUUUUCUCUUUGCAUAUCUCUUAUUCAUCAUACUCAUUUUUACUAUCUUUUGUAGAUAUAUCUUUGACCCAGGAGGAAAAUAAACACUAAAGUUCUGCUUCUUCUUUCUUCCCGAUUUGAGGACAAAUCGUUUUUAAAGAGGGAGGGAAUGAUGGCAACCCCUAAAGGGACUUCCCAUCCAAAGAAGCAUCGACUACACUAAAACUAUGAAAGGGAAGUUGAUUGAGAACUUAAUCUUUUCUUUCUAAAGUCUUAGCAUGUUUCUCUCUAACUAAAUACAUCUUACUUUGUUUUGUAGGUCAUUAAUAAGGCUUGGCAAACACUUAGAAGAAUUGCCAAGCAAAGGAGACAAGAGGAGACUUGUUCACGACCAACACUUCAUUUAGCAACAUGUUUCCUACAUGGAUACACCAGCUGCCAACACCUUUUCCACGUGCAAUAUACCUUGCAGCACCUUGCAGCGCCUUUUCCAUGUUUACCACGUGGACAACAACUUCUUGAAGCUUAUGAUCCAUAUCUUCCACGUGCAAAAUGCCAAAAUUCCAUUGUACACUUCUUUUCCAGCACAUUUGUAAUAAGUUCAUGGCUUGCAUUACACGACUCAUAGGCUUUCUUCAUCUAUAAAAGAGAAGCCAAAUCCUUUGUAAAUUCAACUUGAAUUGAAGUAAAGAAAUGCUGCCAAAUUUCAGCUUUUACUCUCAAGUUCACCUUUGUGCAUUGUUAUCUUGCACUUCCUCUAGCUCCUUUCCCUUUAGGAGAGCUCUCUGAGUUAGAAUUCACCAUUACACCAUAGCCAAUCUCUCACGGACCUUCAUCAAACACCUUGAGCACACUUCAUCCAUCAUCACUGUCUCAUUCAUCCGCUGCAACUUCUGAUUACGUGAAGCUUCUCCAAGCAUGAAUCCAGUGGAGGCUUCCAUCAAACUCCUUUCUCAAUCUUCUUCUUGUAUACAUUUUCAGUUUGCCUACACAGACAAGAAACAACACCUAUUAGUAAAACUUUGUAAAUAUAAAAACGUUUAGAACUACGUAUACAUGUCCCAAACAGAGCAUGAUGGACUCGUUCAUGAAGUUGAACCACCUGAUUUAUAGAAACAUAGGAUAGGAGUGACUUCAAACUUGGUUUUGUUAUAUCUGAUGGCUUGAAAGACAAAAUCAUCUUUUGCUGCAUAAUUAUCAGCUUUGUAACAGAGUUAAAACAUCACCAUCAAGUAUUUUGGGCACUCCAUCGUACUAUGACAUAGAUGUAAGAAAACAUGUUUGGCUACAUAUUCUCUCAAGUUUAGAAUAGAAUCUCUCUUAUAUUAUUCUGAGGUUACUAACCUCUAUAUUUAUACACAAGUCAGCAGCAUAUUAUGGGCUGCUAAAUUUACUGGACAAAUCCCUAUAAUUAUGGGAUCAAUCAAACAUAAAUAACCUAAUAAAGGUAGCANGCAUAUUAUGGGCUGCUAAAUUUACUGGACAAAUCCCUAUAAUUAUGGGAUCAAUCAAACAUAAAUAACCUAAUAAAGGUAGCAUUUAACAGUUAUAGAAAUACAGCGUAUUUAAAUAAAAAACUUCCUAAACUAUUCCAUGCCAAUUAAUUCCACGCCAAUCACGGUUUUGACACUCCCCCUCAAGCUGGUGAAUAGGUGUUUUCCAUUCCCAGCUUGGAGACAAUUCCUUCAAAGUUUAUGCAGUUCAGUCCCUUGGUGAGUAUAUCUGCAAGUUGGUUCUGUGUAGGUACAUAUGGUGUGCAAAUCAUGCCACUGUCUAGUUUUUCCUUUAUAAAGUGUCUAUCAACUUCAAUAUGUUUAGUUCUAUCAUGCUGUACCGGGUUAUGAGCUAUGCUAAUUGCAGAUUUAUUGUCACAAUAUAGCCUCAUAGGUUCAUCCCACUUUAUCUUCAAGUCUUCCAAUAUAAUUUUCAGCCAUAGAAGUUCACAUAUUCCAUGGGCCAUUGCUCGAAAUUCUGCUUCAGCACUUGAUCUAGCCACUACACUCUGUUUUUUACUCUUCCAAGUCACCAAGUUUCCACCAAGGAAGGUACAAUAUCCCGUGGUUGAUCUCCUAUCUACCACUGACCCAGCAUAGUCUGCAUCCGUAUAUGCUUCAAGACUUAAAUUCUUGUUCCGUUUGAACAAAAUCCCUCUUCCGGCGGUCCCUUUCAAGUAUUGUACAAUUCUAAGAGCAGCUUGUAGAUGUGUUUCCUUUGGUUGGUGCAUAAACUGGCUAACUAGACUUACAGCAAAUGCAAUGUCUGGUCUAGUGUGAGAUAAGUAAAUAAGCCUGCCCACAAGUCUUUGAUACAUUUCCUUGUCCACAGCAAUAUCAUCCUCCAUACUUCCCAAUUUUAUAUUUGGAUCAACUGGAGUACUUGUUGGUUUGUAGCCUGUCUUCCCUGUUUCUCUAAGCAAGUCGGUAAUAUAUUUUUGUUGAGAUAUGAAGAUUCCUUUCUUGGAAUGGGCCACUUCAAUUCCCAAAAAAUAUUUAAGUCUUCCCAGUGUCUUAAUCUCAAAUUCCGUGGCAAGACAUUUGCUUAAUACUUGUUGUUCCCUUUUGUCAUCCCCACUCACUAUAAUAUCAUCUACAUACACUAAUAGAAUUGUUACUCCCCCUGAAGCUGAAUGUUUGAUAAAUAAAGUGUGAUCCCCUUGACUCUGUUUGUAUCCUAGACCUGUCAUAACUUUGGUAAAUCUUCCAAACCAUGCUCUCGGGGAUUGUUUCAACCCAUAUAGAGCCUUUCUUAAUUUGCAAACAGUUCCAGCAGCAACAUGUUCCUUGUAACCCGGGGGCAACUCCAUGUAUAUUUCUUCUUCAAGGUCUCCAUGUAGAAAUGCAUUCUUCACAUCAAACUGCUGCAGAUCCCAACCAUUAUUUGCUGCNAGUGACAAUAAUACUCUGACCGUGUUCAUCUUAGCNACCGGGGCAAAUGUCUCCAANUAAUCAACUCCAUAGGUUUGAGUGAAGCCUUUGGCCACCAACCUUGCCUUGUAACGUUCGAUUGUCCCAUCAGCCCUAUACUUUAUUGUAUAUACCCACUUACAUCCCACUGGUUUUUUUUCCAGAAGGUAGAGUGACAAGUUCCCAAGUCCUAUUCUUGUUUAAUGCCUCCAUUUCCACAUCCAUGGCAUUUUUCCAUUUCCUGUCAGACAAUGCUUCAGAUACAAAGGAAGGUGUGUGUGUGGAGUUGAGGUUAGUGAGAAAGGUUUUAUGGGUAGGUGAGAAUUUGUCAAAGGAUAAGAAAUUUGAUAGUGGGUAAAGUGGCUUUUGGGUGCAAGCUCUAGUUCCUUUUCUAAGGGCAAUGGGUAGGUCAAGGGUUUGGUCUGCCUGUGCUUCUAGAUUAUCAUAAACAAACUCAUUAGAAUCAUUAGAAUUUAUAGGAUUUGAAUGUGUUACCUCAUGUAGUGCUGGUGGGUUGGAUUCUUGGACAUUGCCAGAUUCUAGAAUGGCCUUUCCUCUUCUUGAGUAUACCUUUCCAAAUUUGCCGCCAUCAUCAGGUGCAGGUCUUGUGGAUUCAGUAGGUUGAAUUCUUUCCUCAAUUUCAGGGACAACAGGUUGAAUUCUUUCCUCAAUUUCAGUGACACCAAUGCCGUCACCAUUUGUCCCAGUUUCAGGCCCAAACGUCGUAUUUGGGGACAUGAGAGUCUCAUCUUCCUCUCUUAUAUUCUCCCCCUGAAGAUGAGGCUGUUUGAAGUAGCUCUCUUGUUCGUUGAAGGUGACAUCUCUUGACACAUAGAAUCUUUUUGAAAGGGGUUGAAAACAUUUGUACCCUUUUUGUGUGGUAGAGUACCCUAAGAAAACACAUUUGACANNNNNNNNNNNNNNNNNNNNNNNNNNNNNNNNNNNNNNNNNNNNNNNNNNNNNNNNNNNNNNNNNNNNNNNNNNNNNNNNNNNNNNNNNNNNNNNNNNNNNNNNNNNNNNNNNNNNNNNNNNNNNNNNNNNNNNNNNNNNNNNNNNNNNNNNNNNNNNNNNNNNNNNNNNNNNNNNNNNNNNNNNNNNNNNNNNNNNNNNNNNNNNNNNNNNNNNNNNNNNNNNNNNNNNNNNNNNNNNNNNNNNNNNNNNNNNNNNNNNNNNNNNNNNNNNNNNNNNNNNNNNNNNNNNNNNNNNNNNNNNNNNNNNNNNNNNNNNNNNNNNNNNNNNNNNNNNNNNNNNNNNNNNNNNNNNNNNNNNNNNNNNNNNNNNNNNNNNNNNNNNNNNNNNNNNNNNNNNNNNNNNNNNNNNNNNNNNNNNNNNNNNNNNNNNNNNNNNNNNNNNNNNNNNNNNNNNNNNNNNNNNNNNNNNNNNNNNNNNNNNNNNNNNNNNNNNNNNNNNNNNNNNNNNNNNNNNNNNNNNNNNNNNNNNNNNNNNNNNNNNNNNNNNNNNNNNNNNNNNNNNNNAAAUCUUUUAGGAACAUGAUUUUGAAAAAGUAGAGCUCUAGUUUGAUCUAAAAGGUGCCCAUUUUUCCUUUCUGCAAUCCCAUUCUGUUGGGGUGUGUUCACACAUGAGGACUCAUGGAUUAUCCCUUCCUUUUGGCAAAAAGAGUUUAGUACAAGGUUAAAGUAGUCCUUGGCAUUAUCCGACCUAAUUCUUUUUAUACCGACCCCAAAUUGAUUUUUAAUCAUAGAGACAAACUGGACAAACACAGAGCUAACUUCAGAUUUUUGUUUCAAUAAAAAAACCCAAGUCACCCGGGUACAAUCAUCAAUGAAUGUUAAAAACCAUUUAGCACCAGAAAUAUUAGGAACAUAAGCAGGACCCCAUACAUCAGUAUGAACAAGAGAAAAGGGGAAAUGACUCAUCUUAUUGCUAAUGGGAAAAGGUACACGUUUAUGUUUUGCCAACUCACAUACCUCACAAUGAAGACUUUCCACACUUAAAUUUUUAAACAAGGAAGGAAAAAGCACUUUUACAACUCGAAAUGAAGGAUGUCCUAGUCGGCAAUGAUAGAGGUGAGCUUUCUCUUUGUUGGUCAUGGUGGAUUUAGAGAUGAGACUCUUGGUAGGCAGAUUAGGAUCCUCCAUGUAGUACAGGCCAUUCCAUUCUCUAGCAUGUCCAAUCGUCCUCCCCGAGUUCUUGUCCUGCAAUACACAAGUGUUGCUAUAAAAAACAACAUUACACGCAAGGUCUUUGGUGAGUUUUUGUAUAGAAAUCAGGUUGGUGGAUAGUUUAGGGACAUGAAGGACAUUUUUUUAACGUCAUGGAUGGGCUUAUUUGGACCUCUCCUUGUCUGGCUGCAGUUAUGAGGGUUCCAUCUGCUGUGGAAAUUUUCUUGUUACUAGGACAUGGAGAAUAUGUGGAGAAGUAUUUGGAUAGUGGGGUCAUAUGGUCAGUGGCUCCAGAGUCUAGUAUCCAAUAAUGUGUGAACGGUGUAUCUGAAACAUUAAGUCCAAACAAGAAUGGAAAUUUACCAGAAUAUGUUAAGGAGCACGUACCUGUAGGCUUCUCCAAUUUACUAAGGAUGGAUCUUACCCNUUCUAUCUCUUCAUGAUUCAANUGGACAGAUUCUUCACCUUGCCCAUUAGCAAUGUAUGCUUGCCCUCCUUUUUUCUGUGGGCCUCCCUUCAAUCCCCAUUCUCGGCCUGGGAGUUUCGGUCCCCAUUCUCUGCUUGAGGUUUUCCCAUCUUUCAGCCCCCAUUCUCGGCUUGGGGGCUUUCCAUGUAAUUUCCAGCACUUUUCCCUUGUGUGGCGCGGCUUGUUAUAAUGGGUACACCAAAUCUCCUCAUGUCUUUUCUCCCAGUUUUUUCUCUGGUUAGCAACCAUGAUUGUUCCUCCUUCAGCUAUCAUUGCAGAGCUUUCAGUGGUUGAAGUUUCCAGCAUCAACCCUCUCCUGCUUUCUUCACUCCGAAUAAUGGCUACCACUUCAUUAAGCCCUGGAACUUUCUCCUUUCCUAAGAUUUGAAUUCGGACCUGGUCAUAUUCAGGAUUUAGGCCCACCAAAAAAUCAUAGACCCUAUCUUGUUCAAUAUAUUCUUUUAAAAUUGCUGAGUCUUCUGAACACUUUGCUUUUAUAACCCGAUAGUGAUCCAAUUCCAUCCAUAGGGAUUUAAGUUGAUUGGCAUAUUCUGUAACGGACUUACUUCCCUGUUUAGCAGCCACGGUUUUCACCUUUACAUCAUAAAUUUGAGCAGCAUCCUUGGCCUUAGAGUAAGUUUGUUCGACUGCCUCCCAGAUCUCCCUUGCUGAUUUUAGGAACAUGCAGGUAUCACUGAUUUCUGGGACCAUUGAAUUCCACAGCCACGCCAUGAUCAUGGAGUCUUCUUCAUCCCAUGAUUUGAAUUUUGGAUCACUCUCACUCGGUGCAUCCCCAGUUAGGUGACUGAUUUUCCCUUUUCCUUUCAGGAUGGUCCUAAUGAUUUGAGACCAUUUGAGGUAGUUUUUUCCAUUUAAUCGAUAAGCAGAAUGGAUAUUCUGCAGUUCUCCAGUGGUCUGGAAUCUAUCUCCAGUUUUCGGGUUCCCAGCUUCAGCCAUAACGCGAUACACUCACGAUAAGUGACGAAAGCUUGACGGUGACGUAGUGAUGAUGACGCAGCAAUGAAGGCUGCCGCAAACGAUAAGUAACGAAGGCUCGACGGUGACGCAGUGACAGUGACGCAGCAAUGAAGGCUGCCGCAGACGAUAAGUAACGAAGGCUCGACGGUGACGCAGUGACGGUGACGCAACAAUGAAGGUUGCCGUAGACGAUAAAAAUGAGGGCCUGAUGGUGGAGCAGCAAUAAAGGCUGCUGUAGUUUUAGGUUGAAGGUAGAGCAGCAAUAAAGGCUGCCGUAGUUUUAGGUUGAAGGUAGAGCAACAAUAACGGCUGCCGUUUUGGAUAAAAUAACACGGUCAGAGACUCCCAAGGAUCGGGAGCUCUGAUACCAUCUCAAGUUUAGAAUAGAAUCUCUCUUAUAUUAUUCUGAGGUUACUAACCUCUAUAUUUAUACAAGUCAGCAGCAUAUUAUGGGCUGCUAAAUUUACUGGACAAAUCCCUAUAAUUAUGGGAUCAAUCAAACAUAAAUAACCUAAUAAAGGUAGCAUUUAACAGUUACAAAAAUACAGCGUAUUUAAAUAAAAAACUUCCUAAACUAUUCCAUGCCAAUUAAUUCCACGCCAAUCACGGUUUUGACAUAUUCUAGUCAAUAAAAGUGCUUGCAUAGGAAGCUAUUAAAAGGUAUUUCCUCCGAAUAAGCUAACAUAUAUUAAAGAAAAAACAUAAGAAUCAAGGAUAUGAAAUACAAAAUCUAUUCCAUGUAAUGGUUGAGUCAACCAUAUUUAAUUGUUGUGCAAUUAUUUAUUAUAAGAGAAAAAAUAAAAUGAAAAUGAAACACCAAUGAUAAUAAAUUAAAGCAGAGUUCUUACCUAAAUUUUGUGACUCACUUGUGAAACACCAAGGAAAGAAGGCUUUUGAUAGAUCAUAUUUUACCCUGUACACAUGAAAAACAAUGUUACUCAAGAUAUCAAAGGCAUUAGAGCAUUGCCUCCCAAAACUCGCCAAUUCACUUAAAGUUGCUAAUUUCUACAAACCAUUUCUUUUCUUAAUUCAGGAGUAAUCAUCUAGGUGCUUAUUUAUGUUAUACAAGUCUAUGUUCCGUUGUUAUCCUUAAUCACAAAUUACUUAUAUAAACAGGGGAAUUAUAUAAACAGGGGAGGGAGAGAUGAGUCAAUAUAUUUCACGCAUCAAUAUAUUACAACAAUGCACUUGAACACCCAUUUCCGAUCUUCCUUAGUUUAGGCAUAAUUUCUUCGUCUGACUUUUUCAGAAUUUAUCAAUAACAUACACCUAUUGUGUCUUGUACCUCCUUUUCGUUUCUACUUCACUUCCUUCUUAUCUUUUUCUCUUUCGUCAUGCCUUUUUUUACCUGGUACCUCUUUCUCUUCCUUUUUUAUUUCUUUUUUAAUUUGGUGUCGACUUCCCAAUACACCCCAGCAAGGGAUGCCUCUUUGACAUAUCCACAUUUGAGAGAAUAAGCUUUUUGUCAAAGCAGCUCCAUUGGAUGUCAAAGAAACCCUCAAAAGGUCUAUUGCCUGACCAAAAUAGAUACAAUGAAUGUCAAUUAUAAAUUGAAAAGGAAGAAAUGUUGUACGCAGUUUAUUAUAGCCAUUUAUUUUAUUAGAUUAAUUAAAACCAUAAAUAUUGCGGUUGAACAAGUAUUCAAGAGUUGAUUGAGAAUAUUACCUCAUGUGACUUUCUUACUUUAAUAAAAUGUUCCUCCAAAUCAUUCACCUUCACAAUCCCUAGUUCUUUCAAAUGCGAAAUGCUAGAAGCAUUUGUCAUUGGUUUCACUUCAAGAUCAUCGCUCACAACAAAUAGACAUGGUCUCUUCAUAAAUCCCACAGGAGGUUCUCUUGCUCCAUCAGAGGAUCUUGGGUCAAAAAGUUUCACUUUUUUUGGAUCUCGUAACAACUCUUUUCUCUUUGAAAUCAUUGUACGCCCCUCAUUCUCUUUCUCCACUACAGGGCCAUACCAAUAUUCAGGAGAAUCCUCCUCUUCUAAUGGAUUCCUCUUACAACCAAAAUGAGGAGCAACCUUUAUAUUCUUUAAAGAUUCAUUAGAUGAUCUUACAAACCAUGAUGGAUUGAGACGCUUCACACUUUUGUACAAGUUACGAAUGCUUCCCAAACACAAUUUUCCUUUCAUAAGCCUCACAAUAGAUCCAAUAGGUGUUGUGAGGAAGCUGGUUAGAAGGUCAACAAAAUCUCCAUCUACUUCAGCAAAUAAAAUCUUGUUCUGUGAUUUGCUCACCAUUACUUUGAUUUUUACAUGACCUUUCGAAUGAAUGGGACCGGUAUACUGUGAGGAAGAGUAUUUCUUAUAUUCUUCAUUUUUCAAUAAUACAUCACUCAGAGGAGAUUUGGAGAUUAAGGAUUGCUUUAGUAUGCUCAAUAUCUGAAAAUACAACCAAAACCAAGCUAAUUAAGGAAGUCAGGAAGGUUAUCAGUUGAGCAAAUAAGAAUAAUGUCUUAACUUUAUACCACAAAAUAAUCAUUUUAGUAUCCAAAGUAUUUUCUUCAUCCGCAUAUCAACUCCUAUUUCUUUCCCUGAUACAUAUAUUUUAAGGGAAUGCGACUGAAACAUUCUCUUGACUUAAAAACAAUUACCUCCUUGAUGCCAACUUUUCCAGAUAUUUCUGUGAGGAUGCUGAUGUCUUUGUGUCGAUGCUUGAGAAAAGUUUGAACAGAGUCACCAACAGAGCUUCGGAGGACUCUCAAGUCAUCCAAGAUCAAGAACAUGGCAUCUGAUUUAACAAAAGCACCAUUGUCCUUAGCUAGCUCUUCCUUGGAUUCUUCCAGCAACAUCGUUUCUUUUCUCAUCAAUUUUCCACAAUGGCACCUUGCACCAUCAAAGGUACUCAGCAACAAAUCCUUUUCCUUUGAACAGCUGUAACACACGAAAUACUUGGUGGGUUCUGUAUCAUCCACUUUCACUUUCAGUCUUUGGCAAGAGCUCUCUAACGGGUUGCGAGGAGAAUGCAACAUUUUCUUGCAGAUGUUGUUCCAGAAAACAUUAGAUUCCAGUUUAUCAACACUGUCGUACAGCUUAUUGAUGCAGCCAAGCUGUAUAUGUUGAUCCAAUUUGUUUCCAAGCCUAAUAAUAGUUCCCAAUGGAAGGGUGAGGAAACUGAAGAGAACAUCUACCAACUCCCCACUUGCUUCUGCCACAACUACACGCCUUUUGUUAUCGUCCACCCAAUAUUUCAAAGGGAUUGUUACCUCUUCGUCGGAAGACAUAACUGAAACAUAAAACUAAAGAACAUUAACGAAUUAAUCAAACAAAACAUGUACGAUUUUGGUGAAAUUUCUUAUACCUCAUCUCAGUCGUUGCUUGGGUUGUGUUUCCUACGCGAUAUUUUUAAGAAUUAUACUUGUGGGUGUAUUUUUAAGAGAUAAGCAAACAUGAUGAGAGCGUUAUGUAGUCGUGAAAUAUACCUUGCUUUUAGAGAGAGGAAGAGACAGAAAAACUUGAAAAGUAAGGGAGAGAUGAUCAACCCAGACUGCUGAGAAUGUAGAGAAUAAGUUUAUGAUAGAUGAAAGAAUCAUUUUAAAUUAAUACAAUUUCUGCGAUUGAGAAACUCUUAUAGAACUACUGGAUGUUUAAGCUAUGAAUGAGAGAAUUCACCAGAAGAGGGAAAUUAACCAAAAAGCUUUUGUUGAAAAAUACAAAAAAGAACUCAGUGUCAUCACAUAUCGCCAGAGUUUAGAACGUUGAAACGGAUAUUGUACUAUAUGAGUAAAACUUUUAAAGUAGCCUAUAUCAAUGUCUUACCAUGAUAUAUCCAGAUCGAUUCAUCAGAUUGCCUAAAAUUAGUUUCAUUUGUUCAGAUCAGUUUGUCCAGUGAGAAAUUCUCACAACAGUAGUUCCCACAAACAAAAAGAAUUAUUGCACAGCUCAACUUCAUAUUUUAAAUUUCUAAUAAUUACGAGUUACACAAGGAUUAAAUGUAAAUUCUGCAUUCAUUACAUGAACAAUGAACGGUUAAUUAAACCUAAAGUUUAGAACCUGUUUCCUCCGGAGGCCACGGAAAGAAUUCAGCACAUAUCUGCGAGAGUUUAGAACUUUGAAACGGAUGUUGACCUAAAGCAUCAUAGAAAUGAGUAAAACUUCCAAAGUAGACUAACAUUGAUAAUAGUUAAAAUUCUUAUUAAAUUAAAAACGAGAAGUUUGAGUAACAUAUAAAAAAUUAUAAAUAUAAGUUUUAAAAUUAAAUUUUAAUUUCGAAAUGGUGUCAUAAUAUUUUAUAUAUUGUACUUAAGUAAAGAAAGAUGCCUUCUUAAAUUUAGAAUCUAAUAGACAUAUGUAAGCAAAAUACAUAUAGUUUUGAUUUUCAUAUAUCUCUAGUGACACCUUAAAAAUAGACUAAAUCAUCAUCAUUGUUGAAUUAACAAAGUUUUAUAAUCUUAAAUAAAAUUUAAACUACACAAAAAAUAUUUUAUAAAUUAUUUCUAACGUUUCCCUUGUACCAAUUAUAUUUCUCAUUGUAUCGUAUAACCCUCUUAACGUUAAGGAUUUUCAAUUGACAAAAAUUAAGUUGAUUAAUUAGUUAGGUUCUAAAUUGUGAUUGCAUUAUAGAAAUUGUGGUUGCAGGCGUAGUUGCAAUUAGGGAUGGACAAAAUGUAAAAAUAGAACUAAACUAUUGUUAAACAAAACUGCAUAUAUAUGCAAUUGAGUUUGAUAUUAAUUUAGCUGAGUUGAAGGAUGAUAAUUACAAUACAUAUUUCAAUUGUUGCAUAAUAAGUAUGGAGAUAUUCUUACAAUCAUUUGAUUAGUUUAUUGAGUGAAAGGAGGCCAAACUCAUUGAUUACCAAUUCAACACAUUAUUAAGAGCUUGGCUGUCAGCAGACCCACCAUCUGAACACCACAAGUGGAAAAUGUGAGAUAAUUAAGAGCCCUUUAGACCACUAUCUUAUCUUUUUCUUUUUUCUUCUCUUGACUCUUUCUUCUUUUUCUGUUUCAUUUUUCUCUUACACUGUGUCUCUGUCUCUUUAUUUCUCCCCACUUCCUUCUAAAUUUCUAAUUCCAUUUUUCAUAUAUUCUAAAAUCAGAUUAUACGCUUCAGUGGCAGAUAUAUUGUCAAACAUUUCUAUUCAAUUUUUUUUUUAUUUAAUGCAAGAGUAAUAUUUGCUCUAAUAUUUUUUAUUUUACUAUUAUUAUGUAAACGUUUAAUCUUUUUGUUAGGUAUAUCACUUGACCAAAAGUUAUUCUCUUAGUUAAUUUAUUUUGACUAAAUUUUGGAUUUGUUUCAUGAUGUUUCACUUGUUCUUUUGGAUUUUUAUUUGGGAUAAUGAUAUUUUGACAACAUUUUUUGUAAACAUUUUAAUACCAUCUACAUGUCAUUCUGGGAUUGGUCUAUGGUGGUGUUUAUGAUUAUUUUUAUUAAUUGUGGAGUAAUUUUAGAGUAAUCAGAGAAUGACACAUAGAUGAUAUUAAAAUAUUGUCAAAAUAUCAUUAUCCUUUUAUUUGUAUGAACCACUCCUUUUUAGUUUCUACUAAAAGUACGAAUAAGUAUUUAGUAAAAAAAAACUGACUUGAGCUGAGUUUCUUCUAUAUUAGAGUAUGAAAGUAAUUAUUGGUGAACUUUUUGUCGGGUAAUAUUGAUUGAAUUUAGGAUUUCGAUUAUUUUGAACUUGAAUUUAGUUAGAGGAGUAAUGUAUUAAUUGUGAUUCACUAAAGUUCUACUAAUGGUUAAAAAAUAUAGCUGCACAAUGGACUUUCCAACGAUGGUUUAAACAGAUUUUUAAUGAUAGUUUUCGAACUGUCGUAGCUCAAGUUGAUGUUAAAUAUAAGACAAAGUAAUAGACGAUUAUCGUUAAAAAUUCCAAACGAUGGAGAUUGUUCUUAAACUACAAUUAAAAGUCAUCGAAGAAAAGAAAAAAAUAUAAUAGGUUCUAUAUUAUCAUAACGGAAUUAACAAACCUACGAAAAUAAAACAGAAAAGUAUCUCUAUUUCAGUUUUGAAAGACAUGACAGAUAAAAAAAAUUGUUGAAUAGAUUCUAUAAAAAUAUAAAUUUUAAACGAUAUAAAGAAAAUAUAAAGAGUUGAUUAUGUAAAAAGAAAAAGGUUAAAUGACAUAAAAUAGACCAUGUAGAAAAAUAUUAGGAGUAAAAGUUGUAAAUAUAUAAAUAUUGGAUGUCUGGACUAGUCAUAUCUUAACACAAAUUCGUAUUUCAAACUUUUAUAUUUACAGUAUUUUUCUUAAAAUGAAAAAUUAAAAAUAAUAUAAAUAGUUUAAUAAUUAACUUUACUAAGAAAACAAUUAGUAUUUUUUAGUUUAUUAACAAUGUCAUUAUUCAAAUAUUUAUUUAUUUAUUAUUUAUAUUAUGUUUUAAUUUUUAUUAUUAUUAUAUUAGUAUUAUUAUGUUAUUAAUAUUUAUUAAAUCUUAUUACAUAUUAUAAUAUAAUGAUAUACUGUUAAGAAUCCUCCAAUUUUAUUACAUAUUAUUAAACUCUUCAGCUUCCAAAAUUUGUUCUCAUCUCGGACUCUUUUAAAAGGAUUGAAAUAAAUUACAAUUGUUUAGAGGCAGGACCAUGAAAAGGUUUCAGUUCUUUUUUACAUUUUUUAUUUUAAUUUGAAUUUAAAAUUCAAACUUUUUUACAAUAUAUUUACAGUUUUUUUUAUAAUUUUGAAUUUCAAAUUUAAACUUUAUUGCAAUUUCAAAUUUAGAAAUAUGAAUUUUAAUAUUAGAAAAAGAUUGAAAUAGAAAUCAUUAGUUUUUUAUAUCUUUAAAAGUUUAAAAAGGUUAUAAUUUUCACAUUUUAAUAAUGCACUUUUGUCUAUAUUAUUAAAAUUAGUUUUUAAAUUAAUUUGACAUAAAUAUAUUAUAAUUUUAAUUGAAGUAUUAUUUUCAAGAUUUAUUAUUUAGUUUAUUUUUAAUCUAUUAACAAUGUCAUUAUUUAAUUAUUUAUUUAAUGUUUUACAUAAUAUAUUAAUUUUAUUAUUAUAUUAAUAUUAUUAAAUUAUUAAAUUAUUAAAUAUUAUUAUGUACUAUAGCAUAUUAUAUAUUUUUAAGAUCGAUAAAUUUUUUGAACUUUUUCAGCUUCUAGAUUUUGAUCUUAUUAGUUACUUUAUCAUUAAUUAUUUUUUAUAUCUCAAUUAACAUAUUUUAUUUAAGUAAAAUUAAAAGUAUUAUUACAAUUUAUUAUAUUAUUUCCAACUUAUUAUAUGAUUAAUUGAAAUUAAGUAACUAUUAAGUUUAUCAUUUAAUUAUUAAUUAUUAAUUGAAUUAUCAUUUAUUAUUAAUUUUAAUUCUUAUAUUAUUUUAUCUUUAUUUUAGUGACAAAUGAGCUCUUUUAUAACUUAUUAUAUUUAAAUCCUCACUUUUAUUUUUCUUUUGUAAAUAUUCUUCUUUUUAGACUACAUUUAUUUAAUUAUAACUCUAAUCUCCUCUUUUUGUACUUAUUUUGGUGUUAGAAAGACCUUAUAAUAAAUUGAAUAAUCUUGAUAACCUAGAGAAGUAAGAAGAUCAGCAAAAAGGUGAGUUUUAAAAGCUUAGGUGACGUUGAGCGUCACUUAUCUAUGUUGAGCGAUCCAAUUACAGAAAGCAUCUGAAGCAUCCACUGUCGAGUGCCCCUUCUACCACUGACCACCACAAUUAUAGAGAGCGUCUAGGGUUGCCUUGAAGGUCAGUGCUAAGCAGUAGAGCCCUAGUGCUGAGCAGUACCUUUGCUAAUGUGUCAAGAUGAGCCUAUUUAUUCAACUCCUCUCGAAGGAUAUCGAGUCUUUGGUGAUUUGGAGGCACAACCACAUUAUUUGGAGCGCAUGGAAGAUGCUUGAGGCUUGUGGGAACAUCCUCUUCUUCCUCCUUGUGUCUCCUUCUUCUUUCACCUUCUAUUUUGUGAGCUUAAGGAUCUUUAUGGAAAUGGAAAGUCAAUGGAAAUGAAGAGUCAAACCCAUCUUAUUAGAGGCUUUUAUAAUCAUUAAACUUUUUUGUACUCUCUAGAUACCUUGAUUAUAUAUAUAUAUAUAUAUAUAUAUAUAUAUAUUCCAUUAAAUGUUAAUGUCUUGUUUCUAUUCUUAAUGCUUGUUUGAAAUGGGGACGUGGAUAACUUGAUUUAUGAGGAAUCUAGUGAACCCUAGACUUGAAACAAGAGAUCUAAUGAAACUUGUAUGUAGGAAUGGAACUGGAGCUAUCAGUUGUCUUAAAUCCUAAAUGCAGGUUAGCUUGUUAAGUGUCCAAGGGAUUGGUUCUUAAUGAGUAAACCUAGACUCUAACACCUAAAGAUUGGUGUUUGAGUUCUUUAGUGGGUUGAUUUUAGUGUUUGAUGCAGAGGAGAUGAUUCUAUGGGUGCACGAGAGUAAAACUGGUGAAUUCUACCUCUAGCAUGUCAUUUCAUAUCAUUUCUAACAUUUGAUACAUUUUUCAUAUCAUAGGGACUAAAGUUGACAUUUUUAAAAGCGGAGACUAAACUGAAAAUCAUAACUUAACUUAGGGACCAAAAAAGGGUUUAAAUUUAUUUUCAACUAUCAAAGUUUACCUUUUUAAUUCUCUGUCUAUUCAUUUAUAAUUAUACGUAAUCUUACAUUUUUUAGUCUAGAUAAAUUAUUAGUCCUACCAUUGUCUAGUAUUACACGAAUUUUUGAAAAAACGACAUUUAAGGUUAAGGUUAUCAUUUUAUAUUAUUUGAACGAUUCGGUACAUUUGUCAAAAAAAUCACAUGUAAUUAAUAUAUAGAUUAAUAAUGUACAAAAUCUUUAACAUCUAAAAGUUAUAAUAAUAAGUGAUAAGUUUUAAAUAAUUAAUUUGAAGUUACAUCUAUAUAAGUAAAACUAUAUAAUAAUAAAGCAACUUGUAUUUUGUUCCGUAAGUAAUUAUGAACUUAGGUUUGAGAAAAAAAAAUAACAAAUAAAUAUAUUAUAAAAGACCAAUAAUUGUACCUAAUAAAUGUUACAAAAUUUGCUUGUAUACCAUAUUUUUAGUUGUAUUAAUUAUAUUUCUAUCUUCCUUUAAGAUAGUUAACCAUGUCUUAAACUGGACACAGAAGAUAUAAUUCAAUUUUUUAAAAUGAUUGAACAUAACUCUUUUUGGAAAGCCAUUGAACAUAGCUCUCUUAUUGAUUUUGAUGACAAAAUAUAAAUAUAAAUAUAUAUAUAUAUAUAUAUAUAUAUAUAUAUAUAUUUAUUGGAUUAUCUCAACAACACAAAAUAAAUGUUUUGGGAUAUUCCACGUUAUUCUUUUAUUCUUUCUUCUCAUCACUGACUCAGUUGAGAGAGAAGAAAACAGUGUAUUGUCACAGUUUGGGUCCUAGCUUGUCUCUGUAAACUAACGUUUUAUUACAAUCCAAAAGUUAAAGUUAAAGCUAAUAUAAUAAUGAAAAAUUAUCUUUUCACACCCAUCAUUUUUUUAUUUAUUCUUUACAACCUUUUCAAUAAUAAAAUAAUAUUUUUAAUUAAUAAAAAUAAAUAUAAAUAAAAAUUUAAAAUAAAAUAAUAAUCUUAAAAAGUGUUAAAUGAACAUAUAAAUGAGGAAAAGUUUCAAACAUAUAUAGCCCUACAAUGUAUAGACGAUGGCAAUGAUGACUACAACUUUAACUUAUAUCAAGUGAACACAACAGGUGGAAAAUCAGAGAUAAAAGACCUUUUAGCGUAGUAACUUUUUUUUCUUUCUUUCUUUUUCUUCUUUUCUUUCAUUCUCUUUCUUCUUUUUCUUUAUUUUUUUUUUCUAUUUCAGUGUUCUAUUAGCACGUGUCUCAAUCACUUAAUUUUCUCCACUUUUUUAAUUUCUAAUUCAUUUUUCAUAUAUCCUAAUAGAAUAUAUGUUUUGGAACAUUUGUAUCCAAGCAAUUUCUAAUUUAGUGCAAUUGUAAAAUUUGCUCUAACAUUGGUCAGUUUACUAUUCUGUAAAUGCUUAAUCUUUUUGCUAGUUCUUGAUAAAAGUUAUUCUUUUAAUUAGUUUAUUUUUUUAAUUUUGGAUUCGCUAAUGUUUAACUAGGAUUUUAGGAUUUUUUUUAAUCACCUAUUAUUUUCUACAAGUAACUAUCCAAUAGGAAAAAUUAACUUGAUUUGUAAUUGAGAUUUUAUGAGUACGAAAAUAAUUAUUGAUGAAAUUGUAAUUUGACUUAAUUAGUUCAUUAAAUUUAUUGCUUUCAUUGAUUUUGAGUGAAACAUCUUAUUGUUCAAGUGGUAAAAUUGUAGUAUUUUAAGUCAGACUUUGGAAUGAUUACUAGGUUUCAUAACAAUGAAUAUCAGCCAAGCAAUGCUACCUUAAGUGAUAUGGCUUAUCUCUUGGUGUCUAAAGUGAAGGGGGAAUCAAGAAUAAUCAUGAUUUUCUUUUAUAAUAUUGUUUACGCAAGAUAAUCUCAUUCAAGUGAUACUCACAUGUUCCUUAAGCAUAUAUUAACCUAGUUUAAAAGUAUUUAUAUGUUUAAUAAUCUUAGUUUAUAAUUUUCAUAAAUUUAUGAAUGUUUAUUAUGAGAAAGUGUUGAAUUAUAUAUAUGAAUUGAUGAAUCGAUAAUAAUUCAGAAAUAAUGUGUUGUAGUAUGAGUGAUCUACUAUAUAAAACUCAAAGAUAUUAAAUAUAGUUGAAGUAACAUACCUGUGAUGAUAUGUUAAUUACACUGUGAUUGUGUAUAUUGAUUAUUAAAACCUAGGUAGGGAGAGAGAAAAGAGAAUUCUUGUAUAGCAUUAAUAUGUAAAGACACAAAUUUUGAAUGCAAUAAACUUAUUUUUAAUAUUUAAUUUAACCAUUCGCUUGAAGAAGAAAAUCUUAGAUGAGUCAGACAUUAGUCUCUCUCUUUUAUAUAUAUUCAAUUUGAUGCUUAGAUCCCCUAUGUUAAUCUAAAAUUUUGAAAAUUAUUUUUUUUAUUAUGUAUAAGUUGUUCAUGAGUUUGAAUAGUAUACUAUCUUGGUUUUUUUUUUUAAUAGCUUACUCUUUAAUUUUAGUGUUAAUUAUAGUUGGUACAUAAACAAAUAGCAUUGCAAGUAAGGAGAUAAUUUUGGAAACAUUUAGGAAGAUGUUGUCAUAUUCAUAUAUAAUCAUGUAUAUAUUUUCAUUUCGUGACUGAGAACACAUAUAUAUAUUAUACUUUAGAUGAUUACAUAAUUUAUAUAUAUAUAUAUAUAUAUAGUAAUAUAUAUAUAUAUAUAUAUAUAUAUAUAUAUAUAUAUAUAUAUAUAUAUAUAUAUAUAUAUAUAUAGUAAUAUGAACGGAAAAUAAUGAAUGAAAUUGGUAUAUUUUGAAACGAAGCAAGUGAUAGGAGGAUAGUGCACUGUUAAGUGCUCUCUUUAAAGCUUUAUUCAGAGUCUCUGACUGUGUGGUGAAGUAAACACUAUGAUGAUAACUUGAUACUUUCCACUUGAAGUUCAGGUUUUUCUCUCUCUUAAUCAUCUUCCUCAUUUCUUGUUCUAAAUAAUUAAUUACGCAAACAUUUACACAUAGAUAAACUGCAUCGCUCAACCAAAAUAUCAUUCUCCUCUUUCUCAUAUCCUCUCAGUAUUCUCUUGCAGUAUUGCUCGGUCUUACGAUUUGGAACACUGGCAACUAAAAGGCAAAUCACAACUUAAGGUAAUCCCGAAUUCCAAUAACAGAGGUGUUUUAUAGCUUAUAUAUACAUCAAUCCAUCGAUCAAUAUAUGUUUUAGAUCCUUCACACUACUCUUUUAAUGGAUCCAUUUUUACUUCAGCUCUUUUUAUGGAUCCAUUGCUCAAAUCGUAAACUCAAAUACUUACGUAAAGCAUGUUGUUAUAGUUGAAAUAAUUAACUUUUACACAGCAGCAGCAUCAGUUCUAAACGAGGGGAAUAUUCAGAAAGGGAAAAGAAAUGGAAAAUGGAGCGGUUGAUGGUCAUCAAUCAGAGCUUUCUUAUUCUUACUUUGUCUCACAUUCAAGGUUAGAUUUUUAUAUUACCACUUAUACCCUUUAUGUCUUUUAAUGAUCCAUUGCUCUGUUUUUAGCUGAAUUAUAAUACCGGUUAGUGUAUAAUUUAUUUCAUAUGAAAUAAUAAUAAUCAUUUUAUCAUUUCAUAUUUUGAAGUUAAUUUCAAGUAUAAUAUUAAACAUAAAAUACAACAUUAAAUCAUUUUAACAUCUAAUAAAUAGAAAAAUUAUUUUUAUUGUAUUAAAAACUGGAUUGGUCAUUAUAUUAAGAUUCAAUGGUUCAGUCAAACUACAAUUAAAUCAAUAUUAAUAUAAUAACAACAAUAAUAAUAUUAGAAAACUAAAAUAUCGUAAUUAAAAUUAAAAAGAACACAUAUUCCAUAGAUUUUCACCACUUAAAAUACAAAUAGAAAAGAAAGUGUCUUAUUAAUUUAUAUUACUUUUCUUGAAAAGUUAAAACAACAAUAUAUUAAAAAAUUUCACCGACCCAAAACAAACCCACUGUUUUGGUCGUAUUUUUCAUAUUUCUUUUUUCUUUUUUAAUUUGUUUAUCGAUUCUUGCUUCUGUUAUAAGAUGAUCAUCUAUUUGAAGAAGAGUUAAAGUCAACAACCCAAAAAUAUUUUGUAAGUUGGAAGUGACGAAAAUACUUAUUGAAGAUAAAAUUAAAAAAUAAUAUAAAUUAAAUUAAAUAUAAAUUGAAAUUUAAUUUUAAUUAUAUUUAUGUUGAUAUAAUAUAAAUUAAUUUUAAUUUUAAUUAAAUUAAAUUUAAUAAAAUAUAAAUAUGAAUAGUAAAAUACUUCCAUUUGACUAUUAUAAUCAUUUAUUGAUUGGUAAAUCUUUUAAAAUAUAAUAUGAUGUUAUGAUGUAAAUAUUAAACAUAAUUUUCUAUUUAUAUAAUAUUAUAUUAUAAAUUAAUUAAUUUUUGGCAUAUCCCAUAUUAUUAUAUUUGUAAUUCAAAUAGAAGAAAAAUUAACACAUAAUAUAUUGGCAGAUGUAAUAAUUCAAAAAUUUUAAUAUUGGCAGAUGUAACAUUUACAAUUAACUUGCAAAAAGCUAUUGAAAACCAUUUCACCAUCGAAAAAUGAUCCUAAACCAUUUGAUCACCUCUCAUGAAAAGUUUGCAAAAUGUUUUUAAGCUAUAUUUUUAGCUUCUUUUUCAAUUACUUAAUUCAAACUUCUCUUAAUUUUAGUGUGAACAAUAAUUAACAUCCAUUACAUUACGUUACGUUUACACUCAUACUGUACAUUUUGUUUAGUAUGCUACAAUCAAUUGACAAACAUAAAUAGUAAAACAAUUCAAACUUAAGUCAAUAUCUUAAGCUAAAUCCUUUUAGACUCUUCUAAAAGAAAUUUGCAACACUUUUUUUUUAUUAUCAAAAAUAAUAUUUUAAAGUACCAAUCCAUUACAUUUCUAACCAAUAUUUUUUCCAUUCUUAAAAAUUUAGCAUGCCUUUAUAAAUUUUAACACAACAUUGAUUACUUUUACUUUAGUACAUAUAACUUUUUUUAAUUGAUUAAACAAUAUCCUCUUUUCUUAAUUAGUUAUUGACUAAUAUGUUUUCACUUUAUGUUUGUUAGGAAAUAGAUGUAAUUUGAUCUUGUACAAGAUAAACAAUAUUUGGAGAUGGACUUUUUAGGGCCUUUUGGCAAAGUUAUCGAAGGACUGAUUGAUUUUGUAUGGAAACAUGGUGUUCGACAAGUAACUUACAUUGUCAAUUACAAUAACAAUGUCUUUGAAUUAAAAGAUAGUGUUAAGGAUCUUGAAUUAGAAAAAGAAAGGAUAAAUCAUCAACGUGACGAGGCUGAGAAAAAUCUAAACAACAUUGAAGGAAAGGUUAUUGAAUGGGAUCGAAAAUUGAGUGAAAUCGAGACCGCAGUAGAGGUGUUUGAGAACGAUGAUGGCCACACAAGGGCCCGAUCACCCAAUUGUUUUUUGUUUCCGUUCUUACGGAACAGACACAGGUUAGGAAGACAAGCACAUAAGAUGAAAGAGGAUGUUAAAAGGCUAAUUGGUGAGUCCCCUGAGCUUGAUGAAGUUUUCUAUAGGCAAAAUGUAACAUGUAAUGAUGCCACAUUGUCUAAUUGUGGUUUUGUAGAAUUCAGUUCUAUAAAAUCCAUAAUCGAAAAAGUAAUGAUCCAACUUCAAGAUUCUACAGUGAGAAUGAUUGGAUUGUAUGGGAGAGGGGGUGUGGGUAAGAGCACUUUAGUCAAAGAAAUUGCAAGGAAGGCUAAAGAGAAAAAGAUGUUUGAUGUGGUUGUUAAAGUAGAGAUAACAGCUGACCCUAAUCCACAUAAAAUUCAGGAAGAAAUUGCUUACGUGUUAGGAUUAAGAUUGGAAGGGGAAGGUGAAAAUGUGAGAGCUGACUGUCUACGAAGGAGGUUAAAGAAAGAAAAAGGGAACAUCCUUCUAAUCUUGGAUGACCUGUGGCACAAAUUAGACCUAAAUAAGUUAGGGAUUCCAGUUGAAGAUUAUGAUGAUGAUGAAGAUUUUAAUCGCCAAAAGCCAGAUAAUAAAGAUAGUAACAAUGAUCCUAGUAGCAAAGUUUCGAAAAAAGAAAAUAUCCCUGGUGGUCAUAAGGGGUGCAAGAUUUUACUAACUUCACGGGAUAAAAAUGUGUUGUGUGUUGAAAUGGAUGUAAAGUCAACUUUUUGUAUAAGGGAAUUAGAUGAUAAGGAUGCUUUAAUUUUGUUUCAAAAGUUGGCGGGAAUAGAUAAUGAAAUGUCUAGCUCUAAACAAGAAAUUGUGAAGAAGUAUUGUGAGGGAUUACCCAUGGCAAUAGUUGUAGUUGCAAGAGCAUUAAGAAAUAAGAGUGAAUCAGUGUGGGAAGCAACAAUAAAAAGACACAAAAAGCAUGAAUUGAUGGGUGAGGGGACAUCUAUGGAUAUUUCAGUGAAGAUGAGUUAUGACCAUCUUGAAAAUGAAGAAAUCAAGUAUAUUUUCCUACUUUGUGCUCAAAUGGGUCGUCGGGCAUUAAUCAUGGACUUAGUUAAGUAUUCUUUUGGUUUAGGUAUAUUUGAAGGAGUUUCCUCGCUUUGGGAAGCUCGAGAAAAAAUUAAGACAUCAAUCCAAAAGCUAAAAGACUCUGGUUUAUUGUUGGAUGAAAGUUCUAAUAAUCAUUUCAACAUGCAUGACAUGGUUCGAGACACUGCUUUGUCUAUAGCACAUAAGGAUCACAAUGCUUUUAAUUUGAGAAAUGGAAAACUAGAUGAUUGGCCAGAACUCGAAAAGUGCACUUCCAUUUUUAUGUGCAACAGUGAUAUCAUUGAUGGGCUUGAAGUCAUAAAUUGUCCUCAUCUUAAACUUUUCCAGAUCGACACUAAUGAUCCAUAUUUGAAAAUACCCAAGAGUUUUUUCAAAAGAAUGAAAAAUCUGAGAGUUCUAAUAAUGACUGGUUUUUGUGUAUCAAACUUGCCAUCUUCAAUUCAAUACCUAUCAAAACUCAGAAUGCUUUGUUUGCAGCGAUGUACUUUAGAUUGCAAUCUUUCUAUAAUAGGAAAGCUGAAAAAAUUGAGAAUUCUGAGCUUCUCUGGAUCUAUACUUAAAAAUUUGCCGAUUGAGUUGCAAUGCUUGGAUAAGUUACGAUUGCUAGACAUCAGUGAUUGUUCUGAACUGAAGAUUAUUCCACCUAAUGUUAUAUCAAGUUUAACAUGUUUAGAAGAGCUAUAUAUAAGAGAAAGCUUGAUCAAAAUGUUGGUGGAAAGAGAGACAAACAAAGGUCAAGAUUUGUUUCUUUCCGAGUUAAAGAAUUUACAUCAAUUGAAAGUGGUGGAGUUAAGCAUCCCACGUGUUUCAAAUUUCCCCAAUCACUUGUUCUUUGACAAGUUAAGAGAUUACAAUAUUGUGAUUGGUGACUUUGAUUUCUUUUCUCUUGGAGAAUUUAAGAUGCUCAAUAAGCAUGAAACAUCCAGAGUUUUAGCAGUGCAACUAAAGGAUAACACUAACAUUCAUUCCCAGGAAAACAUAAAAUUGUUGUUUAAAACAGUACAAACUUUGUUGUUGGGAAAGACAAAUGGUGUUCGAGAAGUUGUCAAUGAUUUGAAUAUAGAUGGAUUUCAAGAUCUGAAGCACUUAUCCAUCAUAAAUAACAAUGACUUCAAAUAUGUCAAUUCAACAAAAUUGUGUAAUUAUGUGAAUGUUUUUCCCAAUUUGGAAUCUCUUUGUCUCUACAAUCUGGGGAAGUUAGACAUGAUAUGUUAUGGUCCAGUUACAGUUGUGUCAUUUGCCAAAUUACGAACCAUCAAGGUUGAGAUGUGUCACCGAUUGAAGAAUCUCUACUCCCUUGACAUGGCUAAGUUUCCUAUUGGUGCGCAAACAUGUGAUAUUUCUGAAUGUAAUUCUUACAUGGAUAUAUUUCUUUCUAGUAUAGAGAUAAUUGAAGUUUCUGAAUGUAAAUCUUUAAAGGAGAUCCUUCAAAUUCCAAAGCAUUACAGAAAGGUUGAGUUUCUUAAGUUGCACACUUUGACACUCCGAUUAUUACCACUGCUUUCAUCGUUUUAUACCAAAGUGGAUAAAUUUUUCUGGCCGCAUCUAACAAAGGCUCAAACUACAAUUAUGGGUCACAAAGAUCUUACGAGUGAGGAAGAUAAACAAAGUGAUGAGGAACCUUCUCUUUUUGGUGAACUGGUAUGAUAUUCCAUUAUUUUCAAUAAUUUUAAAUAAUUAGUUCAAUUGUUAUAAAUAUAUUAAUCAUGUAUGUAUGUGUUUGCAGGUUGAAAUUCCAAACUUAGAGACCUUGAAUUUAUCCUCACUCAAGAUCCAUAAGAUAUGGAGUGACCAAAACUCGUCAAGUUUCCUUUUUCAAAACUUGAUAAAAUUAGUUGUGAAAGAUUGUGAUAAAUUAACACAUCUAUGUUCAUUGUCUAUGGCUAAAAGUUUGAAGAAGUUGAAAAGCCUUGUCAUAAGCGAGUGCCCAGUUAUGGAGAAGAUUUUUGAGACUGAAAGAAAUAAUGCAGACAAGGUAUGUAUUGGCAUGAAUAAGUAAAUGUUCGUAGUUGACCAAAUAUAAGUUUACGACUUUGCUAGUAUUAAGGUUGUGAUGAAAGGAAUAGAUUAUGAGAUAGAGAACAUGUGGGAAUAGUAGAAUUUGAAAGUAGUAGUUGAAAGAAAUACAUUAUGUAGUUGUUUUGUAUUAUGUGUUUUCAUAGAUUUAUCUUAUUUCAUAGAUGUUAUCUUACAUCAAAUGGUAGUGUACGUGGGUAAAUAUAUAGACCAUAGAUUAUUAUAGAAAAUGCUAGUCAUAACUUAUAGGGAAUGUUUUAGAUUUUUAGCUAUGUAGAAUAUUCUUGAUUUUUUCCUCUUAUCUUAAGUUUUUCUUCAAUAUUCAGAAUUUGCAUUAAGUUUCAAUAAUUCAAUCUUAGGCUAUUCUAUAUUGUUCUAGAAUUUGCAUUACAUGUUAAUAUUCCUUCUUGAUGAAAACUCACUAAAUCCAAGCACAUUGCCCAAUAGUUCAAACCUUGGGCUUGGUAACGCCUUUGUGAAAAUAUUUCCAGUUAGAUCUUCUUCCUUCACUGCCUUGGCCCAUUCUUCAUGUUUUGCGGUCUUUUCAAAGCUUGCAAACUCUAGUAUGGCCAAGUUGCAAGAUUCAUAUAUGUCUACGAGAUAUCUUACAUUUCUUGGAGUAAAUUUAGGUGAUAAUUCUUCUUGUUCUUGAAUUGAUGUUGGAGUUUGCAGGAGAUUCUGGAGCAUGUAUAUUGUUAUCUUCUUCCUAGUUCCAAGUAGCACUUUAAUCUACUUCAUUUUCUCUACUAAUAGUUAGCUUCUUUGUUUGAAUAUUGUAGACGUUGUAGCCUUUUGAUUGUGUAAUGUAUCCCAAGAAUAUUCCUUAUAUACUCUUGUUUUCAAGCUUGUGCAUAUAUGUAGUAGAUAUACCCAAAUACUCGUAGACGUUUAGCUGAUGACUUUCUUUCACUAAUAGGAGUCUUGUCUUGGUUAGAAUGUAAACUAUAGUGUAGCCUGCUUCUGCCUACAAAGUUUUAGGCAUAUUUCCCUUUUAACAUUGAUCUUGCCAUAUUCAUGAUAAUGCAAUUCUUUUUCUUUGAGACAACAUUUCGUCGUGGAGAAUGUGUUAAGAAAUGGACUUUAAACCUAACUCAAUCCUAUAAAACCAACUUGUAAGCCACCUAUAGUGGCGGGUGUAGUGGUAGAGGCGACAUAAUUUUUUUUUUUCAAAAGAACCUUAGGCUUUAGAUAUCAUCUUAAGAAGUGGAAUUUAACCUAAAUCAACCCUAAAAGGUUGGCUUGUAAGGUUAGGCUUACACCCACUUAUAUACUAUAAAUUAGUCUUAUCUCUAGUCAAUGUGGGACUUUCAAUAACAUGCUACUAUGAUUUAUCUCUCUAUGCCUUCAUCUUUGCGAAAAUUUUUCAAACUUACAAGUUGUGUACUCCUUUCCACGAUCACUUUUAAGAUCUUUUAAAUGUUUUUCACUUUGUUUCUUCACAAGGGGCUUGAAUUUUUGAAUAUUCCAAAGAUUUCUUACUUUUCCUUUUGAUAAAUAGGUCUAUAUUAUUCUAGAGAAGUCAUUAAUGAAGAGGAUGAAAUAUUGAUUGUUGUGAUGUCAUUACAAAACAAGUAUUACUGAUGGUCAAAAUUCAUCGAAAACGUCAAAAAUUUGUUAGUGAUGAGUUUUCUCGACGAAUUUCUAACAGGUCCAAAUCGACAGUAAUAGUUCAGUCGGUAAUAUUUACUGAUGGAAUUUUAUAUUUAUCAGUAAAUACUAAUAGAAAAAUCCAUUGGUAAUUAGAAGAAAAAUUCAUGAGUAAUUACUGAAAAAAAAAAUCUAUUGAUAAAUCUUGUGAGUAAAUAUCACAAUCUGGUUCAUCUUUUCCUUUUCUCUCCUUCUUCAUCUUUCUUUUAACUUUCUCAAUCCAAAAGUAUCGACAUACUACAAAUGAAAGAGGUAGCUCAUCUUCAAUCCAACAGAAUCCAGUCAUUAUAAACUAAUAAAAUUUUGAGGAAAAACUUAUUAGGGUUCAAGCUAAUCCAAUAAUAGGAGGCAACAAUGGAGGCUUCUUAUUCCUAGGCAACGUGUGCAACAAUGGAGCACUUGCGACAAUGGUGCCCUUGUCGUAGUGGUUGAUUCAUCACAGUGAUGUCCUCAUGCGAUUUACUACGUCGUCUAUGUUGGAAGCGAGACAACUCUUUGUCACAGUGGGUUGCCUCUUCCGGAGUCAUGAAAGGUAUGGCUCAUAGUGUAUCUCUCUACAAUGGUGGUUUUUGUUCAUGGUGAUUCACGAAGAGUCUUGUUUAAUGGUUUAUGUUUGUGGAAAUGGGGGAGAAAUUUGUCAAUUUUUUUAUCAACAGAUUAUAUCAAUGAAAAUAUCUUUCGAUAAAUGAGAUAUGUAUUACCGAUAAAAAAUUCACCAAUAAAUGUAUUACUAAUGGAAAAAUCUAUCAGUAAAUGCAAUAUGUAUUACAAACAGAAAAAUUCAUCGGUAAUUAAAAUUUUAAAAAUCUUUCGAUACAAAAAUAUUGGUAAUUUAAAUUCACCGACAAAUUUAUUUCUGUUGGUAAAAUUUCGUCGAUAAUUCCAACAAUUUUUGUAGUGUAAGUCUCAUCAUCGGUCCACAAACAUCCGUAUGAAUCAACUCUAGUAAGUUUUUUGUUCUCAAUGUUUUUCCUAUUGAAAAUAGGUAAUCGGUGUUGUUUUUCGAGAAAACAUCCUUUGCAUGAUUCAUUAUUCUUCUUCAAUCAGGGAAGAUCUCUCAUUAUAUUUUUUUAAUAUAAAAGUUUUAAGAAAUGAGUGUUGAAAUGAUCAAAUUUUCUAUGUCAAAACCAUAAGUCACCAACUUCUACCUUUAUAGCAAUAUUAAUUCCAAGUUUAAAGCUUAUAGGAACUCCUCUAUUUCUCUUCACCAUUUUUACUUGGCCAAUGUUAGCUGCAAAACCAACGGCAAGUGCACCGGUCGCAACGUAGCAAGUGAUAAAUAUCGUUCUCUCCCAAGGGACUUCUGCAACACAUUACAACUCUUCCUUUUAUAACUCAAUUAGACAUCAAAGUACACAAAAAAACACAAGAAACUCUUUUUGGUAUUUUAUCAAACAGUUGGUGUGUAAGGAAUUUAACAUAGUGUAUUUACAAUUUGUCAAGACUAGAGUUCAUCCACUUCAUUCUCAAGCAUUUACGAACAACUCAAUUCCAUCAAUUAGGUGUUCAAUUUCAGUUCUAAGUUCAAGUCAUAUUUUCCAAUACAUCAAGAACUACAAUUCAAUCCAUGGGUGAUGAAGCCACAACAAGCAUUAAGCAUAGAAAUCAAAUACUAACAUUGAAAUGGAAAAGCAUAUAUCAUUAACAUCACAAAAUACAUAAGAAUUUCAUGUUUUACAACUAAUCUCAACAAAUAGGAAAAGCCUUCCAUGGUGGAGAACUUAGGGUUCACAAAAUUGAAGAAAUAAGGAAGAAAUUGGAACCAAAGAGAAGAUGCCAAGCCUUUCCCAAGGUUCUUGGCAGUUGCUUCAUGCUCUAUUUGCGUCUCCCCUUCGCAUCUCCAUCUCAAUUUGUGACCCAUCUUCUUCCUCAACCAAAAAGGGGAAAAAUCACCAUUGAUGAAGCUUGAAGACCCAAGGAGGAGUGAAAGAGCUUCCCAACACCCCAAAUAGACUCCAAGGGCCUCUCUUAAUCUCUCUAGGUGAAGAAUGAAGCGUAAGAGAAGAAGAAUGUCCAAAAAAUCGCGAGACCCAUGUUUAAAUAAUCCAUUUUGACACAUUAGCGAAAAGUCACGCCCAGCCCCCUUCUAGGGCGCCCAGGCGUGAAAUCUGUAGAAAAAGGGCACUCAGCCCCCUUUUGGGGCACCUAAGCCCCAUUUUAUGGCGCCUGAGCCCCUUUUUUGGAUGCCCAACCCCCUUCUGUGGCGCUCCACAUGGGUAUUUGUUUCAAAUUGAUCUUUUAUUGUUCCAAAACAUGUUCCCUUGAGUUCUUGUUUGUUUUCCUCCACUAGAAUUGCUUCCUAUUCAUUUAUUUCACACACUUAAAUAUAGAGAUUAGAGGUAAAAACAAACAUAUACUAAAUAAAACACAAGAAAACUAGAAAACACACUAAACGUGAGGAUAAAACAAGGUAAAAGCUAUGAAGGAGUUGAUUCGUUCACAAAAUAUACACACACAAACAUGUUAAAUCAACCGUUAUCAGCCAAUUUUUAACCUUUUACUAUACAAUUUUUCCGUGCAUCUUUUUCAAAGUGAAAAGAAUAUCCAUUUUUCGCCAUUUGGCCAAUAUUUUAAAGAUUCUCUUUAAGGUUGGGUACUAGUAGAUGUUCUUGAUAAAUUUUGUACAUUUUUUGUUUCCAUCAAGACAACUCCUUUGCCUCGAGACUUCACUGUGGUGGUGUUUCCCAAUCAAUCAUUGACAUUGACAAAUUUAUUGAUCAUGUCUUUGACGAUGCUUUAAUCUUUAAUUGGUCAUGUCACUGAGGCAUCCACUAUCCAAGUACCAAUUUCCUUCUCCAUUAGGAGAUUCUUUACUGGCAUGGAAUAAGUGUUGCUCAUUAUUAUGUUCUUCGACAAAGUUUUUUUUAUGCUUAUUUUUAUUACGAGAAUGCUUUUCCAUGUGACCAAAUAUCUUAUAGCAUGAACAUUGAGGUUUUCCACGAUGCCAACAACAUUUUUUCCGAGUGACUUAUCUUUUUACAUGUCACAUGAAAUAUAUUUUCCUUAACAAGUUAUAAAGAAGCAUCUAGAAUUUUCUUUAUUUAUUGAAAUUUCUCCUAUACUUUUUUUUUUCCUUCAUACUUUUUGUUAUAAGUAUAUAAUUUUAGUUUUGAUUGAAAGACAUUUUCAACCAAGUCCUUUUCACAUCUUUUCAAUAUUUGUUCAUAAUAAGUUUCAAGAGAACCCAUUAUUUGUGUUAUUGACAAUAUGACUAAAUCCAUUUUUUCGUUCAAUCGUGGUUGCAAUUGCAUCAUGUUUUUAGGAAAGAGAAAUUAAAAUUUCCUCAACGAUAUUUUUUUGUUAAGAAUAUUUUCUCCAAAAGCUUUAUGAACAAUUAUUUCUUUUAUUAUAGAAUAGUAGUCUUUAAUCAUCUCAAAUUCUUUCAUUCUUAUUAAUUCAAACUAUUGUUUAGAGAAUGAAUUUUAACAUUGCAUAUCUCAUCACUUCCAUGAAACUCCUCUUGUAUUAUGUUUCAAGCUUGCUUUGCACUGGUGAAUCCUAUUAUUCUUGGAAAGAUUGCGUCAUCAACUAUUUGUUGAAGAGUAAAUAAAGUCAUCGAAUCCUUUUGCUUGUUGUUGAGACUUUUGCAAGUGUACCAAAUCUCAUCAAAUGAUGAAUCGGUAAGUCUAAAUGUCAUUUUCCCAAGGCAUUUGUUCUGACUUUGCUAAUUGUGAAAGUUUAUCGAUUUAGCAACAAUAACUAAUAUCAUAGUAUUUUUAUGCACAAUUUAAUUAAAAUUUCAGAUUUACAAUUUAUACAAAAAGAUCGAGUUCAGAUUCAUUGGAGUUAAAAUUCAAGUUCCAAAUUCAGUGCUCUUUUUCUAUCAACACAAUUCCUCAGAAUCAAGCAUCAACAUCAUAGGCAUACAAACAUCUAAUUCCCCAGAGGACAAAUUCUGAACCAUCAAACUCAAAAAUUACUAAUGCCUUACCAAAUCUAGAAUUCAGAUUCAGAUUAAACACGAUGUUACAAAUGAUUAAAAGUUUCAAACUAUGUUUAGAAUUGAAUUCCUUUAACUGUUCUAUCUGUUGGAGGGAGGUUCGACACACACAUAGAACUCCACACAUGGUAAGACAUUGUCCGCUUUGGGCCAAGCCCUAAAGGGUUUGCUUUUGGUACCACUCCAAAAGGCCUCUUACCAUUGGAGAUAUCUAUGUGUAUAUAAACCCUUGACCAGUCCUUCUUUCACUCAAUGUGGGACUUUGUUUGCUCUCCAACAUCCUCCCUCAAACAAAGGACUAUGGUCACCUUCCUCCCUCGCUGCGAAAGUCUUGUCUUAUUCAUUCGAGUACACCAUGGUCAACACAGAGCAUUUCUCAUUUGCCCUCUUUCACGAUCCAUGGUCACAAUGAGCUUUUCUAGCUCUCCCCACCUCUCAUGAUUCCUCCGGCGCCACUGGCCUCCUGCCUGGCUCGCCUGAUCAUGGGGGGCGUACUCGUCUAAGCCCGGUUACCAGACCCGAACCAUGGGCUCUGAUACCACUGUUGGGGGGAGGUUCGACACACACAUAGAACUCCACACUGGUAAGACAUUGUCCGCUUUGGGCCAAGCCCUCACGGGUUUGCUUUUGGUAUCACUCCAAAAGGCCUCUUACCAUUGGAGAUAUCUAUGUGUAUAUAAACCCUUGACNAGUCCUUCUUUCACUUAAUGUGAGACUUUAUUUGCUCUCCAACACUAUCUAUGUCCACGAUCUCAUGCAUUUCCCAAUGUUUUAACUGUUGAAAUAGUUUAGAUUUCCAUCAUAUGCGUGAACAAUAAGCAUAGAAAACUAAAUUCAUCAAGAAUCAUGCAUUGAACAGAGAAAUUACAAAGAGUUUUAGAACUUUACUCUCAACCCAAAUGAAAAUGGAGUUUCAACUACACAUAGACAUCAAGGAAGCAAGAAGAAGUGAUUUUGAUGGAUUGGAUGGAGUAGAAAUGGCGUCCUUGCAUUGGAGUCCUCUAAGCUCGAGCUGGAGAGCUUCUGCAGUGUUCCCACCAUGAAAAACUGGUUCUGUUUGCGUUUUUUAGCCAUUUUAAUGAGUUCUGGAAAGUCAACUCGCUCGUGCAACUUUAGAGACUCGUUGGAGCGAGCUCUCGUUCGAGCGAACAAUGUCAUUAACUUGAGUGAAAAAGUCAACACAUGAACAGUAAAUGUCAAUGCGUGAACAGUAAAAGUCAACUAGUGAAUAGUGUCGAUCAACAGAUGAAUAGUGUUGGAUGAAUAAUGAAUAGUGAAUUUUAGUGACUUUGUUUGCACAUUGUUCGCAUCACUGUACAUGUGACUCUUGUGGCACCUAGUGUGGGUAUUCACUUAAAAUCUAUCUUUUGUUGUCCAAUCAUGCUUCCUUGAGUUUUGGCUUGUUUUCCUCCACCAAAAUUGCCUCAUGUUUUCUUAUUUCACACUCAAGGAGAUAUUAAAAGUAAAAUAUAUAUAUAUAUAUAUAUAUAUAUAUAUAUAUAUAUAUAUAUAUAUAUAUAUAUAUAUAUAUUAACUAAAACAUAAGAUAACAUCAAAACACACUAAACUUGGGGAUAAAAUAGGGUGAAAGCUAUGAAUGAGUUGAUUUAUUCACCNGUAUUCACUUAAAAUCUAUCUUUUGUUGUCCAAUCAUGCUUCCUUGAGUUUUGGCUUGUUUUCCUCCACCAAAAUUGCCUCAUGUUUUCUUAUUUAUCACUAAAUGAAUUAUUAAAAGUAAAAUAUAUAUAUAUAUAUAUAUAUAUAUAUAUAUAUAUAUAUAUAUAUAUAUAUACAUAUAUAUAUUAACUAAAACAUAAGAUAACAUCAAAACACACUAAACUUGGGGAUAAAAUAGGGUGAAAGCUAUGAAUGAGUUGAUUUAUUCACCAAAAUAUAAACACAAAAACACAUAAAAUCAAUUGUUAUCACUUAUUUUCCUUAAAACUCCUUCUUCUGAGCUGUAAUAAGAGUAGAAAUGUCUUCUAGAUAGUGAAUACAUCUUUUAUAAUGUCCCAUAAAUCUCGAGAGAAAAAUAAUGUCUUCAUUUUGACACUCCAAAAAUUAUAGGUACUAGAAUUGAUGAUGUUUGAUUGGUAGUGGUCAUUGGUUGAAAAAAUAUUUUGGAAGUAGUAUGGAAUGAAGCUAUAGUUUUUUUUAAGUAGUUGAAAAUUUUUAUCUAUGACCAAUGGAUGACCGAACAUAGCUCUGAUACUAAUAUUACUAUUUUGAAGUUGUGAAAGGAUUACUUGAUCGGAUAAAGAAAUUGAGUGGAUAGUAGAAUGUGAAAGUACUAGUUGAAAGAAGUAUAUUUUGUAGUUGUGUUGUAUUGUGGUUGCCAUAGAUGUUGUUUUACAUUAAAUGAUAGUGUACAUGGGUAUUUAUAAACCUAUAAAUUAUUUUAGAAAAUGUGAGUCACAACUUAUGUAGAAUAUUCUAAAUUUUUAUCUAUGUAGAAUAUUCUAAAUUUUUAUCUAUGUAGAAUAUUCUUGAUUUUUUCCUCAUAUCUUGGACUUUUCAACAAUAUUCUAUAAUUUUCAUUACAUUUCAAUAAUUUUAUCUUAGGCUUUUUUAUUGUUCUAGAAUAUACAUUAUACUUUAAUAGGUUCUCCAUCAGACUUUACCUUGUACAUUUUCGCUUAGCUACCAUAUGUAAUAAUAGUUUGUUUUCAAAUGCAGGUUUGCAUCUUCCCUAAGUUAGAGGAAAUCCACGUUACCAAAAUGAAUAAGCUAACAGAUAUAUGGCAAACUAAAGUGAGUGUUGAUUCCUUUUCUAAUCUCAUUUCUGUGAAAAUUGAAGAGUGCAAUAAAUUAGACAAGAUUUUUCCAUGUCACAUGGAAGGGUGGUUUGAAAGUUUGGACAACUUAAAAGUUUAUUGGUGUGAGUCGGUUGAAGUGAUUUUUGAAAUCAAUGAUUCUCAAGAAAUAGAUGAAUUUGGAGGGAUAGACACAAAGUUGCAAAUAAUUCUUCUUGAAGGCCUCCCAAAGUUAAAACAAUUGUGGAGCACAGAUCAAAAUGGAAUUCUUAGCUUUAAAAAAUUGCGGACCAUAGAUGUAGAUAGUUGUGAUGAACUUAAGAAUUUGUUUCCAGUUUCUGUUGCCAAAGAUGUUCCAAAGCUUGAACACAUGUCCGUAUUGGAUUGUGAUAAAAUGGAGGAAAUUGUUGGAAGUCAAGAUGCAUCAGAUGCUAACCCAGAUCUAUUGGUGUUUCCUGAACUAAUCUAUGUGAGAUUACAUCGUCUACCAAACAUGAAGUAUUUCUACAAGAAGAAAUAUCCUAUAAAGUGUCCAAAGCUGAAGGAGUUGAGUGUGACAAAAUGUGUGAAGCUCAAAACAUUUGUCAAAGAUACCAUUAAUACAACAAACAAAGUGGGAAAUUUUGUUUUCUCAAUUGAAGAGGUAAGCAAUAUUCUAUCUUUGUCGGAGUUCGAGAAAAAAACAUUUAGUAAAUGUUUUAUUAUAUGUUUGGUAGAAAAUAAAAAUAUACAUAGAAAAAUAAGUAAAAGGAAAACGAACUACGUGACAACUUAAAUGAAGAAAAAACUAUUUUGUUUGAGAGACAUAAAAUAUAAAUUAAAUAAAAAUAAUAAUUCACUUAAUCUUUUAUAUUAUUUACUUAUAUUUGUUUAUUCUUUAGGUAUUUCCCAAGUUGGAGCAUAUGGAAAUUGAGUUCAAGGAAGCACAAGAAUUGUUACCAAAGUACCAAAUGCAGCGCCUAAAAGAACUUAGUUUGAUUUCAGUCGAAAGUGUCGAUCUUCUCAACCAGUUUCCAUACAGAACACCAAAUUUAGAAAAGCUAAAAUUAGAAUCCUAUGAUUUUAAAGAGUUAGCGCCAAAAGCAAACAAUGGACGACAAAAAGGAUUGGGGAUUGUAUUGCAGCUGAAGGAAUUAGUUUUCUUGGAUUCAAAUAUAAAGGAUCUUGGAUUUGAACGAGGCCAAGUUCUACAGAGACUAGAGGUUUUAAGAUUAGAAGAUUGCAGUAAAUUAAGCAAUUUGGCUCCUCCCUCUGUAUCAUUGAAUUACUUGACACAUUUGGAAUUGAAGUAUUGUUUUGGAUUAAAGCACUUAAUGGCAUCCUCCACUGCCAAAAGUAUGGUUCAACUCAAGACAAUGAAAGUAAGCUAUUGUGAUAAAAUAGAGCAAAUAAUAAGCAUGGAGGAAAGUGAAGAAGGCAAAGUGAUGAAAAUUGUAUUCAGCAAAUUGAUUUCUAUAGAACUUGUGGGGCUAAACAACCUUGCAAGUUUUUGCAGUCACAAGGAGUGUGAAUUUGAAUUCUCAUCACUGGAAACAUUGAUUGUAAGAGAAUGUCCGAAGAUGGAGAAAUUCAGUGAGAAAAGAUCAAUAGCACCCAAGUUAAGGAAUAUAUUUGGUGUGGAAGGAGAUGAAAAAACAAAGUGGCAGUGGGAAGGUGACUUGAAUGGCACGAUACACAAAAUUUUCGAUGAUAAGGUACUCUCUCUUUCGCUUAUUAUUAAUUUCAUUUAUCCUUAUCUUAUCAACUUUUCUUCUGUCCAAAGAGAAAAUCACUUCAUGGGAAAUUAUAAAUCCUUAUUUUUGGCAUAAAAGCUUUAAACGUUAAAUAGUAUGUUUGCUGAGAAUUUGAAAGAGUGAAUUCGAUCUGGUUCUUUAAAGCAUUCUAUUUAGUCCUAAUUUUCUGUAAAAGCAUUCAAUGUUAUCAUUUCUACAUAAUAUUUACAUAAUACUUUAUUCAUUUUAAUUUUAUAUAACAUUUAUACUGUUAUUUGUACGAACAUCAUAAGUAUAUAUCUUACGGUUUUAAUUUAAAAAUAUAAAUAUAUUAAAUUAUGAAAGCGAAGUAUAGAGGAUUAAAGUUUUUAACUUCAAAUACUUAGGAGAUCUGUUAAUUAAUAAUUUGAAUGGUAGAGAAGUAAUUUAUUCAUUUGUCUGAUUUACAGGUCAGUUUGGCAUAUACUGAGAACUUGUGGCUUGACAUUGAUAAUGAUCAAUAUAUUAUAGAGCAACUAUGGCAUGACAGACAUUGGGUGCAGCAAAACAGCUUUGGAUAUUUGAAAACAUUGUUUGUAUGGAGAUGUGAUACUGUAGUGCAUGUAAUUCCAUCUCAUUUGCAUUCUUGCUUUCCCAAUUUGGAAGGGUUAGAUGUACGGUAUUGCAGUAAUGCAGAGGUGAUAUUUAAUAUGAAUGAUGAGAACAGGGUGAUGACAAAACCUUCCGGAAUAUUCCGUCUGAAAAUAUUGAACUUAUAUAAUCUACCAAAACUGGAGCAUGUAUGGGACAAGGAUCUGGAGGGAAUUAUUGACCUUGAUGCGCUAGAGGAAGUGCGUGUUGAAAAUUGUAGGAGUCUUAGAACUUUUUUUCCAGCGUGGGUGGCCAAAGAUCUUAACAGACUUGAGGUGUUUCAAAUAACAAAGUGUGAUGAAUUGGAAGAGAUAUUUAGGAGUGGAGAAGAAGAAGAAGGAUCACUACCAGACUCUGUUUUUCAUCAACUCACCACAUUGACGCUGCAACAAUUGCCACGCCUCAAAUAUUCUAUUCACCGCUCCAAACAACAGGCAAUUCUCACACUUUUUACUUUAUCUAUGCUUACUCUUAUUAUUUCAAUUUUAAAAAAAUAUAAAUUUCUUUCAUUAAUAAACAAAAAAUGUAUUAUUUAGAUAAAAAAAAGUUAUUUAAAUAACAGUUAAUACAAAGAUAAAUAAAGAAAUAUAAAAGAGGGUUCAGAAUUGAAUUUUAACACUACCUUAAUUUUACAAACAUGAAAAUUGUUUUUAUCUUUGAUUAAUUUAAGACUUUUAAUAAAACUGACUUUAUGUAAUCAUAAAUUGGCUUAUAUAUGUAUUAUACCAUAAAAAAAUAUUAUGUAUUACACCAUUAAAAAUCAUAAAUAAGGUACUUGAAUUUUAUGCAAAAAUAUUAUGUAUUAUACCAUUAAAAUUUAUAUAUAUAUAUAUAUAUAUAUAUAUAUAUAUAUAUAUAUAUAUAUAUAUAUAUAUAUAUAUAUAUAUAUAUAUAUAUAAUUCUUAGUAAUUGAUAAAUAUAUAUUAGAGAUAACAAAUAGUAUGGUGUUGGACUUUAUUUUAUAUAAUAAUACAAAUAAAUAACUAUAUGAAUACUUAUAAUUAUAUCUUAAUUAUAAAUAUACUUAAUUUGUAUUUGGUUUUGGGUAGGUAUACAAGUUCUCAAACUCGAACUUUGACUAUAAUUUAAAUUAAGUAAAUAGAUAACUAUAAUAAUUAUCUAAUUAAUAUUGUUGGAAGUUCUACAUCGACUAGAGAUAAGACCAAUUCAGUGUAUAUAAGUGGGUGCAAACCUCACCCUACAAGCUAGUUUUGUGGGGUUCAGUUAGACUUAAAGUCUACUUCUAAUAUGGUAUCAAAGUCAUGAUUAGAGCCUAUCGUAGCGAUAUCUGUUGUUGUUCAGCAUGUUGUUCCACCCGCUAUCGGGCCAUUAUCGGACCACCCAUUAAAUGUCUAAUCCCACGAGAUGUAUAUACCUCAGCGUGAGGGGCGUGUGCUAAAGAUAAGACAACAAACUGGUUUUGUGGGGUUGAGUUAGGCUUAAAUUCCACUUCUAAGAAAUAUUGAUCUACUUUGGCAAAUGCACCAUAUGAAGCAAAUUUAACAAAUAGGGUUAGGAUUUUUGAACCAAAGAACACCAUAUCUAUUAAAGUUCUUGUCUUUGUGUUUGUCGCUCCUAAAAGCAACUUUUACUGUUUAGGUUUUUCUGUUUUAUAGUUUUUAUUGUUGCUAUUAGGGAUUACUUCAAACCCCCCUCACUCCAAACUUUUGUAUAAAAAGGGACUUCCGGUAUUUUCAUGUUGUAACUAAGAUACACAAACAGAUAAUGAAAAGAGUUUGAGUUUCGUUUUUCUUACGCUGUUUGGGUGCCUUUCUUCUCCCUUUAUACUUGUUCCACUCGAUUCUAGCCACUGCUUUCUUCUUCGAUCUGCAGACGUGUCUCCAUGGAAAGCCCUCGCGCUCUGUCUUUCGCACACGACUUACAUCUUUCAGACUCAUCCGAUAUCUGAUGCCACGAAGCUUCUCGAGAAAGGUCUCCUUUCGCGUCUUGGGUUAAAUGGCCUUUGGGCCUUUGUCACACGUUUUGGGCCGAUUUUAAUAUAGUGACAACAUCUAAAUGAGAAGAAAAUAAACAACAUCUAAAUGUUCAAUGUAAGGAUUGACAACAUAGCGACUUAGUUUAUGGACAUAAUAACAUACGUCUAGUCUAGAGAUGGUUAAAUAUAGUAACCUCCAUAUAUAAAUCGUACGUAGAUAUUGGGUCAGAUAUGUUGGAAUAAAUUUAAAAUUUUGGGGUUUAUUAGUAAUUUUGUUUAAAUCUUAUUUUAUUAGUUUUGAUCAAUUAAUAUUUAGUUUGUUUUUGAUAAAGAUAAAAUAGAAAUAGUUAGUUUUGAUUUAUCAUUUAUUUAGGUACAAUAUUAUUUUAUUUUGUUGAUAUAAGAUAAAGAUAAAUUAAAUAGUUGUUUUUAUUUUGAGUCAGUUAUAUUUUGUUUUUAGUUUUUAUUAUUUGGUCUAAGGCAUUAUUUGCACUUGUUUAAGUGUUGCCAAGGUUUAAUAAAAAUAAUCACAGUAGAAUUGAAGAGUUCAAUUAUUUGUGUGUGUCACAUAAUCCUUUUAACAAAAUGGUAUAAGAGAUUACGAUAGUUGGUAUCUGCAUAUGAAGGUUCUUCUUGGAUCUCAAGAUGUAUGGUUCAUAGUAGAGGAUGUGUACAAUGAACCUGCAGACGAUCAACAUUAAAAAAGACAUCGGUGAAAGAGGCUUUGUACUUUAUUUAAAUGUAGUAUUAAGUCGAGGUUUGAGAAAAUAGCUAAUGCAAAGUCAACAAAAAGAUGUCUGGGAUAUUUUGAAGGUGGCAUACAAAGGACAUAUCCACAUACGGCAGGUCGAGUAUAAACUCUUAGAAGAGAGUUCGAACAUAUGGAGAUGGACGAAAAGCAAGGAGUUGCUGAGUUUAUAACUCGAGUGCAGAAGAUGACCAACUAUCGUGGUCAAUGGAUGAAGUUGUCUCAUAAUGAAUGAAUAUAUUCGACGGAUGGGAGGGCUUCUGGAUGGCUAAUGAGAUUAUAGAUAAAUAGAUGAUAGAGCUUAAGGAGUUGAAGAAGACCCUUAUUGACUAGGAGAAGGAAGCAUCUAGCGUUCUUGAACCAGAUGAAAACGGGAAAGAGGAAGAUGGAGAUGUUGAGAAGAACCAUUGUUGUGACUUUGGCAAGCGUACCAAAUCGUUCAAGUAAUAAAACCGGUAAGACCGAAUAUCGUUUCCCAAGAGACUCGUUGCACUAGACAAUCAUAUAAUUUCUAACUAACCUAGACUAAAGAAUGCUUCCACAAAUUGAGUUUUGGUGCAAUUAAAGUAAACAUGAAACAUAAAUAGUAAAAGUGAUCUUUUGCACUCAAAAACUUGGAAAUGGCAAGAUGAGAAAUGAUAUGGAAUGGUAUUGUGGGGGGUAUGCUUUCACUGAUUUCACUCUUAUGUAAGUAAAAUCACUUCCUCUUCAUUAAUAUGUCAAAGUCAAUCUACUAAUUUACUCAAACCCCAAUCACUUGGUAGAAUGAGCCUAGACUUUCUUAUUAGGCUUCAAUCCCUUGGAAAACCUAACAAUUAAUUCCGCAUUAAGAAAUGAGAUUUUAAGACUACCAAAGGUCCUAGUUCUAUCCCUAGAAACUAUUUUCUUUAGGUGUUUAACCCAAGUCCGGAUUUACCCAACAUUUCCCAAUAUUAAGCAAACCCUAAAAUCAAGUCAUGGGUAGCAACUUCACAACAAGCAUUAAGAGAAGAAAUCAAACACUAACAAUCAAUGAAAGAGGCAUAUAUUCAAUCAAAACAAAGGGCUUUACAUAAGAGUUCAGUGGCUACAACAAUCUCCCAACAAUAAUGAAACUAGCUCUCCAUGAAUGGAAGAAGAAGGACUGCUCCCACAGCUCCUAGCUCGCGUCCAAGAGCUCCAAAACGAGAGAAAUGCGUCUGAGUAACAAAAGAUCCCAAGCUCUUCGUGCCUCUGAGUGAAAUAGGGCAAAUCUGCCAUGUCAGCAAAGUUGGCGCUCAAGUCCCCCCAAAAAUGGGGCGCUCAGGCGUGCGACAGUCAAACUCAGGAACUGGUGCACUAGCGCUCAAGCCCCCUUAAGCUAGGGGGCUUGAGCCUGAUUUCAGCAGAAUUCUUAUUCUUCGUUUUUUUGUUGAUUUUCUUGGUUUUCAGUGCCUUCCUUUGAUGCAUAGACUUCUUCCAAUUAAAUUAAGCACAUAGAAGCAGGGAUUAGUUAUCAAAAUAUCUCAUUAAAGCUUAGGGGUUUAUUAGUAACUUUGUUUAAAUCUUAUUUUAUUACUAUUUUUUUGUAUAGUAAUGUUUAGUUUGAUUUUAACAGAGAUAAAAUAAGAAGAGGUAGUUUUGAUUUUUCAUUUUUAGGUACAAUAUUAUUUUAUUUUCUUGAUAUAAGAUAGAGAUAAAUUAAAUAGUUAUUUUUAUUCUAAGUUAGUUAUAUUUUUUUUUGUUUUUAUUGUUUAUAUUUAUUUCAAAGUCCUAUUUGUACUUAUUUAAAGGUUUUCAAGAUUUAACAAAAAUAACCACUCUAAAUUGAAUGGAUAAUGAUAUUUAGACAACAUUUUUUUGACAACAUUUGAACAUUGAUUACGUGUCAAUCUGUGAUUGGUUAAAAAUCAUUCCACAAUAAUGUUUAUGAUUAUUAUUAUUGAUUGUGGAGUGAUUUUUGACCAAUCAUAGAUUGACACGUAAUCAAUGUUCAAAUAUUGUCAAAAAAAUGUUGUCUAAAUAUCAUUAUCCAAAUUGAAUAGUCCAAUUAUUUGUGUAUGUUUUUUUUUUUAACAAGAUAGGUGUUCUAGAAUAAACAUACAAUUUAAUAGUGGGAAUGAUAGUCAUUAAGAAUGAAAAGAAUGUAAUGAUAUUGACACAUAAAAAUUUCUGUUUUGGAUUUUGACAGCUCAAGCUGGAGAAAAAACUUAAUAUCUCUAAGAUUUUUUAACAUAAAAGAUAGAUACAGCAAAGCUUUAAUAGAGUAGGUAAUACUUUUACUAAGACUAGCAAUUACAAUAUCAUCAACGCAAAUAAAAAUAACAUAUCGUGAAUGCCUUUGAUAAAAAGAAAAAAAAAAUUAUAUCUUAAUAAAACCUUGAGAAUGAUACUAGAAGAAAAGGUAUUAAACCAACUUAUGUUUAUUAUGUGAUAAAUGAAAUUUAUGUUAUGUUGAAUAUUUAUUAUAUAAUAAAUGAAGUUUCACAAUAGAUUAUAAUAAAACAUGUACGUGUGUUAGGAGGAUGCUUAUAUUACUUUUAUAAAGUGUAUGAACCAAAUAGGAAUGAACUUAAGUGAGGAAAAGAAAUAUAAUUUUAUAAAAUAAUUUGAAGAUAAAAAUAUAUAUAACUCAUUUUAUUAUUAAGUCAUCUCAUCGUUGUUGUUAGUAUUAUUACUAUUAUAUAUAUAAAUCUAAUUUGUUUUGCAGGAGAGUACAUCUUAUUUGAGUGAGAGAGAUAUAAAAGGGUUAUGUUUUGGGUCUCAGGUCAUCCCAAACUCCAACUUCUGUCUCUUAGAAUCUCUGAAGGUUGAUGGUUGUCAGUUUUUAUCAGAUAUACUUCUACCAUUCAAUUUACUUCCUUCCUUAGCUAAUUUGGAAAUAUUGGAAGUUCAGAACUGUAUGUUUAUCAAAACCAUAUUUGAUGUCAAAUGUACAACGGAAAGUAAAGAUGUGACAUCUACAGGACCAACUCUUUUUUCUUUGAAGAAUGUGACUUUAUCCAAUCUGCCAAAUUUGAAGAAUGUUUGGAAUGAAGAUCCUGAUGGAAUUCUAAGGAUGCACCAUCUAGAAGAAGUAUACGUUGAGAACUGUAAAUGUCUUAGAAGCGUGUUUCCUGAAUCAAUAGCCAAAGAUGUUGUGGAGCUUAAAAAUCUAGAAGUGGAAGACUGUGAGGGAUUGACGACUAUUGUUGCAGAGAAUAAUAACGCAGAUCCAAGAGGAACUAAUCAAGAUCUCCCCUGUCCAUUGGUAAGAUCACUGAAACUAAAGAGUCUGCCCAUGUUCAAGUAUUUUUACCACUGUUCACUGCAGUGCGACAAUUUUGCAAAUCUAGAAUCACAUAGCGAGAAUCAAGUAGGUACUGAAAAGGUACGUAGUACUGUUUUAUUACUUCCUCACUCACUUAGCUGUUGUUUAAAUUUAAUGUAGAAUCAUCAGUCUCGUUAGUUGUUUGUCAUUGUUCCAUAUGGAGUACGAAAUACUGUGAAAGUUAAAAUCUGAAAAUUUACUUACAAAUCUUCUAUCUUCUUUUUCUAUUAAUCUCUUUUUUUUUUUUUUUUUUGCUUUAUAUCAUUGUUGUCAGAACAUGUAGGAUGGGUAGUGUGUUAAAAGAGUAACCAUUGUCGCAGAGUCUAUAUAUGGAUUAAAUACAAGAAACUCAAGAAAUAGAGGGUACAAACACAAGAAACUCACAACACUGUAAAACCCACAAUACACAUACUUAGUGGUAAACUUAGUCCCUCAGCCUUUAAUUUUGCAUUUCUAAAGCUAAGGCUGCUCACAAACAAUCUUGUACCAUCACGUAGUUAAUUUGUCACCGAUUAUUACUUAUCAGGAAUAUUCGAGCAUUCAAGGUUAUUUACAUGUCUUUUAUAUAAAAGAGAUGGAUUACUAAUAGUCAUAACCUGCUUUUGCUUUUGCUUGUUUUCAGUUAAAGUGGUUGUCACUGGGGAAUAAUGGAGUAGAGAUGAUUUUGCAUGGAGAAUUUCAGAGAAACUUCUUAGAAAACUUAAAAGUUCAUACUCUCUGCUUGUUUUCGGAUGCAUUUGGGUGUGAAAUUCUUGAAGAGGUUCCCAAUAUAGAGAAGCUAGUGGUACGUGGUGGUUCCUUGAAGGAGAUGUUCUGCUGUCAAAGUCCUAACAAUGAAGAUUAUAGUGGACUUCUGUUACAAUUGAAAGAAUUACGCUUAGAGUCCCUUCAAGAGUUGGUUUCCAUUGGGUUAGAGAACUCUUGGACUGAGCCCUUUGUCAGAAAUCUUGAAACCUUUGAAGUCAUUAGCUGUUCCAGUUUAAAAAACUUGGUAACAUGCAGAGAGUCUUUCUCGAAUCUGAUAUGUUUAAAAUUUGAAAACUGCGAUAGCUUGUCAUAUUUGUUCACAUCUUCAACCGCCAAAAGUUUGGCUAAACUCCAAAGAAUGAAGAUAAAAAAGUGUAAAUCAAUUGAAGAAAUAGUAUCUAAAGAAGAGGAGGAAUCAGAUAAAGAUGAAAUAAUAUUUCCGAAGCUCAAUUGUUUGAAACUUAAAUAUCUGAAAAAUCUCCGAAGGUUUUACAAAGGGAGUUUAAGUUUUCCACUGUUGGAGGAAUUGUCAAUAAGAGAUUGCGACGAUAUGGUAAGUUUAUGUCAAGGUACUCUGGAGGCAAGUAAGUUGUCUCAAGUUAUACCAUUGGAAAUUGAUCUUAGCUCUGCUAUAUGGAAGGAAUUUAUGAGCAAGGUACGUGUUUAUUUAUUCAACAUUCUGGUAGCAAACAAGAGACAUUUUCUAUCAUUACAAACAAAAAAUAUAUAUAGAAAAUCAUACAUAAAAUUUAUAAUAAACGUUUAAUCAAAUGUAUCUACAUUUCCUUUAGACCUUUUAUUUGAGAAAAAAAAAAAUGAGUCUUGCAAAAUAUUCAACUUACAGAUCAAAUAACUAAAAAAGAGAAAUAAAUAUAUAUAUAUAUAUAUAUAUAUAUAUAUAUAAAGAUUUUAUUGGUUGACAUGUGCUGAUUUCGCCAGAUUGGAAGGAGAUCGAGUGUUGAGUUCAAAGAUAGGGCAGACCUAAACGAGAUAUGGCGUCUCUCACUGCAAUUCCAGGACUUCUGUUUCAGUAACUUGGAAACCUUGGUUGUGGAUGGGUGCCAACUUUUAUCAUAUGUAAUUCCCUUCCAUGUGCUUCCUUUGUUACCUGAAUUGCAAACAUUGGAAGUUCGAAACUGUGAUUCUGUUAAAACCAUAUUUGAUGUCAAAUCUUCACAACACACAUUCACUUUUCCUCUAAAGAAAUUAGUUUUACUGAAGCUGCCAAAUCUUGAAACUAUUUGGAAUGAAGAUCCUGCUGAAAUUGUUACAGAGCCUAAUCCAACUCAUCCAGAACAAACAAAUCCUAAGGUAACAUUCCCCUGUGAUUUGCCCAAGUUCAAGCAUAGUUGUAUACAUUGCAUUCAUGAUCCAACAGCAUAAUAGUACAUGCAUUUGAGGAUUUUUUUUUCCAAGACAAUUACAUAUAUUCUUCUACUUCCAUUGAAAUUAUCAUGCAUCAAAUAUUGCUUAAAUCUUUAUAAACAAUCAUAGAAAGUUUGUUUCAUUAUUUUCUUCAAGGAGGAACCACCUCUCAUAUCAUUUCAUCUAAAAUUUUAAACUCGAAAUUGUUGUUAAGUGCAUACGGUCUGGCUUGUUCAUCUUUUUUACAUUUUUUUAAAUAAACGUUUUUUCUUUCAAAUCGACUUAUUCACACCUAUUUUUAUUUUAUAUUGAUUUGUUUAGUUUUUUACUAAUUAUCAGACUUAUAUUAGCAUGAAAGUUCACGGUUUCAAUUUUAUAUAGAGAGAAGAAUAUAUAUGACUGUGCUAACUGCUUUCACUUCGUUAUUGGUUUCUCUUUGUAGCUAAUUACACCGAACUUAGAACACCUGACAGUGGGUGAAAAUGAAUUAAAGAUAAUUGUCGAUGGGAAAUUUCAGAGAAACCUUUUACACAAGUUAAAAGUUCUCGGUCUGUGCUUUGAUAUGGAGUGUGAUGAAUUUCUGGAGUAUGGAUUUCUACAACAGUUGCCAAAUGUAAUGAAGCUUAUGGUGUGUGACAGUUCCUUCAAAGUGAUUUUCUGCUACCACAUACCUAAUAAUAGUGAAAUUCUUAUACAAUUGAAAGAAUUACGCUUGGAAUCCCUUCAAGAGUUAGUUUCCAUUGGCUUAGAAAACUCAUGGACUGAACCCUUUGUCAGAAAUCUUGAAACCUUUGAAGUCAUUAGCUGUUCCAUUUUAAAAAACUUGGUAACAUGCAGAGUGUCUUUCUCGAAUCUGAUAUGUUUAAAAGUUGAAAACUGCGAUAGCUUGACAUAUUUGUUCACAUCUUUAACAGCCAAAAGUUUGGCUAAACUCCAAAGAAUGGAUAUAAAAAAGUGUGAAUCAAUCGAAGAAAUAGUGUCUAAAGAAGGAGAGGAAGCAGAUGAGGGUAAAAUAAUAUUUCCGAAGCUCAAUUGUUUGAAACUUAAAUAUCUGAAAAAUCUCCAAAGGUUUUACAAAGGGAGUUUAAGUUUUCCAUUGUUGGAGGCAUUGUCAAUAAGAGAUUGCGACGAUAUGGUAAGAUUAUGCGGAGGUACUCUGGAGGCAAGUAAGUUGUCUGAAGUUAAACUUGAAGAAUCAAACACUAAAUUGAAAACUGUUCUCAACUCUACUAUGAGGAAGGAAUUUCUGAAAAAGGUACGUCGUUAAUAUUUUUUUUUAAUUGAACAUUGUUACGAUUCUUGUCUAUAGCUCAUGUUUAAAUUUGCAAGAUAAACUGUUCACAAUAGCCUACUGCUAUUCUAGGCGACAGAAAAUAUAUAUAACUGUGACCUUAUGUACGACUUGAUUAACAAUUCUCCAAAACAAUAUUUCAUAAUAGGAUUAUACUCUUCAUAUUUUUUUAACUACUAGGAGUUGCCUACUGCAAGACUAAGUAUAAAAAAAAAAAAAAGAUAUAGAUGGAUGUAAUUUUGAUUAUUACAAUUUUUUCUAUAACUUCUAAUUCACAUUGUGUCUAUAAUUUAAACUCAAAAUUAUAAUAUUUAUUUACAAAUUUAAUUAAUAACUAUAACGAAAUUUAUGGAAAAAAUUUAAAAGUACUAUAAUAUUUCAAAAUAAACAAAAUAUAAAUAAUGGGGUUUGUUAACCCGUAUACUAAUUUCAAAAUAAAAAUAGUGCGUAUUUCAUAUUUGUAGAGUACUAAUUUAAAACAUAUUUAGUUUCAUAUUUUUUUUAUUUAUUGUUUUGCACAUGCAGAUUUCAGAGCUUGACAAACUUGAUCUAAAAAGUAGGCCACUCCAAAAGAUAUGGAAUGGCUUACUGGAUAUCUCCGACCUCUGUUUCAGUGGGUUAGCUAUAUUGACUGUGAAUGACUGUCCAUUUUUAUCAGAUGCAGUGUUACCUUUCCAUUUACUUCCUUUAUUACCUAGAUUGAAAACAUUGGAAGUUGGAAACUGUGAUUAUGUCAAAACCAUAUUUGAUGUCAAAUGUACAACAAAAGACACAUCAUUUACUUUUCCUCUGAAGAAAUUGGUUUUAUCCAAGUUGCCAAAUCUGGAGAAUGUUUGGAAUGAAGAUCCUCAUAAAAUUUUAUGCAUGCAACAUCUAGAAGAAAUACAUGUCAAGGAAUGUAAGGACCUUAAAACUGUGUUUCCCCCAUCAGCAGCCAAAAGUCUUGUGGAACUUGAAGAUCUAGUAGUGGAAGACUGUGAGGGAUUGAUGGCAAUUGUUGCCGAUGAAUCUAAGGAGGGGAAUGAAUUAGAUAAGAAUGGGAUAAUAUUUCCUCGGCUCAGUUAUUUGAAGGUAGAAAGUUGCAAUACUCUGCCAUAUUUGUUCACAUCUUCGACAGCAAAAGGUUUGGCUGAACUCAAAACUAUGAAGAUAAAACAAUGUAAAUCAAUUGAAGAGGUAGUGUCGAAGGAGGGGGAAGUAUCUGAUGAGGACGAAGAAAUAAUAUUUAAGCAGCUCGAGGAUUUGUAUCUUGAAAAGUUAGAUGAGCUAGGGUGCUUUUAUUCUGGCAAUUUAACUUUAAGUUUUCCCUCCUUGGAGGAAGUCCACGUCAUCAAGUGCAGCUCUAUGAAAACUUUCAGUGCAGUAAACAAAAUAAAUCAUCCCACAAAAUGGUAUUGUUCAGAAUAUGAGAGACCCCAGAAAGAAACUGAUCUCAAUUCUGCUGUGCUCAAAACUUCUGCAAAGGAGGUACCUACACUUUUACGUCUUAAUGUUUCUUCAUAGAGAAUGAUAGAUGAUAUUGUCCAGAAAUUCUAGAUUCCUGUAUAACAAUAUUUUCAGACAUUAUUUUUAGUGUAAUGUGUUUUUUAGUUGCAUCGUGCAUAAAAUUAACUUGUACGUAUUCUUUUGUUUUAAAUAGGCUCCAGAUGCUUCUGGUGCCAUCAUUUCAGUUCUCCAAUAGCACAGAUAGUGAAUAUGGUACAUCAAAUAUUAUCUAAUGCUACUAAAUUGUUACUUUUUUUAUGGUGAGUUAUGAGUUAUACUAUCAUUUUCUCUAUGCAUAUGCAGGUGGUGAUCAAUAAGAAGCAGUUUUUCACAGCAUUACAUGAUGAUUAUGACUGAGUAUGUAAGCAAUUUUUUUUAGUUUAAUUUAAUAUUAUAUUGAUUUCUAUUUAAAUGGAUGUUUUAGUUGAGACUUAUGAUAGAAUGAUAUUCUCUAUAUAUAAUGCUACUUUUACUUCCUUUGUAAUUAAAUUCAUAUUCUUUUCUUAAUAACUUUUAUGAAAGUAUAGUAAUUGUUCUUGUACAUUGUAUAGGUUGAAUCUGAGUUGCCGACUACAAUAUUGCAGUAACUAAGAGGAGAUGGAAGGCAUAAUUAAAGAGUGCAUGAAGAUGAAUCUAUCUCUAUUUUACUAUUUUUGUGUGAUUUUUUUUCAAAAUAAAAAAAAAAAUGUGUUUGUUCUAGCUCGUUGAAGAUGAAAUACAUUAUAUUAUUUAUAUUAUGUAAUGUGGGAUUAAGAAUGAUGAACAGUCAUGAACUGUCACUAAAUAUUGACUGUAAGUGCUUAUGCCGAAAAAAAAAAAGUGUGCUUGUUUUCAUAUGUUGUUAAUUUUAUUUAUAUCUCAGGUUUGAUCAUAAUACUUUAUUGGAGCUGAGCAACACUUAGCCUGCUUUUACUUCGUCAUUGCUUUCUAUCUGUAGCUAAGAACUUAGAAAAUGAAAUGAAGAUAUUACUCUGUGCUUUCAUAUUGAGUUGUAUUUCUGGAAUUUAUGGAACACCUCUUGUGGUGAAAUGUGGAGAACCUUGUGGUGUGUUAUGGUUUCUUGAAGGGACACCUCUUACAGCUGAAAGAAUUACACUUGAAGUCCUUUCGGAAAGGGGUUUUCAUUGGGUGAGAGAACUCUUGAACUGAGUCCUUUGUUAGAAAUCUAGAAAUCUAGAAAUCUUUGAAAUCAAAUCAAAGCAAUGGAAAUAAAAAGGUGAAAAUCAAUUAAGAGAUAGUCUCAAAGGAGGGGGAGGAAGUGAGCAUGAAAAGUUAAUAUUCCAGCAGCUGUAGGUUUUGUAUCAUAGGCUAAGCUGUUUUUAUUGUAGCAAUUUUACUUUAUGUUUUCCUUCGAGGAAGUGUUCGGAAGAUAAUAAAAAUAAUAUUCGAAAGUUAAAUUUACAUGAUUUCUUUACAUAAAAAAUAUGCAAAGUAAUGAAAUGUACCGAAUAAAAGAAACAAAUUAACACAAACUAAACUUUUUUUAACGUUCUAGAUACUAUUAAAGUUCAAAUGCAAUUAGAUAUGAAAAUUUUGCUCGCAAGUCUUUUUCCUAAUUAAAUGAAAUCAAAACUAAGAAUACCUCUUGUACAAUUGAAGCAGAUGGCUUGUCAUUGCAUGUUUAACUUCAGCAUUGCUAAAUUUUGUGAUGCACAUGAGCUAGGUAUAUAGCCUUUCUAAACCUAUUGUUAACUUGAAAAUUAAGUUCAUUCAUGUAGUGUGGGGGCAGGAUAACUUGUUGUCAUCGUCAAUAAAUUUUUUUUUUUUGUUUUGUAGUGUUAUUAAAAAAGAGAGAAACAAAAAGUAAAUUAAGUAAAACAAGACAAUAUUGAUUUAUAUAUUAACUAAUUGGGGAUGUAAAUUUCUAUAUUUUAUAUUUUUUAAUUUGUACUUUAUUGCUUUAAAUUAUGUAGAAAUAUAUUUAUUUUUAUUUGUUCGUUUGUGAGAAUUUUUAAAAGAAAAGUUUGUUUAAAUAUCUUAUCUUAUAUUAGAAAGAAAAGUUUGCAGUGUACGAUGGUUCCUUGAAGGAGAUCCUCUGCUGUCAAAGUUCUGAUAAUGUUGAUUACAGUGGCCCACUGUUGGAAAAAUUGGAUUCUAUGACGGGAUAUUAUGAUAGAUGAAAUCCACCUUUCAUAAUACAUUGAUCGGUAAUAAUUUUGUAAUAAAAUUAAAAUAUAUUAUAACAUUUUAUAAAACUUCGUAAUAAGUAUACCGGCGAUAUUUUCGUAAUAAAAAUUAAAUAUAUUAUAACAGAUUAAAGAUCACCUAUCGUAAUAAGCUAGACGUGGUGGGAAGUUCGUUGUAGAAACCAUAUUAUGACAGAUAUUUAAAAACAUAUCAUAAUACCCCUUCAGAAAUCUCGACCUUCUCGAGUAGACCAUUUCAUUUCUUCCAAUUCGUCCCGCGCACAGCUUUUCUUUCUCCUUUACCAUUUCACUGCACAACUUUUCUUUCUCUUCACCGUUUCUUCCAAUUUUUUUCUCUCAUCCCAGAGCACUGUCUCCAAGCCCUAAGCAUCUCCAAGCCCUAAGCGUCUCCAUGCCUUAAACGUCUCCAAGCCUAGUCUGCGCACACUAGUCGUAGCAUCCACGCCGUCUCCUGGUGGUCGCUGAGGAUUGUGAGAUUUCGGUCUUCGAUCUCAGCCGAGGACAGUGGCGAGACUGUGAGGGAAGAGUGCAAGUCGCACAUUGCUAGGGUUUCACAGGAAUGGGGUUUCUUUCAGGUCGACGAGGAUGCCGAAUUGAACAGUUUGAAAAAGGUAGGACUUAAGUAAACUUUUGAAAAAAGGAGGGACCACUUUGAACAGUUUUUGCAAAAGGUAGGACUUAAGUGAACUUUUGAAAAAAGGAGGGACCACUUUGAACAAACCCUCCCAAGGAGGGACCAAAAUAGGUAUUAAACCUUUUGUAAAUAGUUGUUGCUUGAUUGAAUAUAUGUAAAUGUAUUUGUGAUUUUUAUUAAUAAAUACCUUUUACUUUUCUUUAUUACUCAUUGUACAUAUCUAAAAUUAAAUCACAAUUUAUCAUCAGAAUUAAAAAAAAAUCAACAAUUUAAUUUUAUUAAGGAUUGAUUUACUUUUCUUUAUUAGUAGACUGAUUUAUUUUCACUAUAUUUUGUUGACAAAGAGAUGUAGUCGAGGAGAUACAGGAAAAAGAAGUUCGAAGUAUGGAUAUUGUGUUGAAGAUAUUUGAUCCAGUAAUUGAUUUUGUGUGGGAUCAUGGUAUUAAGCAGGUGACCUACAUUUUUUGUUACACGAAAAAUUUUAAGGAACUAAAUAAGAAAGUUAAGCGUCUUGGAGAAGUAAAAGAGAGUUUAGAUCGUCAACGUGAUGAAGCUAGAAGAAAGGGUGACAUAGUUGAAGCUAGGGUUGAAGAAUGGUUUGGGGAAGUGGGUGAAUUUGAGAGUAGUGUUGAGAACUAGAGGAAAAAUGCAGGUCACAAGAGGACAAGUGGUCUUUAUUAUUUGCUUCCUUACUAUAGGCACAAACUGGGCAGACAAGCAAAGAAGAUGGAAAUGGAGGCUUUGAGACUAAGAGAUGAGUCCCCUAAGGUUGAUGAAGUUUCCCAUGCAGAGAAAGUAACAUCUUUUGACCUCACUUCGUCUAAUCUUGGCUACAUUGAAUUUGAUAUUAGAAAAUCCAUUGUGAAAGACAUAAUGACAAAACUUAAAGAUCCCAAUGUGAAAAUUAUUGGACUCUAUGGAUCACAAGGGAUGGGCAAGAGCACUUUAACAAAGCAAAAAUUUCAACUCUUCCUUCAGCCAAAGCAAAAAUUUCAAUUAAAAUAAAAAAAACCCUAAUGCUAAGAAGACGAAAACGAACACAUCAAACUAAUAGCUUAAUCAAUAGGUUUAUGGUUAUAAGACGUGAAAAUUUGACGAAUUUAAUCGUGGGUAUUCUUAUUAGCCAACUGAUCAUCUUAGGAUCACACCUCUGCCACACGCAUUUCUCACCAUACUUCUGCAACUGCAAAUUUUUAAUAUUAUGUUUAAGUUUUAAAAAUUAGCUUUAAAUCUCUUUUUGGUUUCUAAGUUAUAAGCGAAUGUUAAAAGUACAGAGAGCAAUAUAAAGUGCUCUUAUUAUUAAGAAACAAAUCAGAAAGAAACAACCAAAAACAGUAUUUCAAGUCAAAAAAAUUUGAUACAUUUUGUAUAACUUAAGAACCAAAGGUUUACAUUUUUAAAAACGGGAACUAAACUGAAUAUCCGUUCAUAACUUAGGAACCAAAGAAGUUUAAACCUAAAAAUUAACUUUCAAGUAAUAAAGAAUACUUAAACACUUAACAUGUUAGUACAAAAGUUUUAGAGAAACAAAAGAUGUGGCGGUUAAAAUAAAUUAACAAAAAUUAGUAUAUUUAUAGUCAUUUCCUUAACAGCUAAAAAGAAAGCACUAAUUAAAAAUACAUUUUUUUAAUUGUCCCACUUUAAUAAAUAAUAAAUAUAAGGAUACAAUUCUUUGUGAGAUUUAAAUUUUUAUAUUAAUUAUUUAAUUUGUAUUUUUUAUUAUAUUUUUAUCUAUAAAUAAAAUUUUUCUAUUAAUAAUAAGAUACAGAAAACUAAUCUAUGUUCUUUCUUAUGCUCUAACGUUACUUUAUCAUACUUUUUAUUAUCAGAGUUAUUUUAUACCACAUUAUCAACUUCUUGUUUUAACCAGUUGAGCUAAUGGAAGUAUUUUUUUUUUUCUUUAAGGAUAGUGUUUUGUGUAUCUUAACCUAAGCUUUUUCUAAUUUUUUUCUCAUUUAUAAUUUUAUUUUAUAUUUUUUUUGUGUGAUAAAAAUUGUUUGAUUUUAUUAAUUAUUAUCUAUCUUAUUAUUAUUAUUUUUACUAUAACUAUUUUUAUGAGGAUGAUUAUUAUAAUUAUUAUUCUCCUAACAUUUAAUGUUGUUUUAUUAAUUUUAGUUUCAUGAAAAUUAUUACUGUAAAUAUUUUAUGCAUUAGUUCUAAAUAUGUCAAACUUUGUAAAAUUUGAAAUUGUAACCUUGAUAUAAUGAGAAACAAUUACUUAUUUUAGAUACUAGAUGAUGACAUAUAUUUAGAUGCAACGGUUAUUGGUCAUACCAUUAAAUAAAGAAAUAAAGAAUCUUAUGGACUAAUUUGUUUCAACAACAAUAUCGUGAAAAACGAUUUCACAAAUAUUUUGAAUUAAUUUUAUGUCUUUUUGUGACUGAAUAAAAAAAAAUAAGUUUUUUUAUGAAAAAUCAUGAGACUCGUCCAAUUAAUUUUGUUCCAUUUCUAGAAGUGAGUGCAACAAUAUCCGAUUCAUAUUUUCAUGGUCAUAGUUGUGGUCUUGGUCGUGAUCAUGAUUUUGUCAGUGAUCAUGGUAGUAGACUUGAUCAAAAAGGAAAUUUCAAAAAAAACAUUUUAUCAUCAUAUCUAAAAUAAUAAUGUGAGAAAGGAAAAGCAAAAGGUUAAAAUAAUGACAAAUAAGAUGAAAAUAUAUAUUAUCGUUGUAAUGAUAAAGGUCAUUGGAGUCAUAUUUGUCAUACAUUUUUUAAUAAAGUGACAAAAGAAGUCUUUAUGUAAUGAAGUUUUUAAUUUAUUUUUAUUAUAAUAAAUUUAAGCCUAAUUUUCUAUCGUAUUUUCACUAUAUAUAUUGAUUUGAAAUAUGCCUAGUAUUAUACAUAGGUAUAAGAAUCAAUUUUUCUUUAUAGAAUGUAUAUGUGCAAUGAGUGUAUGACGAGCAUUUAUUAUUAUAUAGAUUUUAUAUAGUAAUUGUUAUAGAACUGUGAAUGGAAAUAUUCAAAUAUCAAUAUUAUACAUAUUAUAUAUAUAUAUAUAUAUAUAUAUAUAUAUAUAUAUAUAUAUAUAUAUAUUAUAAGAAAAUAAAAACAUAAAUCUAUAUCAAAAUUCCUAUUUCACAUUCUUACACAUAAUAUGUAUAUUUUAAUAUAUCAUUAACUUAAAAUAUAUUCAUUUGUAAUAUAUAUAUAUAUAUAUAUAUAUAUAUAUAUAUAUAAAGAUUUUUGGAGAUUAUGUUUUAUAUUUUUUAUGAUAAUAUAUGACUUGCAGAGUUGAUUAAUUUUGGGAUGCACCAAGAACGAGUUAAGAUUAUUAAAUCUAUUAAAAUUUAAUUAAAUACAAUCAUUUGGUAUACAAUAGUGUUGUAUAGACUAAUAUGUUGGGUACAAACAAAGUCCCACAUCAGAAAAAAUAAGAGAUGGACAUGGGUUUAUAUACACAUAAGAUACCUCUAUUGAUAAGAGGCAUUUUGGAUGGUACCAAAAACAAAUCCGUGAGGGCUUGGCCGAAAGCGGACAAUAUCUUAUCAGUGUGGAGACUUAUGUGCAAGAAGUCAAUAUUAGCAUUGUUUUUAGUACUAUAAAUAUAACUAAAGGCUAGAGCUAUUAUACUUCUGCCAUGAAGUCUAAUAGAAACUUAUUAAGCUCCAAAGAUAUUUGUCUAAAUAAAUAUCAUAUUAAGAUGAACAAUGAAGGAGAUCUGAAAUAUUUUUAUAUCAUUGGACUUGGGUUGAAUAAAAAAUGUUGUAUUGGAAAAAUUACAAAUCUUCUCUUAUGGUUUGUACUACACGUAUAUUAAUACAAUUAAAAUGGAUGUCAUUGUAAACUAAAAGUUUACAAAUGAUGCAAUAAAUAGUUGAAAACUCAUGUGGACACCCACUUAACAUAUUUGUUUAUUAUCAACUCACAAUCAGAUAUUUGCAAGGUCAUUAGCACAAUUAAUCAAGUUAAAAGCUCAUCUCCCAUAUUAUCCGAUUAAGAAAAUUUGUCAUAAUAAUCCUGAUGAAUUUUCAUUUCAUGCUUUCAUGAGCGUUGAAUGUCAAUUGGAAUUGAAAUAGAGCAUCCAAUAGCACAUGUUCAUACUCAAAAUGGACUUUCAUAAUCAUUAAUAAAACGUCUAAAACUAAUUACAAGAACAUUAGUUAUGAAAGCCAAUCUUUUAAUGGCUAUUUGGGGAUACACAAUUUUGCAUGUUGUAGUAUUGAUUCGCAUCAAGCCAACAAGUUAUCACAAAUACUCUUGCAAUUAGUUUUUGGUAAGUAACCUAAUAUUUCUCAUUUAAGAAUUUUUCAGUGUAUUGCAUGUGUUCCCUUUUCCCACCAAAAAGGACUAUGCCUUUUUCAUUUGGCAACAACAAAAACAGAAGUAUAGUAGUAUGUAUAAGAAGAAAAUCUUAAAGAAAAGGCAGAUUAAUAAUCACCUGCAAUAGACGUUUAGUAAAUGUCGCUACAUGCUUUAAAUCCUAAAAAGAUCCUUAUUCUGAUUUGGAAAAAAAAAAAAACUAAAAAAGGAUUUGGGCUUGGCCUAAUUUUGCUGUAGAUUAAAUAGAAAAAUUAAAAAUUAAAAAAAAAAUAAAAAAUAAAAUUCUAAUUUCAUUUUUUUAAAACGGAUACAGUGAUAUCUAAACCCGAUCCGAGCGAGAAUUAAAAUACCUAUUACCCGCAGAUACCUCUUACCCGCGGAUGCUAAAUACCCAUAGCGGAUUUUAUCCGCGGAUACGUGCGGGUAUGAGGUUUUUUGUCCUCCCUACCUAUGUUGUGUCUUCAAGUUGGAGAUUUUCAAGAGCCAUAAUCUUUUGAUUGGGUUGAUGAGGCUCGUUAAAGACAGGAGACAUUCAAAUGGAAUUUGUCCAAGUUCUAGAGAACAGUUUGCCACGUCAAUUUGAUCAGUUGUCUCAUAACUGGAUAGGUCAUUUAUUAUUAGUUACGGUGGACAUUAUAUCGUUAAUUUUUAACACGGUAAGCAAAAAGGACCAACUUAAAUACGAAAUAUGGAAAAAGUAGGACAACUUCAUCGCCCCAAGGGACCAAAUUAUGUAUUAAGAAAAAAAAUAUAUGUAUUAAUUUAAUUGAAUAUGACAUUUACAUUUUUUUUUUAAAUUUAGCAUCAUUCAAAAGUCCAACUAUAUCGUAGCAUGAAAGUUAAAUGACUGACCUGGUUCUCGAAUUAUUUUAAGUUUUCCAAACAAAGUUUAUAAAUUAUGAUUUAUGUAUUCAAUUCUUAAAUUAAAAUAAUCUUAACCAGGUUUGAUUUGAGGGACUCAAAAUUUAUAGGAAAUAAUAAUUUAUGAUGGUUUUAAAAAGUUUAGAAUCAAAUAAAAAAAUCCCAUAAUAAAAUAUUUAUUCACAAAAAUAUUUAGCGACCUUUUUAUAAUUAUCUGCUAUAAUUAAAUUUCAAAAGAAAAAUAUUUUUUCUUAAUGAAAACUAACAGUCGAAACCAUUUUCAGUGUUACGAAAAUUAAAUAAAAUUCUAAUCUAACUCAAAUUUAACCUUGUUAGCAUUCUCUCGAAAUUAAAUCGUGUACUAAAAAUAGUCUGUAAAGAGAAGUUAUUAACACGGUCAACCAAAUAUUAUAUACUUGUAAAAUUAUUAAACAUCAUUCUAAAAUAAAACAAGAAAAAAUAAAUGUUAAAUGAUAUCAAAUCCACUUAAACACAACUAUUUCAAAUUCCAAAAUAUAAUGCAGGCUUGUUCUACGCCACCUUUAUCAAUUUAGGUUUUGAUUUCUUCGUUUGUCUUCUGCACUGAAUUAUUGUUAAUCUCCUCCUUCUUCCUUUUAGUUUCUGCUGCACUUUUAGUUUCUUCCUUCUUCCUUUUUUCUUGUUUCUCUUUCUCUUUCUUGUCAUUUAACUCGAUAUCUUUCUCACUUUUUCGUCUUUUUCUUUUUUCUCGUUUUUUGUUUCUCUUGUUUCUCCACCAACCCCAUAAUGGAAUGAGUCUUUGAAGUCUCCACUUCAACAAUAAGCAGGAUAGGCUCCGAGUAAAAGCACCUUCGUCGGAGGUCAAAGAAGCCCUCAACAGGUUUAUCGCCUGACCAAAAUCGACACAUAUAUAUAUAUAUAUAUAUAUAUAAUUAGACAAAUAUUAAAUAAAACAAUUGGUAUCAAUCAGAUUUUCUUAAACCAAUAUCGAAAGAACAAGUCGUCAAGAGUGGAUUGUGAAGGUUACCUUUGACUUUGUGAUUUUCAGCAGAUGUUCCUCCAAAUCAGGAGACGGCAGAUUAUCCGAACCAGUAGACGGCAGAUUAUCCGAAACAGUAGACAGUAGAUUAUAAGAAUCAAGACUGGUAGUUGUCAACGGUGACAAUUUCAGAUUAUCCCACACAAGAAAUAGACAAGGCCUCUUCAUAAAUCCCACACCAUCUCUUUUUUUUCUAUCGGAAGAUCUUGGGUCCAACAUUUUGAUAUCUUUGGGCUGUUGUAGCAUAUCAUGUUUCUUUGAAAUCAUUCUCUUUUCACAGAUGACACGACCGUUUUCAUUUUUCAUUUCUCCAAGGCCAUACCAAUAUUUGGCAGUGUCAUCUUGCUUUGGUUUUAAUAGCGGAUUUCUCUCACAACCAAAAUAAGGAGCCACCUUGGGAUUCAGCAAGGAUUUGUUCGAUGACUCUAUGAACCACGAUGGAUCCAGAUUCUUCACACUUUUAUACAAGUUACGAAUGCUUCCUAAGGACAAUCUGCCAUUCCUAAACUUCAGAAUAGAUGCAAGAAGUGGUAUGGGGUAGCAGGACAGUUUCUUAUUCUUAAGGUUCAGAAUAAAUCCAAGAGGUGUUGUGAGGAAACUGGCCACAAAAUCGACAAAAUCCCCAUCUGCUUCAACGAAUUUAAUCUUGUUGUCUGAUUUACUCACCAUUACCUUGAUUUCUAAAUAACCUUUGUAAUCACUUGGACCAAAAACUCGUGAGAAAGAGACCGAUCGCUUGGAUGUGUUUUUCAAUAACACAUCACUAAGAGGGGUUUCGGAGAUUAAUGCUUGCUUCAGUAUGUGAAGUAUCUGAAAGAAGAUAAGUAAAAGAAUAUACCAAAUUCAUAACAGUUAACGCUAUAAACUCCUACUAUCCAAUAUUGGACUAUCAUUCUUGAAACAUAAAAAAAUUCGUGCAAUCGCUUCCUCAUAAAUAUUACCUUUUCCCUGUCAAGUAUUUCCUCACGCUUGGGGAGAUUUUUGUGUCGAGGUUUGAGGGGUGGUUUAAUGAAUUCACUGGGAGAGCUUCGACGCACUGUCAAGUUAUCAUAGAUUAAGAACUUGGCUUUUCCUUUAACAAAAACACCAUCGUCAGCAGCAGCCUCUUCCAGCAGUUCUAUUUCUUUCCUCAUCAAUGACCCGCAGUCGCAUUUUACAUCUUUAAAGGAACUCACCAACAAAUUACUUCCUUUCUUUGAACAGUUAUGACACAUGAAAUACUUUGUGGGUUCUGAAUCAUCCAGUUUCACUUUUAAUCUCUGGCAAGAGCUCUCUAAGGGGUUGCGAGGAGAAUGUAACAUUUUCUGGCAGAUCUUGUUCCUGAAAUCAUCAGGCUUCAAAGUAUUAACACUCUUGUACAGCUCGUUGAUGCAACCAAGCUUUACUUGUUGUUCAGAGGUGUUGCGAAGCCCAAACAUAUCCUUAAAACUCUGGCACAAUUUGUUGAUGCAACCAGUUCCUGCUUGUUGUUCAGAGUUGUUCGCAAGCCCUAGUUGUUGUCCAGAGCCGUUCUCGCGCCCUUCAUGUUGUUCAGAGAUGUUGUCUUGCCUUUGUUGUUGUUCAGAGCUGUUAUCACGUCCAUCAUGUUGUAAGGAGGUGUUCUCACGCCCUUCUUGUUGUUGAAGGGUGUUCAAAAGGCGGAUGAUAGUUCCCAGUGGAAGGGUAAGGAAACUGAAGAGAACAUCUACCAAGUCCCCAUCUGCUUCUGCUACAAUCACACGUUUCUUUUCUUUGUCCACCCAAUAUUUCAAACUCAAACCGUUUCCUACUUCUUUGUUUGAAGCCAUAACUGAAACAUAAAACUAAAUAAUAUUAACCAAUUCAAAAGAAAAACCAGUUUUAGUGAAGUUUCUGAUUCAAAUCAAUUAUUGCACUUAGGCGAUAUUUCUAGGAAUCACUUCUGCCAAAUGCAAUUGAAUUUUCUGAAACACCGCGUGCUUCUGACACCCAAAUAUCACAGAUUAGAUUCUUUUUCUUAUGCCACACUCUUCCUUAUACUUACAGAGAUAGUAUUAUUCUCUCUUCCAUUAUUUACUCUACACGCCCAAUCCAUCCAUUUUCUAAUAUUUACUUUCUUUUCAUAUAAAUAAUACCUCAAGUGUAUUUAUUUGAAUAUAAGCAACAUUGCAAUUAAAAUAAACGUAAGUUUAAAAUUUUUUAAAUAUAUGUUUAUUUAAAUCUAAUAUAUAUAACGAUUAAAAUAUGAAAAAAAUUCAUUAUUAUUUUAAAAACAACUGUUUUGAGAAAAAUAAUUUGUAUGCAUGUGAAGAAUUAAAAAAUUAAAUACUAAAAAUUAAAUAUUUAUAAUAAACAAAUCAAAAAUGAAAAUAAAAUUAUAAAAUUUUAUGAAAGAUAAAAUGAAAAAAAUUGUAAAAUUUGGUAUAUAGCUUUAAGUAACAAAAAUUUAGAAAGUGAAUUCAUACUUAAAAUUUUGUAAAUAAUAAAAACAUUAAUAAAAAUUGAAUACGUAUUUAAUAACAUUUUUUUAAUUUGGUAGCUUAAACAUAAAUAUAAGUCAUUCAAAAAUCACAAAUUAUAUAUAUAUAUAUAUAUAUAUAUAUAUAUAUAUAUAUGGGGUUUGCUAACUUGCGUACGCCUGUUUUUCAGUUGGUACAUUUUAGCAAUGUGUACCGGGUUUCAGUAGACAAAAAUACCCUUAUAUUAUGNNNNNNNNNNNNNNNNNNNNNNNNNNNNNNNNNNNNNNNNNNNNNNNNNNNNNNNNNNNNNNNNNNNNNNNNNNNNNNNNNNNNNNNNNNNNNNNNNNNNNNNNNNNNNNNNNNNNNNNNNNNNNNNNNNNNNNNNNNNNNNNNNNNNNNNNNNNNNNNNNNNNNNNNNNNNNNNNNNNNNNNNNNNNNNNNNNNNNNNNNNNNNNNNNNNNNNNNNNNNNNNNNNNNNNNNNNNNNNNNNNNNNNNNNNNNNNNNNNNNNNNNNNNNNNNNNNNNNNNNNNNNNNNNNNNNNNNNNNNNNNNNNNNNNNNNNNNNNNNNNNNNNNNNNNNNNNNNNNNNNNNNNNNNNNNNNNNNNNNNNNNNNNNNNNNNNNNNNNNNNNNNNNNNNNNNNNNNNNNNNNNNNNNNNNNNNNNNNNNNNNNNNNNNNNNNNNNNNNNNNNNNNNNNNNNNNNNNNNNNNNNNNNNNNNNNNNNNNNNNNNNNNNNNNNNNNNNNNNNNNNNNNNNNNNNNNNNNNNNNNNNNNNNNNNNNNNNNNNNNNNNNNNNNNNNNNNNNNNNNNNNNNNNNNNNNNNNNNNNNNNNNNNNNNNNNNNNNNNNNNNNNNNNNNNNNNNNNNNNNNNNNNNNNNNNNNNNNNNNNNNNNNNNNNNNNNNNNNNNNNNNNNNNNNNNNNNNNNNNNNNNNNNNNNNNNNNNNNNNNNNNNNNNNNNNNNNNNNNNNNNNNNNNNNNNNNNNNNNNNNNNNNNNNNNNNNNNNNNNNNNNNNNNNNNNNNNNNNNNNNNNNNNNNNNNNNNNNNNNNNNNNNNNNNNNNNNNNNNNNNNNNNNNNNNNNNNNNNNNNNNNNNNNNNNNNNNNNNNNNNNNNNNNNNNNNNNNNNNNNNNNNNNNNNNNNNNNNNNNNNNNNNNNNNNNNNNNNNNNNNNNNNNNNNNNNNNNNNNNNNNNNNNNNNNNNNNNNNNNNNNNNNNNNNNNNNNNNNNNNNNNNNNNNNNNNNNNNNNNNNNNNNNNNNNNNNNNNNNNNNNNNNNNNNNNNNNNNNNNNNNNNNNNNNNNNNNNNNNNNNNNNNNNNNNNNNNNNNNNNNNNNNNNNNNNNNNNNNNNNNNNNNNNNNNNNNNNNNNNNNNNNNNNNNNNNNNNNNNNNNNNNNNNNNNNNNNNNNNNNNNNNNNNNNNNNNNNNNNNNNNNNNNNNNNNNNNNNNNNNNNNNNNNNNNNNNNNNNNNNNNNNNNNNNNNNNNNNNNNNNNNNNNNNNNNNNNNNNNNNNNNNNNNNNNNNNNNNNNNNNNNNNAUAUAUAUAUAUAUAUAUAUAUAUAUAUAUAUAUAUAUAUAUAUAUAUAUAUAUAUAUAUAUAUAUAUAUAUAUAUAUAUAUAUAUUUAUAAUCUUUUCAUAUUUUUAUUUAAUAAUUAUUAUAACAUUCUAUUUCUAUUUAACAAUAUCAAAUAAACAAAAUAUUAAAUAUUUUGUUAAUACACAAUAACUUAUAGAAAAAUAUAUAGAACAUUAAUAUAUUUAUCCGAAAUAAUAAUUAUACUAAGAUAAUAUAUAAAUAUACAAGGUUUUACCAUGUAGAGUAAAUCUUUCAAAAGUGAGUCUAUACUAUAUUUCAUUUAAUAUUAAAUGAUUACUUUAUCUAUUAUUGAUAAUAACUGAUUUUAUGUAUUUUUGUGUAUAUAGUUAGGUGAAUAAAUCAAUUCCUUUAUAGUUUUUAUCUUAUUUUAUUCUUAAGUUUAGUGUGUUUUUUUGUAUUUUAGUUAGUAUAUAUUUGGUUUACUUCUAAUCUCUCUUGAGUGGGACAUAAGAAAAUAGGAAGCAUGAUUGAACAACAAAAUAUCUAUUUUAAGUAAAUAACUAGGUGCCACAAGAGUCAUAUUCAGUGCUACGAACAUAAUGAGCAAACAAAAUUAUCCACUUGGCAAUGUUCACCGACAUUGUUCGCGUGUUGACCGGAACUGUUCAUGGGUUGACCAACAUUUUUCACUUGUUAGGCGAGUUGACUUUUUCUUGGGCGAGUUGACCAGCUCGCGGAGCGAGAACUUAAGCUCGCUGAACGAAUUUGUCGAACUAGAAACACAUAAAAUGGGUAUUUAGUCAUGUUUUCGUGAAGGUCUUGAAAAUUCUUCUUCUCUUACAUUUCAUUAUUCACCUAGAGCGACAAGGAGAGGUCCAUGGAGUCUGCUUGGGGUGCUGGGAAGCUCUCCCUUCUCCUCUUUCAGCUUCAAGCUUCCUCAAUGGUGAUUUUUUCCCCUUGGGGUUGAGGAACAAGAUGGAUCACGAAUUGGAGAUGGAAAUGCGAAGAGGAAGUACAGUUGGAGCAUGGAGCAGCUGCCAAGAACCUUGGAAAAGGUCAUGUGUCUCUCUAUUGUUUCAAUUUCUUCCUUAUCUCUUCAACUUUGUACAACCCUAAGUUCUCCACCAUGUAGGCUUUUCCUAUUUGUUGAGAUUAGUUGUAAAACAUGAAAUUCUUUUGUAUUUUGUGAUGUUAAUGAUAUAUGUUUUUCCAAUUCAUGUUAGUAUUCAAUUUCUAUACUUAAUGUUUGUUUUGGUUUGACCACUCAUACAUGAUUUGUGGUUCUUGAUGUAUUGGGAAAUAAGAUUUGAACCUAGAAGUGAAAUUGAAAAACUAAUGGAUGACCAAAGUGAUAUUCCUGACUUGGGGUUUAGUUUAAAAAAAAUUCCAUUGUCAGAUUUGCAUACUAAUGCUCAAAUGGUCAAAUCUCAUUACUUGAAUUCAAUAUUGAUUCAAACAAUUAUAAUUCACAUGCAACCAAUUAAAUCAACACAAAUUUAACAGGUUUAACCACCAAUAUCAUAAUUUCAACCAAUCUCAGAUAAACUAAAUAUGCAAUUUAAAUUAUCAAAGCAUCAGAACUUAAAAGAAGAUAAUUAGCUUCCCUUACCUAACAGAUGACCAAAACGUUAUAGAAACCUUAAAACAAAUCUAAAAUACACAAGAAGUUUACCGACGGUCUUCAAGCCUUCAGUAAUGGAUGAUUACCGAAGGAUUUACCGACGGCCUACUUUACUGUCUUUAUAGACGGCAUUUGGCCUUCGGUAAUGUUCACGGUGCAUUAAGUUCAAAAUUGGGGUAUUCCUUCCCCAAAUUCCCCAAAAUCAAUUUCAGUACUCCUUCUCAUCCCUUCCCUGUUCUCUCGACGUAAACCUUGUAUGGGCGCGAGGUUGGUGUUCCCUAGCCGGUUCAAAAUUGGGGUAUUCCUUCCCUUACCUCUUCAAAGAUUUGUGCAUAUUUGUCUAUAUCUUAUCGAAGGCUUUACUGAAGGCUUCUGUCCCUUUGAUAAUUACUGAGAACUUCUGCUCUUUUUUAAUUGUUAGCGACAAGAGAUUUACUGACAAUAUCAUGAUUGUCGCUAAGUCGUCGAUAAAUGGUCAUUAUCGACAGCUCUUGACUGUUUCUGAAAGAUUAUGGUCAUUGGUAAUACCCUUCUUUUUUGUAGUACAUACUUGUAAUAUCUUAUGUAAUAUUUUAAGUUCACUUUAUUAACCGUGUGAUAAUGAAAGUUUAACUUUUUCUUCAUACAUAAUGUUAUUAUCACUAUUGCAAUGUUUCGACUUUUAUUUAAUGUACGUUUGUUUAUUAUCUUUAUAAUUUAAUAUAAAUGAACCAACCAAUAGACAUUCAUAAUCUUCAAUAACUAUAAUAAUAGUAAUAAAAUAAAUGGCAUUCAAAAUUAUUAUAAAAACAAAAGUUAAGACCCAUGUGACUAAAUUAUAUAGUAAAAAACACUUAUUAUCUAAAUAUAUAAUUUUGAAUGUGUUACCAAAAUAUAUUGUUUUAUUUAUUCACUAUAAUUUUUUUAAUUUUAGUAUUUCAAAUAAUUUUUACAAAAUAAAUGUAACUCAUAUAAAUAUAAUUUUAUAUAAUUUUUAACAUUAAUGACAAUUUGAUAAUUUUAAAUUUUUAUCUAUUAAACAUUAUUUUUAAUCUAUCACAAACUUUCAGAAAAAAAAAAUUAUUUUUAAAUUUACUUAUUAUCAUGUUUUCUAUUUUUAUAUCAUCUCUUACAUUAACAGUAAUGGCAAUGAUAACCAUAGCUUCUUAUCUAACAAGUUUAAAAUUAAAACAAUACAAUAAAUUUGUUGCAAAAUGAUUGUUUUAUAUCAAUUAAGAUCUCAUAUUAAAACGUAUAGACGAUUAAAUAAGGCAUAAGAAAAAAAAUAAAAGUCACAUAAUUUAAUUGACAAAAAAUUAAAGGACAGAUAAUUAAUUAAAAAGAAUUUAUAAUUUAAAUACUAGAUAUACUGAAAAAUUAAUUGAAAGUCAAUUAAUAUAUAUAUAUAUAUAUAUAUAUAUAUAUAUAUAUAUAUAUGAAAAGUUAAAACUUUAACUAAAAAAUUAUAAAAUAUAAUGUUUACAAGAAAUUACGGAGAUAUCUUUAACAUACUUUUUUUAUGGUUCACUAUGCCUCUUGGUCUGGUAUAUAUUUAUUAGAAUCACACAUUCUCACUUUUUCUUACAUUCAAAUUAUUAUUUUAUUACAACGUUCUAUUUUGAUUUUAAUAUAAUAUUUUAUUAUGAAAAGUAAUCGUCAGAUGAAUGUAGGUAGAAAGUGCUAUCGAAAUAUUUUUCCUAUUUAUGAUUAUAUGAAGGGUUGGCAGGAAAGUUUUUGAUGUACACCUUUCUAUUUUUCCAUUCUUUUUAAUAUCUAAUAAAAAAUUAAUAUUUAUAAUUUUUAUUAAUUUAUUUUAAAUUUUAAAAUAAAGAUAUUAUUUAUUUAAUGUUAGAAAAAUAUUGAACGAAAAAAUUAAAUAUAUGUAUAUGAUAAGGGUUAUGUGCUGACAAGCAUAUUAGAAUAGGUUAGAAUGGGGUAUGGUAUCAUCCGUUACUUUAUUGAGAGGCUACGGAUAUAUUUCAAAAGGACUUCGGAAGUGUUCUAAUCCAAUCAGUCAAGUAAAGAAUAAGAAAAUAAAAUCAAUUCAGAAUCCUGUGAUACUUGACUAAGAUCAUUCACCCAUUACCUUUACGUUUUCUUUUUCUUUAUUCUUUUCUUUCUCUUUUUUCUUUUUCUUUUUCUUUUUCUAUUUCAUUAUUCUGUUACAUAUAUCUCUAUCUCAUACUUCACUCUACUUCUUUUUAAAUUUCGAAUUCCAUUUACCAAGUUAUAUAGUAGAGCAUCAGAUAUAUAUUUUGAAACAUUUCUAUAUAAAUAAUUUUUAAUUUGUUGUGAGUGUAAAAUUUGCUCUAAUAUUUAUUAAUUUACUACAUCAGUGUUUAAGUGUUUUUGUUACUUCAGUUAGUAGCCAAAGUUAUUCUUUCCAUUGAUUUAUCUUGUUUUGGAUUUGUUUCGAAACGUUUCAGGUGGCCUUUAGGAUUGUUUUUCCUGUUCUUCACUUUUCUAUUACAUGGAGCACAAGUAAUUCUUAUGUAUUAUAUUGUCAAAAUGGUUACAACUUCGGGUUAAUUCGGCCUAUCACAGGUUUGGGUUGAGUUGGGUUUAAAAAAAUUAUAUUAUUUCAUUUUAUUUAAAUUAAUUUCAAUUUUAUAAAAAAUAUUUAUUACUUCUUUUUUCUUGGAAAAAUUAGUUAAGUUUCCUAUUUUUAAAAUUAAUUAAACACAAAAAUGAGAUUUAAAAUAAAAUUUGUUUAGAUUUGAAUUAUAGAAAGUUUAUAAUUUUUUUAUUUAAAAAAUUAUAAUUAAGUGAGUCAGUGAAUCAAUCCGUUUACUCACCAACUAAGUCGAAUUCAAAAUUUUCUAAGUUACUAAUAAAUGAGUCGGGUUUGAUGAGCUGGUCUAAAUAAUUAUUAUCAAUUUCAAUAAUAUUUUAUUGGUUAUAGUCAUAAUAAAAUGACAAUAUGAAAAAUUUACAAGGUAAGUUUUACCAAUUUUUAACUGACUUUUUCUUUCUUAUAAAGGAGGGAAUAUGCCAAGCGCAAUAUCCUGACGUGUACUUCAAAUAAUUAAUAUUUUUUUAUAUAUUCCGUUUUUUCAUUAUAACAAUAAUAAUUUGAAUCUAAUGUAACCAGAGAAUGAUGACCCUAAAAUAAUACUAACAUAGAAAAGAAAGGACAUAAAUUAAUUAUUAACAAAAGCAUUUGCUAUAAAUAGAUCAAAUGCAUAGCUCAACGAAAAGAUUAUUUUCCCCUGAAUUUAAUACAACACUGGUAAAACCUCUCAAUGCUCACACGCAUCAUUUAACUCAACCGAUGAAGCUGGUGGGAUCACUUUCUCGUAUACUCUCAUAACUCUCUUGCGGUGUUACGAUUUGGAACAGUGACAAGUAUACCCAAAUCACAACUUAAGGUUAUCCAAUUCGAAUAACAGAGGUGCGUUUCGUAGCUUAUAUAAAUAUCAAUCUAUCAAUUUGUACAUGGCCUCAUUUUUUAUUUGAGUUUUUAAGAAAUCUGACUGAUACAAAGAUAGAUAUUAGUUUCAGUUUUUGGGAUUUUUCAACUCUCACGGUUUUACAAAUAUAAUGAAGUUAUGAAACAAUAACUUGAAGUUUUACAGAGCAGCAGCAGUUCUAAAAGAAAUGGAAAAUGGAGUUGUUGAUGGUGAUGAAUCUGAGGCUUCUUAUUCUUAGUCUGUCUCACACUCCAGGUUAGAUCCUUAACACUGCCCUUAAUUACUGUUAUUUCAUAUCUUUUAAUGGAUCCAUUGCUGAAAUGAUACUCCAAAUAAAUAUACAAGCUGUUCUAGCUGAAUUAGUGUCGGUUCCUGGAAAAUUUUGUUUAUGUUGAUACUCUAUAAUUAGUUUCGGUUAAUGUGUUCAUCACAGAAAUUCAGUAAGUGACUGAUGAGGCUACUGUAUUAUUUAACUUUGCUUUCAUGAUUUAAAUGUUACACUAUUAGACUAGGUUAUGCUUCUCUUGAACCAUUUAUUAAGAUAAACUAGAUGUCUUGGGUUAUGCUUCUGAGUAUUUAUUAAGAUAAAUUAGAUUUUCAUACUAUAACUUAAAAUUUAUAUAAGAGAUUAUGAUAUUAUUUUUUAUAUUGUCACCAUCAAAAUCAUUUUAUCAUUGAAAUUAAUUUAUUGCUGUUUUUCAGCUUUGUCUGCAUUCUUAGUAUAGAACUAAUCCUUAUAAAACACCAAUGUUUAUAAUUAUUUUGGUGAUAAGAUUAUAUUAUAUUUAUAUUUAUUUUAUAACUCACUGACAUCAAGACAAAUUAUAUUUUUCUUUUUAGUUAAUACACUACAAUAAUGUUUGACUCAAUAAAUAAAAACAAAUAAGGUAUAGAGUGGGUCAAACCCAUUCUAAAAGAAAGAAAGAAUUAAAUUUAUAAAAUUAAAAAGUUCAGUUACCAUGUGUUAUAUUAAUCUGUUAUAACUAAAUUAGUAUUUUUUUUUAUAUUAAAAUUAUAUAUGGAUGUCUUCCAGAGCAACGCUACAUAAUAAUAAAAUCAAAACAACCAACACACGACAAUCUGGGAGAAGAAAGUGAAAUUUAAUAUUAAAAAUAGUAGAGAAUAGCGUCAACUUUGACGUUUAUAUUUAUUAAAAUAAUAAAAUAAUUGCUAGUAAGGUUCCCACUCAAAAAAAUAAAAAUAAAAUAAGAAAAUAGUAUUUUAAUACUAAAAUCUUUUUUUUACUCAUUUGAUACUAUUCGUCACUAUUUUUCAUUUUUUUAAUACAAAAAUUAGUUUUUGUAUUUUCUUUUAUAAAAGUUGUCGAUCAUAGGCAAAUUCAAAUGACCAUAAAGAUAAUGCCAAAUUUAAAAAGGAUCCUUAACAUUGGUCAUUAAACUAGAUUCAAUGAUUUCAAUGAAAAUAAAUUACAACCCGCAGGUCAAUCCACCGUUUGAGAGGGUUAGAUUUGAAAACUUUGUAUUUUUUUUAUACAAGUCAGAUUUCAACUUGAUUCAUUUAAACUCAACUAAUGCAGGUUGAAUUCGUGCUGGGUUGGGUUGGUCCACCAUCCUACCUACCUAAUUUUAUUUUAUUAAAAUUUAAUUUUAAUUUCAUAAAAAAAUAUUUAAUAUUUUUUUUGCUUAAAAUAAUUAUUUAAGUUUUUUAUUUUUAAAAUUAAUUAAACAUUUCUUGAGAGUGAAAUUUGUUUAGACUUAAAUUAUAGAAAGUUUAUAAUUUUUUUUAUUUAAAAAAAUUAUAUUUAAAUGAGCUAGUGAACCAACCUAUUUAUCCAUCAAUCUGUGGUAAGUCGAGUCGGGUUCAUCGGAAUACCUGUUUUGACAAGAGGAAAAAUCAGUUUUACCUUUUACCACAUCAAUAACAUCUCUAAUAGAAUAAGUACUUUGCUGGUGGUGAUAGACUAAUAGUAUAACCUUUUUUGUUGUAAUUAUCCAACGCCUAACAUAUCGUAUUUCAAAUGAGGAACAUAUGAAAUAUUAACAAUUAUUUCAACAAAAUCACUAUCGUUUUUUUUAUUUUAGUAUUACCUUUUCCCAUCACUUGAAAAUCCCCAAAGCUCACACUAAACUGGAAAUUUUCAUUUAGAAGGAAAAUAAUAUUUAAUUUCACUCAUUUAGUUAUUUCAUCAGUUAGCGUAUUGGCCAACGAUAUGACAAUAGUAUAAGUAAUAAAUAUUUUCUCUUUCUCUUUCAAUACAUGACAAUUAUUGCAAUCUAUAAUUCUAGACAAUAAUAUUCAUAAAAAUAUAAUAAAAAAUAUUUUUUUCACAGUUGUUGUGCAACCGAAAUUUAGAAAAUGGUAAAAAUAUAAUGUAGAAGUAAAACUUAAUUUAACUUUUUAUUAUAUAAAUAAUAAUCGGUUUUAGAAAAUAUCAUGUAUAUAAAAAUAAUAAUAGGAAAAAUAUGGGAUAUAAAUAAAAAAGGAAACAAAAUCAAUAGAUGUCAAAUAAAGCAAAACCUUUCAACUAUUGUAGUUAUAUCUAAGUUCUUUUGGAAUUUAUAAGGAUUAAUAAAAAAAAAAUAUUUUCAUCAAUAAGACAAUAAUAAAAAAAAUAGGAUAAUCAAAUAUUAUUAUCAAGUCCUAUGUAAAAAAACUACAAUGAAAUGAGUUUUUAUGAAUUUGUUUCAGUUUAACAUAUUGUGUAUCAAAUAAAUGAUUUUGAUAAAGUUGAAAAAGAGUUGAUGAAUAGAGAAACCAAACUUAAAAUAAAGGUUGAGAUGCAUAGGAAAAAGAUUGAGUAACCCAACAUUAUUUAACGUUUGUUGGGCCUAGGGCUACCGUUAAAGUAAUUUUUGGAUUAGGGAAUGGAUUUAAUGGUAAGUAAGUGGACAAAAUUUAAGGGGAUGGAAAGAAGAUUAUGGAUUUGUUUGGAUUAAAUAAUUUGAAGAGAUGAACGAAGGGAUUUGAAGGAAAAAUUUGUAAGAGUUUGUGAAUGAUGUCAUCGGUCUAAUAGAUUAAAAAAUAUAUUUUAAUUGAUAAAAAUAAAUGACUAUCAAUUUAUCCUUGUGUUGAAAUUUGAUAUAAAUUUAAAUUUAAGUAGUGAAAAUUAUAUUAAAAUGAAAUUUAAAUUAUUAAUGAUAAAAAAAAUUAAAAUUGUAAAAAAUAAAAUGACGUCCUUCAAUCGAAGAAAUUUUGUUUGAGAUAGGUAGGUUCGAUUUCACUAGUCAAAGUCAGCAACAGAGGAGAAGGUCGACAAGCUCGACAAGCAAGUAGGGCAAGGUCGACUUAGCUCGACAAGGUUGACAAUCAAGCUUGGCAAGGUUGGAUGAGCUAGGCAAACUCGGUUUUAAUGGUUAUUUCAUCAAAGACAAACAAUUCUCUCAUAAACAUAAUCGAUUCCAUGAUUGUCAUGUGAAAGAACAAAUUCGAUUUCACUGCAUGUUUCGAGACCAUGGAAUCGAUUCUAGUCUUAAUAAAUAAAAAUUGUCCACAUUCAUAGUAAAUUGAAAUAAAUUUUGAACACAAAUUAUAUUUUUUUAAUAAAAAUCUAAUAAAUUAAACUUAAAAUUGUGGCAUCAAUUUGAUGUUCCAAAUCUUGUAAUCUUGUAUAGGUGUUGUGGAAUCCUUGCCUAAAAAUCAAUGUCAAAUUGGAAAGGUUAUCCUAAAUGUUAUCAAAUUUUCCUAUCAGUUGUGUAUACCUAUCAUCUUAAGUCAAGACUCCAUUUGGUUGUACACCCUGUUGUUGCAUUUGGGAUUGUGGUCCAAUGUCAACAACAUCGUUUACAACAUUCGGAGCGUCAUCAUCAUAAUCACCUGUAUGGUCUACCUUUUUAGUUGGCAAAUGUUGUCAACAUUAACAAUUUCCAAUUUGGACAAUAUUUUUGUGUCAAAGUAGUAAUUCCAUCCUAAUUCAAUGAGGUUUUCAUAACUCAAGUCCACUUGAAAGAUAACAAGUAUUCUUGUAAUAAACAUUUUGUAUGGAAGAGACGUGUUGUUGUUUUGGCAUUUGACCAUGUUUUGCAUAAUGUGAUGUGGCUAGUUGAUGACAAUGUUAUUUUUCAAACACCAUAAGAAGAAUAUGUCUUCAUGAGUUAGUUCAACAAAAUUUGUACUUUGAUGUGACAACAUACGAAUAAGAACAUAAUGUAUAAGUCUGUUAUUGAUAUUUAAACUUCUUGCAUUCCUAACCAUCCAACCAUACAAGUGAGGUCUAAUCAUAGAGUUUAAAUCUUGAGAUUUGUCGUAUUGUAGGUCAUCGGGUGUGGUUUGAAAAGAUAACUUUCAACCUUCAUAUGGUAGAUUACAUAGUGUGAUCCAAUCUGCAGGUUUGAUUUUAAUCUUUGUCGAUUUCACUUCACUAAAGAUAUGACCACUACAACAAACUUAGAAGUUUAUGUAUAAUAUUCUAACGAGUUUCAUACUAAGUGGUACUAUGGAGCCUCAAAAUUUUUUAAACCUUGAAACAAUAGGGUUUGUAUGAAGUUCAACCCCGAUUCGUUGAAGAACCACGAAACCACGAUUUUAGGUGACAACACAUGAUGUAUAAAAAUGUUAACAUUAUACUAUUUCAUCUGGAUUAAGGAUGUAAACCACCUUCUCUACUAUAGUCGAUUUACAUAUUUUUAUUUAGCAACAUCAUCAAGUGGAUUUACAUGUAAUUUUUCCUUACUUGUUUAUCACUAUUUUGCCUUUUACUUGAAGAAGAUGAAGCCAUAACUCAUAAUUAACAGUUUGUGUCAUAAUAAAUAUAUCAAGUAAACAACUCAUCAAAUAAAUAACUAAUACUAAAAGCCAAUAAAAUAGAAGACUAAAACAAUAAAUACCAUAAGCAAUUAAAACAUCUCAAUUUAGUUAGGCAUAAAAUAUUAUACAUAUCAAACACGACUUAAAUGUCAGUGUGUGAAACUAAAUCGUAGAGUAUUACAUGAAACUAAUUAUUAUAUUGGCUAAUUUGAAGAACCACUAUCGAAACUACCACCACUUUUUGUCAUAAUCUUAUACAACUUGUUCCAACGACACAAGGUUGGCAUUUCAAUAAGUCAUUUCACAAGGAAUAGAUUUACACACAAGAACUUGUAGCACUUAUCCAUCACUUAAUCAUUUGGUACGUUCAUUGCUACCAACAUUUUCUAGAUGUCGUUCUUUGCAUAUUAAAAUGUGGAAGUACGACAAAGAAUGUCAUUCCUUUGUUUGACUACAACUACCUGUUCUUUUGAUACAACCACCUAUCGUUCAGCAUAGGCAGUCAGUUUCUCAAAGUGAACAUCUAUUCUACCAAGGUAUUCUAUGAAACCGUUCAAUUAUGUUGUAAGCGCUACAAAUUGGGAGUCAACAACAUCAACCAUUGGAGAUUUUCUUUUGGUCCUGCCAGAAGAUGACGUCCCACCAGAAGGUACAAAAAAUGUAGAUGGCAUCGCUAAUGUGAGUCCAUGGCUAUAUGAAUCCACAUGAAGUUCAAGGAAGUCUAGGACGUAAUCCAUGUAGUCAUUCAAAUACAUGGUGAAUAUUUGUAUUUGUACCUCUUGUUGUGCUCUAUGAGUUGUAUGACACCUCGAUCUCGUAGCAUGAUCAAACCCCACAACUCAUCCAUUAAGUCAUAAUGUUUGAUUGAAUUCACUCUCCAUUUCAUAGUGCUUGGCUUUUCCUGAAAUUGAUUAACCAAAUAAAUUAGUUACGAACACUUUGCUUUUAGUGAUAAAACUAAUAAAUUAGUAUUCAAUGAUUACCUUGAUCAAGUCACUUCAAACUUCAUAUUUAUCUUUGAAUUCAAAGCGCUUCGUUGAUUCAUUCUAAGAAAACCCACUUAAUCCAGCAAAUAAUUCACGAACCUCGUGUCACUUAUCCUUAAGAACCUUUUGCCUAUUUUUUAUGUUAUUCUUAUUUAAAUGCACCAAGCUAGAGUUGUGGAGAUUUUCAAUAAUGUUGUUGUAUGCUUGAGAUAUGUUAACUCAUUGGAAAGUGUAUCGAGUCACGCAAGUAAUAUAAAAUGGUAAAACUAAGUAUGGUUUCCUAAGAAACUCGUGUAAUAUUAAAGAAGUGUACAAUUAACAACUCAUCUAGACUAAAAAAUACAAGAAUAUGUACAAGUAAAUAAAUGAACAAAGAAUUAAAGGUGGACUUUGAUAGUUAAAGGUGCUUAGAAGAAUGGCAAGCUGAGGAAUGAAAUGGAAUGACAUGCUAAGGGUAGACUUUGUCAACUUCACUCUAUUGCACACACAAAUCAUCUCUCCAUCAAAUACUAAUGUCAACUCACUAAAACACUCUAGCCCUAAUCCCUUGGGUGAAAGAGCUUAUUUUUUCUUACUAAGUGUCAAUCCCUUGAUCACUCAACAAACAAACCCACAUUAAAUAUACAAGCCCCCUCUAGAUCCCUUAUUUCAAGCCUAGGAUUCAUUAGAUUCUUCCCAAAACCUAACAAAUAUUCAAAUUAAGCUUUUCACAUACCUAUUUCAAUCAAGCAUUAAGAAUAGAAAUGAGAGAUUAACAAUUAGAUCGAAGAAUCAUAUAUAUUUGAAUCAUUUACAAAGUACAAGAGAGUUCAAUAGCUACACACUACCCCUAACAAGAUGGGUUUGACUUUCCAUUUCCAUGGAGAGCUUUAAGCCUACGAAAUGGAAGAUGAAAGAAGAAUGAGACACAAGGAUAAAGAAGAGGAUGUUUCCACAAGCCCCAAACAACCUUCAUGAGCUCUAAAGAGUGAAAUCGUGCCUCCAAGCCCCCAAAGAUCUGGUUUCCCUCGAGAGAACUUGAUUAAAUAAGAAAUUUUUGACACAUCAACAUGCCACUACUCAGCGCAAAGGCUCCAGUUCUUAGCGCCAACCUUUAUGGUAACCCUAGAUGCUUUUUGUCAAAGUGGUGCUCAACAGUGAGAAGUGGCGCUCAGCGCUAGAAACCCUAGAAGCUCUAUGUAAUGGUUUUGCUUAAUGCUAGGAGGUGGCGUUUAAUGCCACAGGCUUUUAAACUUCCAUCUUUUUGGUUUAUCUUCUUGCUUCUCUAGGUCACCAAAGUUCUUCGAUGUGGUAGAGAAUCUUCCUAACACUAAAAUAGAUACAAAAAGAGGGGAUUAAAGUUAUAUUUAAACAAGUGUGCCUUUACCAAAAAGAAAAGAUAAAAGUGAGGAUUUAAGCAAAUAAUAAGCUAAAGUAGAGCUAAUUUUAUCACCAAAACGUAGCUUAGAUAAUGGUAAGAAUUAACAUUAUUAGGAUAUCCAACUCACAUCGAUCCUAUUACCUAACCAAGCUUCAUCUACCAUAAUAGAUAACAACUGUAAGUCCAUAUUCUCCAUCCUUUUUGUGAACUCACGAAAGCUAAGAGAUGAAUGUAAGGCAAUGACUUUUUCUUUAUUCAUGAUUUCCUAUUAGAAAAAUAAAAAUUAUGCUAUCAUACGAAAUGAAACAAACUUUUAAACCAAAAAAAUACAAAUUCCCAUACAAUUCCAACAAAAACAUAAAAUUGUUUCAAACGCUUUAAUUGUUUUGAUAAUCUCUUCACAUUUCAUUUUCUAUUUCAUCCCUAAUUUUAUAAUCGUGAUUUAGUCAACUUCUCGAUCUUGAGUAUUUGAAACAUCUUCGACUUGGUCUAUCAAUUCUCAAUCCACUUCUUUAAGGAAGGUGCAUUGUUGUCUACCCAUCAUAAAAGUUGUGAAUAAGGCAACACGCUAACAAUAUUUUGAUCAUUGUAUCAAAAGAAUAAUGAGGCUUUGUUCCACUUUUUAUAGGGGCAAACCAUUUUUUCAGCACACCAAAUAUGCUUUCAACAACAUUUUACAGUGAUGAAUGAUAGUCAUUGAACAACUCUCAGGGGUUUUGCGAACCUCUCCUGUUGUACUCCUUCAAAUGGUCACUACAAGAAAAAUAAGUAUUACCAACAACCAAAAUCUAUUGAAAAUGUCAAAAAUUCGUCAGCAAUAAUUUUUUUUCAAUGGAUUUUCGAUAGGCCAAAAUCCAUCGUAAUAGUAUAGUCGGUAAAUUUAUCGAUGAAAUUUUAUAUGCGUCAAGUGAAGGAAAAAUCUGUCGGUAAUUAUAAGAAACAUUCGUCGUAGUUACUGAAAAAAGCACUUGGUAAUACAUGAAAAAUCUAGUGAUAAUUACCGAGAGAAAAAUUCGUCAAUAAUUCUUCCUCUUCUCUUCUUCUUCUUUCUUUUAUUUUUCCCAAUCCAGAAAAGUGAACAAAUUACAAACGAAUGUCAUACAGAUUGAUGUAAUUUCAUAACUUGCCCAAAAUUUGAUCAAUACACUUUUAUUCAUUAUCCCACUUUGCUUUGUUCCACAAUACCCUAUUACAAUUACAACAAUGUCAUACAGAUUUAUAAAAUUUCAUAACCUGAAUAAAAUUAUAGCCAACCGAACAAAUUAUUCAACCACAAACACAAAUCAAAAAGAGAUAAAACAAGGAGAAGAGAAUAAGGGGAUUUGGAUGGCUUCAAAUCCAUCAUUAUCCAACGACGAUUCUCGGUGGUUGUAGUGCUUGGCAUGACGAUGAUGGACUCGGCUUGGAUACACCCUUGUGUGAAAGAUAAAGAAUAAAGGCAUUAUCCCUCCCUUGCAUAUGUUAGAGAAGAAGAAUAUGGAGCGAAAGACCCUAAGAGCAAUGGCGUCGAUGGUGAUAAAGACAAUGACCUGACUCAAUUGAGAUGGAGGAAUGCCAAAGGAACCUAUAACUGCGGUGGUAUAAGAUGAGAUGAGGAAAGUAGGGAAAGAUGAUGGUUGCCCUCACGCGAUAGAAAAGAAGAUGAAGAUGGUUUUGAAAUUAGAGAAAAAGUGGAGUUUGAGAUUGCAGAAGGAGAAGAAAAAGUUAAGCCUAAAAGGAAGGAGAGAGAGGUCAGGAAGGAGGGAGAGAGAGAGAGAGAAAUUUGUCACUCUUUGUACUACAAUUUUGAUUAUAUUUUGAUAAUAAUUAACAUAAUUAAAAUCUUCAUUAACUAUUUUUAUUAUUUAUAAAAUUAUAAAACAUGAAAAAUUGUUUUAUUUCCCAUGAUCAUCUAAUACAACUCUCUUAUGCCACAAAUACCAAUAUUAAUCUUCAAAUCAACUAAAUGUAGUUAAUAGAAACGAAAUCCUAUUGAUAAAAUUAUUAUAAUAAUUAAAGAAAUAAAAAUAAUUAAUAAUACAAAGUAUGCUAAUUGUAAAUAAACUCAAUUUUAUAAGUUUUAGUAUUUAAUAUAUUUAGGUUUUGAAAAAAGUUAUUAUUUUUAAACUGAAAUUUAAAAAAAUACACAUUAACUAUCAUUAAAAAAAUUAUUAAAUAUAAAUUAAUUUGAAGAUAAAAAAUAAUCAGACAUUUAUAAAUUAAAAGUUUUAGUAUUUGAAAUACUCUUUAUUAUUAAAAUAUUAUUACUAAUUUGUAAAUAAGAGUUUAAAUCCACCAAUAUUUGAGUUGCUUAAUGUUAUUGGGUUCGAAAUUAAUUUCUAAUUAAUUCUUUUUUCUUUGAAUUGGUAGAGUAAGAACAGCUUUCCUCAUUCUCAGUUUGUGCUACAUAUCGAAGGUACGAGAUCCUUAUAACACCAUUCCCUUAGGCACUGCUUUAAUCAUCCAUUUGCUUAGAAAGAAAUAUAUUUGGUAGAUGCUAAGCAUUAGAAAUAGGUACAUAUAAUGUGAUUAGGUUUUACUUAAUUACAUGGUUUAUAUAUAUAUAUAUAUAUAUAUAUAUAUAUAUAUAUAUAUAUAUAUAGGUUAUAUUAACACUCAUUCUACAUAUCUAAAAAUAAAAUCACAAUUUACCAUCACAAUUAAAAAAAAAUCAUCAAUUUAAUUUUGUUAAGGAUUAAUGAUCUAAUAAUUAUUAAGUUUUUUUAAAAAUUCUAAUAAAUUCUUUGAUCUAUUAAUUAUUAAUUUCCAACUAUAUAUUUAAAUUUGUCAAACUGAUUUUGUAUCACAUAGAGUGGAGUUUUUUUAGGUCAACAAAAUGUUAAUUAUGAUAGCCUAGGUGUAAAGUUUGGUAUAUAAUAAUUAUCAUUUGUGAAACAUUGAACGUUCAUAUAUUAUUCAUCAGAGUUAACUUAAUAGUAUUUUCAAGGACGAAUUUAACCAUAUACUCUCCAGUGACAUGGCGAUCAAUAUUAGAAGUGGGUUUUAGGUCUAAUUCAAUCUUACAAAAACUGGCUUGGAAGGUGAGAUUUGCACCUCACUAGUAGAAAUUGGGUGGUUUAAUAGCGGCCCGAUAAUGGGUGGAAUAGAAACAGAAAUGCUCACUUAGAACUCGCUAGGAUAAGCUUUAACUUGGGCUCUGAUACUACAUUAGAAGGUAGGUUUUAGGCCGAACUCAACCCCACAAAACUGGCUUGUAAGGUGAGGUUUGCACCUCACUUAUAUAUUAUAAUUUGGCCUUAUCUCUAGUCGAUGUGGGACUUUCAACAAUCAAUGCAGCCCUGGGUGGUAGCCAUACGUGAUGUGCAAAUUACUAUUUUCUAUUUUCUUGGAAGGUUGCCAUGAUAACUAUCAAAACUAUCAAUUUUAUUAAAAAGAGGGUCCAAUCACUACAAAAAUAAUAUAAUUUAGGAGGGGUUAUUUUCCGACGGUUGCAGAAACUCCUAAUAAACUUCUGGCGGUUCUAUAAUGGAACCGCCCGUAACAAUUGAAUAUUUUUCGAGUUCAUUUACCUUCUUUGAGAGACUUCAUUCACUUUUCUCUCCCCUGUGUUUCAGUUGGUACAUUUUAGAAUGUGUACCGGGUUUUAGUAGAUAAAAAUAUCCUAAUAUAUCAUAGAUUGUAAGUUUUUAGGUUAAGGGUAUUUUAAUAAUUUUCAUUCUCAAAACUAAAAAAAAAAAUCCAAACCCUUACUCACCUUCCUCAUUGCUCUCAACCCUUUCUCUUUCAUGUCUCUCACUCCCACGUUUUUCUGUCAUCCCUACACUAGUCCCAACUAAAAAAGCACUCAUUGUUAAACAAUUUGUUUUUGUAAAGAGUUGAGUCAUUGGCAUAUUCGCCUUCAGGAAAAGGUUCAUUCAAGAUGUCUUCAAUUUCAUCAUGUGCAGAUGUUGAAUCAUCAUCUCUAAAAAAAAUUCCAGGCCAAUUACCAAUUCCUUCUAAUGUCAUUAUGCUUGUGAAAAUUAGAUAAAAUUAGAUAAGACAAAAAUUAUAAAAUGAAAACUCAUUAUAAAAUCAUUUUUUGUAAGAAAUUGUUUAACUGAUUGUUUCUUAUUUUUUCCAAGUCAAUUACCAAUUCCUUCGGAUGUCAUUAUGCUUGUGAAAAUUAGAUAAAAUUAUAUAAGAUAAAAAUUAUGAAAUGAAAACUCAUUCUAAAAUCAUUUUUUUUUUGUAGGAAAUUGUUUAACCACAAGUGGUUCUGAUUUUUUUAGUUGGGGCUACAUUAGCGAUGACAGAGAAAAGAGAAAAUGUUGAAAUGAGAGAGAUAAAAGACAAAGGGUUGAAAGGAAUGAGGGAGGUGAGUAAGGAUUUUGAGUUUUUUUUUUUUAGUUUUGAAAAUGAGAAUUAUUAAAAUACCCUUAACCUUAAAACUUAGAAUCCAUAAUAUAUUAGAGUAUUUUUGUCUACUAAAACUCAGUACACAUUACUAAAAAUAGACGUACGGAAGUUAGCAAACCCCAUAUAUAUAUAUAUAUAUAUAUAUAUAUAUAUAUAUAUAUAUAUAUAUAUAUAUAUAUAUAUAUAUUCGCAUGCUCUAUUGUUUUGUAAAUAGUUGUUGCUUUAGUAACAGUAUGAAAAAAAAGUCAUAUUUGUUUUUGUUAUCCAACCACAAAUACCUGCAUAACAAAGUUCACAACAACACAGACAGACCUGCAUACAACUUUCAAACCACAGACAGAGCUGCCUUUUGUGCAUAUGAAAAUCAUCCAAUAUUAUCAUUGAUGAAAAAAGAUAAUGUACUAAAAUGAUCUGUAAAGUUCAACAUGAAAUGUGAAACAUAAAACAAUAUCAUCCAUUUCUAAGCAAAGAUAAGGUACUAAAAUCAUGAUGUACUAAAAUUCAAAUGUACUAAAAUUCAAAUGGACUAACAUUAGUACUUUCUAACACCUAUGAUCAAUAACAAAAUAANNNNNNNNNNNNNNNNNNNNNNNNNNNNNNNNNNNNNNNNNNNNNNNNNNNNNNNNNNNNNNNNNNNNNNNNNNNNNNNNNNNNNNNNNNNNNNNNNNNNNNNNNNNNNNNNNNNNNNNNNNNNNNNNNNNNNNNNNNNNNNNNNNNNNNNNNNNNNNNNNNNNNNNNNNNNNNNNNNNNNNNNNNNNNNNNNNNNNNNNNNNNNNNNNNNNNNNNNNNNNNNNNNNNNNNNNNNNNNNNNNNNNNNNNNNNNNNNNNNNNNNNNNNNNNNNNNNNNNNNNNNNNNNNNNNNNNNNNNNNNNNNNNNNNNNNNNNNNNNNNNNNNNNNNNNNNNNNNNNNNNNNNNNNNNNNNNNNNNNNNNNNNNNNNNNNNNNNNNNNNNNNNNNNNNNNNNNNNNNNNNNNNNNNNNNNNNNNNNNNNNNNNNNNNNNNNNNNNNNNNNNNNNNNNNNNNNNNNNNNNNNNNNNNNNNNNNNNNNNNNNNNNNNNNNNNNNNNNNNNNNNNNNNNNNNNNNNNNNNNNNNNNNNNNNNNNNNNNNNNNNNNNNNNNNNNNNNNNNNNNNNNNNNNNNNNNNNNNNNNNNNNNNNNNNNNNNNNNNNNNNNNNNNNNNNNNNNNNNNNNNNNNNNNNNNNNNNNNNNNNNNNNNNNNNNNNNNNNNNNNNNNNNNNNNNNNNNNNNNNNNNNNNNNNNNNNNNNNNNNNNNNNNNNNNNNNNNNNNNNNNNNNNNNNNNNNNNNNNNNNNNNNNNNNNNNNNNNNNNNNNNNNNNNNNNNNNNNNNNNNNNNNNNNNNNNNNNNNNNNNNNNNNNNNNNNNNNNNNNNNNNNNNNNNNNNNNNNNNNNNNNNNNNNNNNNNNNNNNNNNNNNNNNNNNNNNNNNNNNNNNNNNNNNNNNNNNNNNNNNNNNNNNNNNNNNNNNNNNNNNNNNNNNNNNNNNNNNNNNNNNNNNNNNNNNNNNNNNNNNNNNNNNNNNNNNNNNNNNNNNNNNNNNNNNNNNNNNNNNNNNNNNNNNNNNNNNNNNNNNNNNNNNNNNNNNNNNNNNNNNNNNNNNNNNNNNNNNNNNNNNNNNNNNNNNNNNNNNNNNNNNNNNNNNNNNNNNNNNNNNNNNNNNNNNNNNNNNNNNNNNNNNNNNNNNNNNNNNNNNNNNNNNNNNNNNNNNNNNNNNNNNNNNNNNNNNNNNNNNNNNNNNNNNNNNNNNNNNNNNNNNNNNNNNNNNNNNNNNNNNNNNNNNNNNNNNNNNNNNNNNNNNNNNNNNNNNNNNNNNNNNNNNNNNNNNNNNNNNNNNNNNNNNNNNNNNNNNNNNNNNNNNNNNNNNNNNNNNNNNNNNNNNNNNNNNNNNNNNNNNNNNNNNNNNNNNNNNNNNNNNNNNNNNNNNNNNNNNNNNNNNNNNNNNNNNNNNNNNNNNNNNNNNNNNNNNNNNNNNNNNNNNNNNNNNNNNNNNNNNNNNNNNNNNNNNNNNNNNNNNNNNNNNNNNNNNNNNNNNNNNNNNNNNNNNNNNNNNNNNNNNNNNNNNNNNNNNNNNNNNNNNNNNNNNNNNNNNNNNNNNNNNNNNNNNNNNNNNNNNNNNNNNNNNNNNNNNNNNNNNNNNNNNNNNNNNNNNNNNNNNNNNNNNNNNNNNNNNNNNNNNNNNNNNNNNNNNNNNNNNNNNNNNNNNNNNNNNNNNNNNNNNNNNNNNNNNNNNNNNNNNNNNNNNNNNNNNNNNNNNNNNNNNNNNNNNNNNNNNNNNNNNNNNNNNNNNNNNNNNNNNNNNNNNNNNNNNNNNNNNNNNNNNNNNNNNNNNNNNNNNNNNNNNNNNNNNNNNNNNNNNNNNNNNNNNNNNNNNNNNNNNNNNNNNNNNNNNNNNNNNNNNNNNNNNNNNNNNNNNNNNNNNNNNNNNNNNNNNNNNNNNNNNNNNNNNNNNNNNNNNNNNNNNNNNNNNNNNNNNNNNNNNNNNNNNNNNNNNNNNNNNNNNNNNNNNNNNNNNNNNNNNNNNNNNNNNNNNNNNNNNNNNNNNNNNNNNNNNNNNNNNNNNNNNNNNNNNNNNNNNNNNNNNNNNNNNNNNNNNNNNNNNNNNNNNNNNNNNNNNNNNNNNNNNNNNNNNNNNNNNNNNNNNNNNNNNNNNNNNNNNNNNNNNNNNNNNNNNNNNNNNNNNNNNNNNNNNNNNNNNNNNNNNNNNNNNNNNNNNNNNNNNNNNNNNNNNNNNNNNNNNNNNNNNNNNNNNNNNNNNNNNNNNNNNNNNNNNNNNNNNNNNNNNNNNNNNNNNNNNNNNNNNNNNNNNNNNNNNNNNNNNNNNNNNNNNNNNNNNNNNNNNNNNNNNNNNNNNNNNNNNNNNNNNNNNNNNNNNNNNNNNNNNNNNNNNNNNNNNNNNNNNNNNNNNNNNNNNNNNNNNNNNNNNNNNNNNNNNNNNNNNNNNNNNNNNNNNNNNNNNNNNNNNNNNNNNNNNNNNNNNNNNNNNNNNNNNNNNNNNNNNNNNNNNNNNNNNNNNNNNNNNNNNNNNNNNNNNNNNNNNNNNNNNNNNNNNNNNNNNNNNNNNNNNNNNNNNNNNNNNNNNNNNNNNNNNNNNNNNNNNNNNNNNNNNNNNNNNNNNNNNNNNNNNNNNNNNNNNNNNNNNNNNNNNNNNNNNNNNNNNNNNNNNNNNNNNNNNNNNNNNNNNNNNNNNNNNNNNNNNNNNNNNNNNNNNNNNNNNNNNNNNNNNNNNNNNNNNNNNNNNNNNNNNNNNNNNNNNNNNNNNNNNNNNNNNNNNNNNNNNNNNNNNNNNNNNNNNNNNNNNNNNNNNNNNNNNNNNNNNNNNNNNNNNNNNNNNNNNNNNNNNNNNNNNNNNNNNNNNNNNNNNNNNNNNNNNNNNNNNNNNNNNNNNNNNNNNNNNNNNNNNNNNNNNNNNNNNNNNNNNNNNNNNNNNNNNNNNNNNNNNNNNNNNNNNNNNNNNNNNNNNNNNNNNNNNNNNNNNNNNNNNNNNNNNNNNNNNNNNNNNNNNNNNNNNNNNNNNNNNNNNNNNNNNNNNNNNNNNNNNNNNNNNNNNNNNNNNNNNNNNNNNNNNNNNNNNNNNNNNNNNNNNNNNNNNNNNNNNNNNNNNNNNNNNNNNNNNNNNNNNNNNNNNNNNNNNNNNNNNNNNNNNNNNNNNNNNNNNNNNNNNNNNNNNNNNNNNNNNNNNNNNNNNNNNNNNNNNNNNNNNNNNNNNNNNNNNNNNNNNNNNNNNNNNNNNNNNNNNNNNNNNNNNNNNNNNNNNNNNNNNNNNNNNNNNNNNNNNNNNNNNNNNNNNNNNNNNNNNNNNNNNNNNNNNNNNNNNNNNNNNNNNNNNNNNNNNNNNNNNNNNNNNNNNNNNNNNNNNNNNNNNNNNNNNNNNNNNNNNNNNNNNNNNNNNNNNNNNNNNNNNNNNNNNNNNNNNNNNNNNNNNNNNNNNNNNNNNNNNNNNNNNNNNNNNNNNNNNNNNNNNNNNNNNNNNNNNNNNNNNNNNNNNNNNNNNNNNNNNNNNNNNNNNNNNNNNNNNNNNNNNNNNNNNNNNNNNNNNNNNNNNNNNNNNNNNNNNNNNNNNNNNNNNNNNNNNNNNNNNNNNNNNNNNNNNNNNNNNNNNNNNNNNNNNNNNNNNNNNNNNNNNNNNNNNNNNNNNNNNNNNNNNNNNNNNNNNNNNNNNNNNNNNNNNNNNNNNNNNNNNNNNNNNNNNNNNNNNNNNNNNNNNNNNNNNNNNNNNNNNNNNNNNNNNNNNNNNNNNNNNNNNNNNNNNNNNNNNNNNNNNNNNNNNNNNNNNNNNNNNNNNNNNNNNNNNNNNNNNNNNNNNNNNNNNNNNNNNNNNNNNNNNNNNNNNNNNNNNNNNNNNNNNNNNNNNNNNNNNNNNNNNNNNNNNNNNNNNNNNNNNNNNNNNNNNNNNNNNNNNNNNNNNNNNNNNNNNNNNNNNNNNNNNNNNNNNNNNNNNNNNNNNNNNNNNNNNNNNNNNNNNNNNNNNNNNNNNNNNNNNNNNNNNNNNNNNNNNNNNNNNNNNNNNNNNNNNNNNNNNNNNNNNNNNNNNNNNNNNNNNNNNNNNNNNNNNNNNNNNNNNNNNNNNNNNNNNNNNNNNNNNNNNNNNNNNNNNNNNNNNNNNNNNNNNNNNNNNNNNNNNNNNNNNNNNNNNNNNNNNNNNNNNNNNNNNNNNNNNNNNNNNNNNNNNNNNNNNNNNNNNNNNNNNNNNNNNNNNNNNNNNNNNNNNNNNNNNNNNNNNNNNUAUAUAUAUUCACAUGAUUUUUUUGUUUUGUAAAAUGUGGUUGCUUGAUUGAAUAUAUGCAAAUAUACUUGUGAUUUUUAAUUAAUAAAAUAUACUUCAUUUUUCUUUAUUAAUUGUUAAACUAAUCUAUUUUCACUAUAUGUUUUGUUGGCAAAGAGAUGUAGUCAAGAACGGUACAAGAAAAAAAGGUUGGAAGUAUGGAUAUUGUGUGGAAAAUAUUUGAUCCAGCAAUUGAUUUUGUGCGGGAUCAUGGUAUUAAUCAGGUGACCUACAUUUUUUGUUACAAAAAAAAUUUUGAGGAACUAAAGAAGAAAGUUAAGCGUCUAGGAGAAGUAAAAGAGAGGUUAGAUCGUCAACACGAUGAAGCUAAAAGAAAGGGUCACAUAGUUGAAGCUAGGGUUGAAGAAUGGUUUGGGGAAGUGGGCGAAUUUGAGAGUAGUGUUGAAAACUACAGCAAAAAUGCAGGUCACAAGAAGACAGGGGGUCGCUAUUAUUUUUUUCCUUACUAUAGACACAAACUGGGCAGACAAGCAAAGAAGAUGGAAAUAGAGGCUUUGAGGCUAAUAGAUGAGUCCCCCAAGAUUGACGAAGUUUCCCAUGCAGAGAAAGUAACAUCUUUUGACCUCACUUCAUCUAAUUCUGGCUACAUUGAAUUUAGUAGUAGAAAAUCCAUUAUGGAAGACAUAAUGACAAAACUUAAAGAUCCCAAUAUGAAAAUUAUUGGACUCCAUGGAUCACUAGGGAUGGGUAAGAGCACUUUAGUAAAAGAAAUUGCUAAUAAAGCUAAAUAUGAGAGGUUAUUUGAUAGGGUGGCUGAAAUAAAUGUAACUAUCAAUCCCAAUCCCCUUAAAAUUCAGGAAGAGAUUGCACAUGUGCUAGGAUUGCCAUUAACAGGGGAAAGUGAAAAUGUAAGAGCUGAUUAUCUAAGGAGAUGGUUAAAGAUAGAAAAUGUGAGCAUCCUUAUAAUCUUGGAUAACCUUCAUGAAAGAUUAGACUUGAAUAGGUUAGGGAUUCCGAUUGAUGGUGAUUAUGACUUAAGAAAGAAGAAUGAGUUAAGCAUAAGGUCAAGUAAAAAAGAUACAGACGACAACACACAGGGUACCGACGAAAAAGUGCUAGAAAAAGCAAAUUUUCUUAGUAAAUAUAAGGGAUGCAAAGUUUUGCUUUCUUCACGUGAUAAGAAAGUAUUUCCUGAUGAGGUUGAUGUUGAGUCCAAUUUUUGUUUAAAGGAAUUAGAUGGCAAUGAUUCCUUGAAGCUAUUUGAGGUGCAUGGAGGAGGUAAUAAAAUGUCUAUGCCUACAGAAGAAAUCCAAAAGUAUUGUGCAGGGUUGCCCAUGAGCAUAGUUAGAUUUGCAAAGUUAUUUAAAAACUGGAGUGAGUCAGAAAGCGAACCUACACUGGAAAAAUUUAAAAAGCAAGGUCUGGUUGAAUGGAAGGAGUCUUCGGAGAUUCCUAAUAAAAUAAAAUAUGACCUUCCAAAAAAUAAGGAACUCAAGUUCAUUUUCUUGCUUUGUGCUCAAAUGGGCCACCUACCCCUGGUUAACGACUUGGUGAAAUAUUGCUUUGGAUUAGGUAUACUUGAAGGGGUCUCUUCCCUUAGUGCAGCUCGUGAAAAAAUAAAUGAAGUGAUGCAAGAGUUGAAAAAGUUGAGUUUGGUGUCUUACGAAAAUCCUAAUAUUCAUUUCAGUAUGUCUCAUAUGGUUCGAGAUUAUGCUCUAAGUAAUGCCCUCAUGGAUCACAAUGUUUUUUCUUUUAGAGAUGGAAAACUAGAUUAUUGGCCCAAUCUUGAAAAAUGCAUUUCUAUUUCUAUAUGCAAUAGUGACAUUACAUGUCGGUUUCCUCAAGUCAUAAAUUGUCCACAACUUAAAUUCUUGCAAAUAGAAACUAACAAUCCAUCUUUAAAAAUACCUGAGAGGUUUUUUAGCAACAUGAGAAACUUGUUAGUUUUAAUAUUGAGAGGUUUUCAUCUAUCAUGCUUACCUUAUUCAAUUGAAGACCUAUUGAACCUCAGAAUGCUUUGUUUGGAGCGGUGCACUUUGAUUUGCAAUUUAUCGGUAUUGAGAAAGUUCAAAGACCUAAGUAUUCUCAGUUUUUCUGGAUCUCAACUUAAAAAUUUGCCAGUUGAGUUACAAUACUCGGAUAAGUUGCAAUUGCUAGACAUCAGUGAUUGUUUUGAAUUGGAGAUUAUUCCACCUAAUCUUAUAUCUAAUUUGACAUGUUUGGAAGAGCUAUAUAUAGGAAAAAGCUUGAUGAAAAUGUUGGUGGAAAGAGAGGAAAGCAAAGGUCAAAAUGCAUUUCUUUCUGAGCUAAUAAAUUUACAUGAGUUGAAAGUGGUGGACUUAAGCAUCCCGUGUGUUUCAAUUUUACCCAAUCACUUAUUCUUUGACAGGUUAAAAUAUUACAAGAUUGGAAUUGGGGACUUUGAAAAGUUUUCUAUUGGAGAAUUUAAAAUGCCCAAUAAGUAUGAAGAACUCAAAGUAUUGGCAUUACAGCUGAAGGACGACACUGACAUUCACUUCCAUAAAGGCAUAAAAUUGUUAUUUAAAACAGCACAAAGUUUGUUGUUGGGAAAGAUAGGUGUUCAAAAUGUUGUUAACGAGUUGAAUAUAGACGGAUUUCAGGAUUUGAAACACUUAUCCAUCAUAAAUAACAAUGACAUCAAAUAUGUUAACUCAACAGAUUUGUCUAAUACUGUAAACAUUUUUCCCAAUUUGGAAUCUCUAUGCCUCUACAAUAUGAUGAACUUAAAGAUGAUAUGUGACAGUUCAAUUACACUUGAAUCAUUUGCCAAAUUAAAAACCAUCAAGGUUGAGAUGUGUUACCAAUUGGAAAAUCUCUUCUCCAUCUAUGCGAUUAAAAUUUCUACUAGCACAAGAACAAGUGAGAUUUUUGAAUGUAAUUCUUACAUGAAGAAAUUUCUAGCUAGCUUAGAAACGAUUGAGGUUUGUGAAUGUGAAUCUUUAAAGGAGAUCCUUCAAAUACCAAUGGAUUGUGAUAAGGUUGAGUUUCUCAAAUUAGGCACUUUGACACUCCAUUCAUUGUCAUCACUUACUUGUUUUAAUACCAAAGUCAAAAGAUCUUGCUGGUCACAUUCAACAGAGGCUCAAACUAGAAAUAAGGGUCAUACAGAAAUUUCUACUGAUGAUGACCAUAGUGACAAUGUGCCUCUUCUUUUUGGUGAAUCGGUAUGACAUUACAUAUUUUUCAUAUUUAUUUAAAUAAUUAGCUCAUUUGUUGUAAACAUAUUAAUUGUGUAUGUGUUUACAGGUUGAAGUUCCAAACUUAGAGAACUUGAAUUUAUCCUCACUCAACAUCCAUAAGAUAUGGAGUGACCAACACUUGUCAAGUUUCUAUUUUCAAAACUUGAUAAAGUUAGUUGUGAAAGAUUGUAAUAAAUUGACACAUCUAUGUUCAUUACCUAUGGCUAGCAGUUUGAAGAAGUUGAAAAGCCUCAUCAUAAGUGGAUGUUUUAUCAUGGAAAGUAUUUUUGAGAUUGAAGGAACUAGUGCAAACAAGGUAUGUAUUGGUAUAAAUACCUUUUUGUUUAUCUUUUACUUAUAUGUAAUAAUUGUUUCUUUCAUUAAAAUGAAGGUUUUUGUCUUCCCUAAACUAGAGGAAAUCCAUCUUAGCAACAUGAAGAGAUUAAGAGAUAUAUGGCAUACUAGAGUGAACAUUGAUUCUUUUUCAAGUCUCAUUUCGGUGAACAUUGAAGAAUGCAAUCAAUUGGACAAGAUUUUUCCGAGUCACAUGGAAGGAUGGUUUGAAAGUUUGAUUAACUUGAAAGUUUCUAACUGCAAGUCCGUGAAAGAGAUUUUUGAAAUUAGUGAUUAUGAAGAAAUAGAUGAAUAUGGUGGGAUAGACACAAAUUUGCAGAUUAUUCUUCUUAAAGACCUCCCAAAGUUGAAGGAAUUGUGGAGCAAAGAUCCACAUGGAAUUCUCAAUUUUAAAAAACUUCGGACUAUAGAUAUAAAUAAUUGUGAAGAACUGAGGAAUUUGUUUCCAGCUUCUAUGGCAAAAGAUGUAUCAAAGCUUGAACGUAUGUCAAUAUUGCAUUGUAAGAGGAUGGUGGAAAUUGUUUCAAGUAAAGAUGCAUCAGAAGCUAACAAUGAUCCAUUAGAGUUUCCUGAACUAAGCUAUGUGAGAUUAUAUGAGCUUGAAAACAUGAAGCAAUUCUACAAGGGGAGACAUCCAAUAAAGUGUCCAAAGUUGAAGGAAUUAAGCAUAGGCAAGUGUAUGAAGCUUAAAACAUUUUCACAAGAAACAAGUGAUGAAAAGUUUGUUUUCUCAGCUCAAGUGGUAAGCAUUAUUCCAACUUUAUCAUAGUAAAGUUCAAUCAAACUUUUAUUAUUUUCCUUAUAAAGAAUAAAAGACAUAAUUAAAAGUAUGUAAAAAAUUGGAAAGAAAACAAGAUAUAUGAGAAGCAAACUACAAUUAAGGAUUGUGUGUGGUUGAGAAAAAUAAAAGAUAAAUUUAAUUUAAAAUUGAGUUUUGGGAUUAUUUAGUUUUAAAAAGAAAUAAAGGAAUGCUGUUUUAUUUUCAUUGUUAAAUUUUAUUCAUAUUAUUAUUAUUUUCGUUUAAAUUUUCAUUUUUAGUGAUUAAAAAUAUUUGGUUUGCUAUUAUUGUAAUAGUAAAAAGUUUGUACUUUGUAUAAAAAUGAUAAGUAAAUUUUAGUGAAGCUUUAUGGUCAAAUCUAUAUAUUUAUACAAAUGUUUCGUAUUUUUUUUUAUUGAAGCGUAUUACAUUUUAAGUCAAUAAUUAUCAUAUAUAUAUAUAUAUAUAUAUAUAUAUAUAUAUAUAUAUAUAUAUAUAUAUAUAUAUUAUUUCACUUUCCUGCAUUUUUAAAUAACUAGCAUAUCUUCAAAGGAAACUAUAACAUAAUUAAAAACUUGGUUUAACUAAGUCUUUUAUUUUCCACAUACAGGAUCAAUUUUUGGGAUAUCUAAUCUCACAUUUUUCUUUAAAAAUCUUACAUUAAUACAUCCAUGACAUUAAUAUGAAAUUCUUAAAAGCUUGAUGUUCCUAUUUUAGUUCAUUAUUUAUGUUUUUUAAAAUGACAAAUAACCAAAGAAGAACAAAAACCAUACAUAAUAGUAAUCAUAAACAGUCACAAAGCAAACAAAAAUGCCUAAAAUCAAAUAAAUUUGAAGGCAUUUAAUUCAUUCUUCUUACUAUUUACUUUUAAUGUUUAGGUAUUUCCCAAGUUGGAGUAUAUGGAAAUAGACUUCAAGGAAGCCCAAAAUUUGUUAUCCAAGUACCAAAUGCACAAUUUAAAAGAGCUUAUUAUCUUGAAUGUCCAGCCCUCAAAUAUUUUCUACCGGUUUCUUUACAGAAUGCCAAAUCUAGAAAAGUUAAAAUUGACUGGCUAUUAUUCUGAAUCGUUAGAGCCACUAUGGAGUACAAAUGGGCAGCAAGACAGAUUGGGAGUCGUAUUACAGUUGAAGCAAUUGUUUAUUCAUUCCUCUAAUAUAAAAGAUCUGGGAUUUGACGGAGACCAAGUUCUACAGAGACUGGAGCUUUUGAGCUUAAAAUAUUGCUACGAAUUGAACACUUUAGCUCCUUCCUCUGUAUCGAUGAGUUACUUGACAUGUUUGAAACUGAAGAAUUGUUGGGGAUUAAGGAAUUUAAUGGCAUCCUCCACGGCCAAAAGCAUGGUUCAACUCAAGACCAUGAAGGUAAUCGAUUGUGAAAACAUAGAACAAAUAGUAAGUAACGAGGGAAGUGAUAAAGGCAAAGUGAUGAAAAUUGUAUUCAGCAAAUUGAUUUUUAUAGAACUUGUGGGACUAAGGAACAUGACAAGUUUUUGCAGUUACAAGAACUAUGAAUUUGAAUUUCCAUCACUGGAAAUAUUGAUUGUAAGAGAGUGCCUAAAGAUGAAAAAAUUCAGUAAAAAAAGAGCAAUAGCACCAAAGUUGAAAGAUGUAUUUGGUGUGGAAGGAGAUGAAAACGCAAAAUGGGAGUGGAAAGGUGACUUGAAUGCCACCAUACAAAAGGUUUUCAAUGAUAAGGUAAUUACUUUUUCCUUUAUUUAAUACUAUUUCUCCUAAUUUUAUCAACUUUUCCUAUAUGACUUGAAAUAUGUAAAUUUCCUAUAUUUUAAAGGUAGAGAAGUAAUUUAAUAAUUUGUCUGAUUUACAGGUCAGUUUCGCAUAUACUGAAUAUCUGUGGCUUCACUACGGUAAUGAUUUUAUUAUAAAGCAAGUAUGGGACGACACUCAUUGGGGCCAGCAAAAGAACUUUGGGUAUUUGAAAAGGUUGAGUGUGUACGCAUGUCUUACUCUAGAGCAUAUAAUUCCAUCUCAUUUGCUUUCUUGCUUUCACAAUUUGGAAGAGUUAGAUGUAAAGUAUUGCAGUAAUGCAGAGGUGAUAUUUAAUAUGAAUGAUGAGAACAGGGUGAUGACAAAACCUUCCGGAAUAUUCCGUCUGAAAACAUUGUCUUUAUAUGAACUACCACGACUGGAGCAGGUAUGGGACAAGGAUCCUGAGGGAAUUAUUGGCCUUCAACUGCUAAAGGAAAUGCGUGUUCAAUAUUGUAAGAGUCUUAAAAGUUUGUUUCCAGCAUCGGUGGCCAAAGAUCUUACGAGACUUGAAGUGCUUGAGGUAAGAUACUGUGAGAAAUUGAUAGAAAUAUUUUGGAAGGAUGAAAAGGAUGAGGAAAGAACAACACAAGAGUUUGUGUUUCGUGAUCUCAACUCAUUGACACUAGAAAAAUUGCCAGCCCUCAAAUACUCUAUACACUGCUCCAAACAACAGGUAACUCUCAAAACUUUGCCUUUAUGUGACCAUUCAAAAGGUAGUAUAUAUAAGUGGGAGUUCAACCCAACAAUAAUAACAUUUGAGAUUUAGCAUUGUGCUACAUCACCCAUUUUAUCAUCACACCUUGAAAUGAAAUUAUUCCUUCAAUUUCUUUCUAUAAUACGGUUACCUAAUAAUUAAUCAAGAAAUUUCGUAUUUUUUAUUCUCUGCAAUCUGUUAGUAUCUAUAAUCCCAAUUUUGUAAGUCCUCGUAUUUAUUUUAUUUUAUUAUUAUGAUUUGUUAGUUUAUUUUUUCUAUUUUCAUGUUGUAAUCAUUAUUAUGGUAAUCAUGAAAAGAUGUAUUCCCAAAAGUUAACAUUUCAAACAAAUUCCGAUGUGCGGACAAAAACAAAAUUCUAAAUCUAACUUCUUUUGCAGGAGAAUAUAUCAAAAUUGCGUUUGAGAGAAAUACAAGAGUUAUGUCUUGGCUCACGGCCCAUCCCAAACUCCUCCUUCCGUCUCUUAGAUUCUUUGAUUGUGGAUGGAUGCAAGUUUUCAUCAGAUGUACUUCUACCAUUCACUUUACUUUCUUUCUUAGCUAAAUUGGAGACGUUGGAAGUUAGAAAGUGUGAUUCUGUCAAAGUUAUUUUUGAUGUCAAAUGUACAACACAAGACACGAUCACUUUUCCGCUAAAGAAAUUGACUUUAUCCCAGCUACCACAUCUGGAGAAUGUUUGGAAUGAAGAUCCUCAUGCAAUUCUAAGCAUGCACCAUCUACAAGAACUACAUGUUAAGGAAUGUAAAGGCCUUAAAAGUAUGUUUCCAGCUUCAGGGGCCAAAGAAGCACUACUACCAUUCAAUUUACUUCCUUUCUUAACUAACUUGGUAACAUUGGAAGUUAGAAACUGCGAUGAUGUCAAAGCCAUUUUUGAUGUCAAAUGUACAACACAAGACAGAGAUGUGACAUCUACGGGACCGCCCCUCCCUUUUUCUCUGAAGAAUUUGACUUUAUCGAAGCUGUCAAAUCUGAAGAAUGUUUGGAAUGAUGAUCCUCAUGGAAUUCUAAACAUGCGCCAUCUACAACAAGUACAUGUUGAGGAAUGUAAAAGCCUUGAAAGCGUGUUUCCCACUUCAGUAGCCAAAGAUCUUGCGGAACUUGAAAGUCUAGUGAUAAAAGACUGUGAGAGAUUGAUGACUAUUGUUGUAGAAGACAAUACAAAUGGAAGUCUAGAGUUUACGUUUCCCUGUCCCUAUGUGAUAUCAUUGGAACUACGGAACUUGCCCAAGUUCAAGUAUUUUUACUACUGCUCUCUCAAGUCUCACACUUACACGCGUCUAGAGUCGAAUACCGAGAAUCAAGUCGAUACUGAAAGGGUACGUACUACUAUUUUACCACUUCCUCUUGAUGCACAAUAUGAAUCGUCAUUGCAAAUGUGGAAUCAUCAGUUUCUUUAGUUGUUUACCAUUGUUCAAUAUGAAUAGUACAAAAUACUCAUUAAAAAUAAUUUGCUUGUUGAUCAUGAAUUGGUUUGGUACUUGGGUGGCCAAUUAUAAUUUUAUUAGCAUAGGUAAAACGAACGACAAUAUAUAUAUGGUAGGUUAGUUUAGUUUUAGAAGAUAAUUAAAACGAUUUGGUUAAAAAUGAAAGAUCUAUAAUUAAGUUGAAAAAUAGUAGUGCGUGAAUGGGAACCGACUCCUUUAGGUUUCUCAUAUUUCUCAUUGUAUUCCUUAGUUUGGUUUCUCUGCAAUCAGUAGUGAGUUAUAAAAAGAGUAAUAAUUUGGAUUCAGAAUUUGUGAUGAUUAAUAUGAAUGGGAGGGAAUAAUUAAACACAAAUGAUUUGAUGGCUCCUAUACUUGUUUGUCAUUGUUCCAUAAACAUAGUCGGAGCAUCCUGUCAAAAUAUAAAUUUUGACAAAAUUCACUAAUGCAGAACAUCAGUAUAUAUGUUGUAUAUAUUUUAUAUAAAUAAGUAAAAGAAUAGAUUUCAUGACUCAUCAAUAACAUCUCAUAUCAAUUCAGUAGAUUCUCACUCGUUUAUGAUGUAUCAUGUAUUCAUGCCGCCACAAUCUUUGAAAAUUAUGGGAAGAAGAUGGUAUUAGCGGAAGUUAAUUUCUUAUUCAAAGAAAUAUACAUUAUCUUAGCAAUAUUCAUCAACAAUAUGUUUUGAUAUGAAAAUUUAAAACAGUUGUGUCUUUAACAAUCUUAACUAACUUUUGGUUGCUUUUUCUCUUGGUUGUUACAGUGUAUGUCAGUAGGAGAAAAUGGAACGAAGAUGAUUUUGCGAGGAGAAUUCGAGAGAAAGCUCUUACACAGCUUAAAAACACUUACUCUCUGCUUUGGUUCAGAUGUAUUUCCAUGUAAAAUUCUAGAACAGGUUCCGAAUAUAGAGAAACUUGUGGUGUGUGAUGGUUCCUUCAAGAAGAUGUUCUGUUGUGAAAGUGGUAAUAAUGUGUUAAAGCAGCUGAAAGUAUUACGGUUGGUUUCCAUUGGGUUAGAGAACUCUUGGACUGAUUCUUUUGUGAGAAAUUUAGAAACCUUUGAAGUCAUUGGAUGUAAGAGUUUAAAAAACUUGGUAGGAUGCACAGUGUCUUUCUCCAAUCUGACGUGUUUGAAAGUAGAGGAUUGCGAUAGCUUAUCAUAUUUGUUGACUUCCUCAGCAGCCAAGCGUUUGUGUCAACUCAAAAGAAUGGAGAUAAAGGAUUGUUAUUCAAUUGAAGAGAUAGUGUAUAAGGAAACAGAUGAGGAUGAGAUAAUAUUUCCGCAACUCAGUUGUUUGGAUCUUGAUAACUUAAGGAUGCUCAAAAGGUUUUACAAAGGGAGUUUAGGUUUCCCAUCCUUGGAGGAACUGUCAGUAACAUAUUGCAAUGAGAUGAUAACUUUAUGUGAAGGAAGUAUAGAAGCAGCCAACUUGUCUCAAGUUAUACUUAAUAAGUACUCAGAUGUUAUUCAAUUGGAAACCGAGCUGAACUCUACUAUGAGGAAGAAAUAUCUGACAGAGGUACGUCUUUAAUUUUAUUUUAUUUUUAUUGAAUAUUUAUGAUACAUGUCUGAGUAUAUGAUGGAAAUUCUGUAUUGUAUUGGCUAGCAAGGAACUUUUUAAUUUUGAUACCUUAAUAUUCAUAUUUUUAGAGUUUGACUUUAUGCCCUCCUUGUCAAACUCAUUAGUAAGGAAGACAAAAAUAAAAUAAAAUAUGUUUUCAAGGUAAAACUUUUGCAGAAAAGUUUAAUUAAAUCUUUUUUAAUUAUAGGAAAUUUAUUUAUUUAUCUUAAAUUAUGUUAAACACACUUGUUUUUUCUUUAAUUUUAAAGUAAAGAAAAUAGAUUGUAUCUUAAAAUUUUCCAUUUUUUUAUAAAAGGCGACAAAAAUACAUUCAAAAAGCAAAUAAUUUAUAUGUUAACAAAAUGUAAGUUCUCUAUUAUUCAAUUAUAAUUAUUUUCAAAUAAUUUUCAUAAUAAAUUACUUUAAAAAUCAUAUUUGACAAAAAAAAUAUGAUAAACUGAUGGUUUGAAACAUUGUCCCAAUAACCCAUACAAAUUAAAUUAAAUUUAACUUAAUUAACGUACUCAUUAGAAAUGGUAAAUUUUAAAAUUAAAAUAACUUAUAAAUAUAAAGAAAUAGAACAGAACCAAAUAUUUUUUUAUAUGCCAUUUUAACAUUAAUUUAGUAUCUUUACUAAUAAAAUAUGUUUUUAAUUAAUUUUAAAUUUUUAUAACUUUUAUUUAUUAAUAAAUUGUUUUCGUUAUAUUUAUUUUAUUUUUCAUUGCUAUAUAUUUAUCAUAAAGAAUAUUUAUCAUUAAUCUUCUACUAUGUUUUAUUAUAUUUAUACACAAAUUUAGGAUAAUGUAAAAAUAACACAUUUUUAAACAGAUAUAUGAUAUUUAAAGUAAAUUAGAAAUAUAGAUAAAAUCCAUCAUCUGUAAUGCAUAAAUUAAAAUGAUAAAAAGAAAAUAAAUCUACUAUGACCAAUAUUAUUGGAUUUUAAGUAUAACCUACAAAUUAUAAAAUAAAAAAUAGAAAAAUAAUUUGUUACUAUUGUCAUUAUCUUAUUUAGAAAUAUAUUAGAAACGGUAAGUUUUUGUUACUGUACAAAAAAAAUAAUAAAUACUUUAUAUAAAAGUAAAAAGAAAACUUAAUAAUUGUUUUAAAAGAUAAAUAAAAGGUUAAAAACUAUAAUAAAAAAUGUCACUUCUAAUAACAUUUAAAAAGUUCUACAAUUAAGUUGCUAAACUUGUUUUUCCUGGAUAUUAGUAAUAGAUUUAGAAAACAUUAGAAAAUAGUUUAAAAGUAAAAUUAAAGUAAAAUUAAGUGAAGAUGUAAUUUACAUCCUUAUAUUUGAAUUUACUCUCAUUCAUCAAGCUUUUAUUAUUAUGAAAGUUGAAUUUUUAAAUUAAUAUUUAUUUAGGUACAUUCCUAAACUUCAAAAAAACAAAUUAGAAAAAUUAACAAAAUAAUAAUUUGAAAAAAUUUAGAACUCAAUCAAAUCAAUUAAUCACAAAGUUAAUUAAAAAAUAGUUAGAGAUUUUGUUUAUAAUUAACUUCUAUACUAUUGCCAAAGGAAAUUAUAUCUUUUUACUCAAAGUUGACCGUAGAAACAACUUUCAUUUUUAUGAGAAUUAAAUAGAAUUUUAAAUGUAACUAAAGUUUUACCAAUUCCCAAUGUCCCUAAAUAGAAUUGUGGAGGAAAAAUGUAGUAUGAAAAGAAAAAGUAUUAAAAUUGACGUGUGUCUUGUAAGUAAUUAGUUAUAAGUAAAGUUGAUGAUUUGUAGUAAAGUCCGAAUUCUUGGUAAUCCUUAUAUUUUCAUAUUUUUCAUUUACAUGUGCUAAUUUCGAAAGAUUGCUCCACGGAGAGAGAGUAUUGAAUUCAGAGAUAGGGAAGACCUACAAGAGAUAUGGUGUCUUUCACUUCAGAUACCCGACUUCUGUUUCACUUNCUUGGUAACCUUGAUUGUGAAUAAAUGCAAAAUUUCAUCAGAUGCAGUGUUACCUUUUACUUUAUUUCCUUUAUUACCCAAAUUAGAAACAUUGGAAGUUCAAAACUGUGAUUCUGUCAAAACCAUAUUUGAUGUCAACUGUACAAAACAAGGCACACUCACUCUUCCUCUAAAGAAAUUAGUUUUACGGAAGUUGCCAAAUCUAGAAACCGUUUGCAGUGAAGUUAAAGAGACUAAUACAACUCAUCCAGAAGGAACAAAUCCUGAGCUUACAUUCCCCUGUGUCACGUCAUUCCCACUAUUGGAUUUGCCAAACUUCAAUGCAGUACCAACAUUUGAGGUUUGCGCUUCUUCUUUUUUCAAUAACAUAUACAUUCUCACUAACCUGCUUUUACAUGGUUAUUGGUUUCUCGUUGCAGCUAAUUAUACCCAACUUAGAGCAUCUGACAGUGGGUAAAAAUGAAUUAAAGAUGAUUGUGGACGGAGGAUUUCAGAGAAACCUUUUACACAAGUUAAAAGUUCUUACUUUGUGCUUUGAUAUUGAGUGUGAUGAAUUUCCGGAGUAUGGAUUUCUACAACAGUUGCCAAAUGUAAUGAAGCUUGUGGUGUAUGACAGUUCCUUCAAAGUGAUUUUCUGCGAUCAAAGACCUAAUAAUAGUGAAAUACUUUUACAAUUGAAAGAAUUACGGUUGGAGUCCCUUCAAGAGUUGGUUUCGAUUGGCUUAGAAAACUCAUGGACUGAACCCUUUGUCACAGAUCUAGAAACCUUUGAAGUCAUUAGCUGUUCCAAUUUAAAAAACUUGGUUCCAUGCAGAGUGUCUUUUUCAAAUCUGAUACGUUUAAAAGUGGAAAAUUGCGAUAACUUGUCAUAUUUGUUCACAUCUUCGACAGCCAAAAGUUUGGCUAAACUUCAAAGAAUGGAGAUAGAAAAGUGUAAAUCAAUUGAAGAAAUAGUGUCUAAUGAAGAGAAGGAAUCAGAUGAGGAUGAAAUAACAUUUCUG